rnacentral:lncRNA from 1 species
GGUGAACUCCUUAUAAGGUUUGAGUAAUCCUCCUCCCUUUGAGCUAGCUUUUGGGGUGUGAAUUAGGCCUAAGACCUAAUUUCACAUAGUAUCAGAGCAGGGACAGUCUCACCCGAUGUUGGGACCCCCGAAAUAAAAAAUUCCCACGCACCAGAUGCUAAACAUUGGGUGUGAGGUGGGUGUAUAGGAAGAAUAUAUAUGUUUUUUUCUCUCGCUUUAUACAAAAACAGAAACACAAUUUAUACACUUCUGUUGUAUAAAGCGAGAGAAAAUUGUAUUUCACUGCAAUUGUAUAAUUCGCUGACCUUUUUCGCUAUAAUAUUUGUAUAAAAUUUGCAUUUGUAUACAAUUGAAUCGAAGUAAGAUGUUUGUAAAUGUAUAAUUAAGUGUAUAACACGAAGAUAUAUGUUUUUGCAUGUGUAUAUAAAAUUUUCUCUUGCUUUAUACAAAACAGAAACACAAUUUAUACAUUUUUGUUGUAUAAAGCGAGAAAGGCGAGCAGAGGGAGAGUGGUGAACGAGAAUGAGAGAGUGACGAACGAGAGUUUUGAGAGAGAGACAAUUGAAAAACUUUGACAAACGUUUACUAGGGGGCACAAUUAAAUCAAACAGGGAUAAUACAAUUAUCCCUAUAAUUAAUUGGAGGAGCCAAUGGUAGUGAGAGAUGCACAGAAUUUCCAUAUCUUUGAGACAAACAAAUCAAAUUUGAUAUAGAUACCUCUUUAAUUAGCUCUAUUAUACUAAAAGGGCAACUCAAAGGGUAAGUAAUAUUCUGUAACGACCUGUUUAGUCGUUUUGAGCAGCAGACUUCAAUUUUGGAAAAACUGGCAGAAGCGACGAAACCCACGACGGACCGUCAUGGGCACGACGGACCGUCGCAGGGUCUCGUUUCAAAACACUUAGAAAAUCUGAAAUUGGGUACUAAAUAUCGACUCUCUGAACUUCGUAACGGAAUGGCAGGACGGACGGUCACAGGUGUGACGGACCGUCACAGACCCUUCAGAGAAAUUGAGUCUCUGAAGUCUGUGACGGAGCAGCAGGACGGAUCGUCGCAGGCGCGACGGGCCGUCACAGGCUGCGAAAUCCCACUCUGGGUCGGAUUUCUUUAUACGUUUUAAGGGACGUUUUUGACUAUUCCUGCUUUAAUUAUAAAGUUAGUGGGUUAAUUUUAAUAAGUCUAAUUACUUGGGGGUUAAAAGAGGUAACCUUAAGUUAAUUAGUGGGUUAUUAUUGCCAUCUUUUAUUCUUAAUUAUAUGCUAAUUAGGGUAAAAGAAAGAGGGUUUUGAAUAAAGAAAAUAGAAAGAACAAGAAGAGAGAGAGAGGGUCGAUCGAGAAGGGGAAACACAAAGCUUUGGAGAAAAUUUGCUUGCUUGAUCACGAAUCUUCGGUGGAGGUAGGUUAUGGUUUUCAUGCUAUUCGUAGUAAACUCUUAAUAGCGAAUGAUAUGUGUUAGUAGUAUUGUGAACCUUCUAUAUGCUUAAUUGUAUGCUUGCAUGAAUGAUGUGAUUAUGUAAUUAUGACUAAAUAAGCAUGAUGAAGCUAUUGAAUCCCAAAUCUUGAAAAGAAACCCUAAUCUACUUUGUUAAUGAUGAUGUCUUGGUAUAAAAGAAGGCUUGAUGAAUGAAAGUAGUGAAAUUAGGGGAUCGGGUGCCACGUUCCGGUACCAGGAUAGUAUAUGAGGAUCGGGUGCCACGUUCCGGUACCAGGAUAGAAUAUGGAUCGGGUGUCACGUUCUGACACCAGGAUAAAAUAUGGAUCGGGUGCCACGUUUCGGUACCAGGAUAGUAUAUGAGGAUCGGAGUGUCACGUUCCGACACCAGGAUAGUAUAUUGAGGAGCGGAGUGUCACGUACCGACACGAGGGGAAUAAAGAUAAUGAAUCUUGAAAGAUGUUAAUAUAUUCAAUCUAAUGAACCGAAUUCCCAAAUGAGUAUGAUGAGGAGGCGUGAGUCCUCAUUGAUGUGCUUGGUGUUGUAACCAAGGGUUAUGGUAACUGUAAAUGCUGCAUGCUAAGGAUAUUAGUUGAUUUUAUGAUAUUGCUUAAUAUAUACUGUUUUCUAUUUUGAGUUGGCCGAUGAUAUCUACUCAGUACCCGUGUUUGUACUGACCCCCUACUUUUAUGUUUUCUUCUUGUUAUUUGUGGAGUGCAGCAAACGUGCCGUCGUCUUCGACUCAACAGUAAUUCAAGCCAGUCUUUACUACACCGGAAAUUCAGGGUGAGCUAAUGCUUCUAGCUUGGAUUGGAUCUUCUUCUUUAUGUCUUGAUGCCUUGAAGUUCCGGCAUGGACUAGCUUUUAUGUAUUUUUAGCUUCUUAGAAACUCUUAGAUUUAGUAAUUUGAUCAUAGAUGUUCUUGUGGUGAUGACUUCCAGAUUUUGGGAAAUAAUAAUUAUUGAAUUGGUUUUUAUUAAUGAGUUUUAAGUCUUCCGCAUUGUUUUCUAUUUAUUAUGUUCGAAAUGUUAAGGUUUAGAUUGGUUGGUUCGCUCACAUAGGAGGGUAAGUGUGGGUGCCAGUCGCGAUCCGGAUUUGGGUCGUGACAAACUUGGUAUCAGAGCAUUAGGUUCGUUGGUCUCAUCACACAAGUACGAGUCUAGUAGAGUCUUAAGGAACGGUAGGGGGACGCCUUUACUUUUCUUUGAGAGGCUAUAAGACUUUAGGAAAAUUCCAUUCUUUCAUUCUUUCUUUCGUGCUAUUACUUGGGUCCAAUUUGGUAUCUAGGUGAUACAAAUUGGUAUCUGACCAUCUUCACUCUAUUUCGCAGAUGGUUAGAACUAGAGCAAUGAUUGUGCGAACAUCAACAUCGGCAAGACAAGAAGCGUCUGAGCCAGCCACUGGGGUUGUAGCUCGAGGAAGAGCAACGACAAGAGGCCGUGGUAGAGGUCGUGGGAGGACGUCCUCUAGAGGAAGAGGACUAGCACCUAGCCCGUCUGAUACUAGGGCAGUGACUCUUCCACCGACUGAGGAAGUGGUAAGAGAGGGUGAGGAAGGUGAGAAUUGAACAAGUGCAAAAUGAGGAAUUGCCACCCCAACCUACCCCAGAGAUGAUCAAUCAGGUUCUCGCUUAUCUUAGUGGGUUAUCUGAUCAGGGUCAGGCACCUCCAGUGUUUUCUGCGCCAACACCUCAGGUUCCGGAGGUACAACAUGCGGCUACUAUGGCUCCCCGCAUGGAUGCCUCAUUGGAGGUAGACACGUUUCCACGUCUGACUACAGGGCCUAUAAUGACAAAUGAUCAGCAUGAACUUUUCAGUAAGUUCUUGAAAUUGAAACCUCCAGUCUUCAAGGGUGCUGAAUCGGAGGAUGCUUACGAUUUUCUGGUUGACUGUUAUGAGCUACUACACAAGAUGGGUAUAGUAGAAUGGUUUGGUGUUGAGUUUGUGACUUAUCAGUUUCAAAGGAACGCCAAAAUGUGGUGGCGAUCACAUGUUGAGUGUCAACUGACAGAGGCAACACCUAUGACUUGGGCCUCAUUCUCUAGCUUGUUUAUGGAGAAGUAUAUCCCCCGGACUUUGAGGGAUAGGAAAAGGGAUGAUUUCUUGAGCCUAGAGCAAGGUAGGAUGUCGGUUACUGCAUAUGAGGCUAGGUUUCGUGCACUAUCCAGGUAUGCCACUCAACUUUGUUUCAGUCCACAAGAGCGGAUUCGCCGGUUUGUGAAGGGGUUGAGGUCAGAGUUGCGGAUUUCGGCCUUACAGGUAGCGGCUACGGCUAAAUCCUUCCAAGAAGUGGUAGACUUCGUGAUAGAGGUGGAAGGAGUGAAGCCCGAUGACUUCACCUCGACAUCGACAUCAAAAAGGUUUCGAAAGGGAGGUGAGUUUAAUGGUUCUUACCCUAGAGGACAGGGUUCCGGAGGUUACUCAGUCCGACCGAUUCAGUCUUCACUACAGACUGUAGUUGGGGGUCCACCUCAGACCGGUCAACACUUCCCUGAGAGACCUAUGCAUGAACCCAGAGAGUGCUAUGGAUAUGGGGAGAUUGGACAUAUUAAGAGAUAUUGUCCAAAACAGAGUUACCGACCCCCAAUAGCUAGAGGUAGAGGUGGUUAUGGAAGAGGCCGUCAUUCUGGAGGACGUGGUGGUCGAGGUAAUGGUGGUCACCAAAAUGAUCGAGGUGAUGGGCAAACUGGAGCCACUACAUCACAACAUGGUAGGGGCAACGGACAAACAAACGAAAGGGCCCAUUGUUAUGCUUUCCCUGGGAGAUCUGAAGCGGAGAAAUCUGAUGCUGUCAUCACAGGUAAUCUUUCGGUUUGUGAUUGCAUGGCUUCUGUAUUGUUUGAUCCUGGAUCCACAUUUUCUUAUGUAUCUUCCUCAUUUGCUAAUGGUCUAAAUUUACAUUGUGAAUUACUUGAUAUGUCUAUUCGUGUUUCUACUCCGGUGGGUGAGUCUGUGGUAGUUGAAAAGGUAUAUAGGUCUUGUUUGGUGAACUUUGUGGGGAGCAACACUUAUGUAGAUUUGGUUAUCUUAGAAAUGGUUGAUUUUGAUGUAAUUCUGGGUAUGACUUGGCUUUCCUCGAAUUUUGCAAUCUCGGAUUGUAAUGCUAAAACUGUGACGUUAGCCAAGCCUGGGACAGAUCCGUUAGUGUGGGAGGGUGACUACACUUCCAAUCCGGUGCGUAUCAUCUCCUUUCUUCGUGCUAAGAAGAUGGUUAGUAAAGGGUGUUUAGCUUUCUUGGCACAUCUCAAGGAUGACACUACCCAAGUACCUUCGAUUGAGUCGGUUUUAGUGGUCCGUGAGUUUCUGGAUGUGUUCCCUGCAGAUCUUCCUGGUAUGCCACCAGAUAGGGAUAUUGACUUCUGUAUUGAUCUUGAACCGGGUACUCGCCCCAUUUCUAUACCCCCUUAUAGAAUGGCUCUCGCGGAGUUAAGAGAGUUAAAAGCAUAACUUCAAGAGUUGUUGAGCAAAGACUUCAUUAGACCAAGUGCAUCUCCUUGGGGUGCUCCGGUUUUGUUUGUGAAGAAGAAGGAUGGGAGUUUCCGGAUGUGCAUAGACUACCGGCAGUUGAACAAGGUAAAUAUUAAGAACAAGUAUCCUCUUCCUCGCAUUGAUGAUUUGUUCGAUCAGUUACAAGGUGCUUGUGUCUUCUCUAAGAUUGACUUGAGAUCUGGUUAUCAUCAAUUAAAAAUACGGGCAACGGAUGUGCCAAAGACUGCUUUUCGAACGAGGUAUGGGCAUUACGAAUUUGUAGUGAUGUCUUUUGGUCUUACGAAUGCCCCUACUGCGUUCAUGAGUUUGAUGAACGGGAUUUUUAAGCCAUAUUUGGAUCUCUUUAUGAUCGUAUUUAUUGAUGAUAUACUGAUAUACUCUAAAAGUAAGGAGGAACAUGAGGAGCAUUUGAGAAUGGUAUUGGAAAUGUUGAGGGAGAAAAAGCUCUAUGCCUAAUUCUCCAAGUGUGAGUUUUGGCUAGAUGCAGUGUCCUUCUUGGGGCAUGUGGUUUCUAAGGAUGGGGUGAUGGUUGAUCCUUCUAAGAUUGAGACAGUGAAGAAUUGGGUAAGACCUACUAAUGUGUCAGAAAUAAGGAGCUUUAUUGGGUUAGCUAGCUACUACCGCCGAUUUGUCAAGGGAUUCUCUUCUAUCGCUUCCCAAUUGACGAACUUGACUAAGCAAAAUGUUCCAUUUGUAUGGUCGGAUGAGUGUGAGGAAAGCUUUCAGAAGCUCAAGACUCUGUUGACUACUGCACCAAUCCUUACUUUGCCAGUGGAAGGUAAGAAUUUCAUUGUCUAUUGUGAUGCAUCCUAUUCGGGUUUGGGUGCAGUGCUAAUGCAAGAGAAGAAUGUGAUUGCUUAUGCUUCAAGACAAUUAAAAGUGCAUGAACGUAACUAUCCAACUCAUGAUUUGGAAUUGGCCGCGGUAGUGUUUGCAUUAAAGCAAUGGAGACACUAUUUAUAUGGGGUUAAGUGUGAGGUCUAUACUGAUCAUCGUAGCCUACAGUAUGUCUUUACUCAGAAAGAUUUGAACUUGAGACAGAGGAGAUGGAUGGAACUACUGAAGGACUACGACAUCACUAUUUUGUAUCAUCCGGGGAAGGCGAAUGUUGUAGCGGAUGCUUUAAGUAGAAAGGCGGGAAGCAUGGGAAGUCUAGCUCACUUGCAAGCUUCUAGACGCCCAUUGGCUAGAGAAGUUCAGAUUCUGGCUAACGACCUUAUGAGAUUAGAAGUAAAUGAGAAGGGAGGAUUCUUAGAUUGUGUGGAGGCAAGAUCUUCCUUCCUUGACAAGAUUAAAGGAAAGCAGUUUAAUGAUGAAAAAUUGAUCCGGAUCCGAGAUAAAGUGUUGCGAGGAGAGGCUAAAGAAGCGACAAUCGAUGAGGAAGGUGUUUUGAGGAUUAAGGGAAGGGUAUGUGUACCCCGCGUCGAUGAUUUGAUCAACACUAUUCUGACAGAGGCUCAUAGUUCAAGGUAUUCGAUACAUCCGGGUGCAACCAAGAUGUACUGUGACCUAAAGCAACAGUUUUGGUGGAGUAGAAUGAAGCGUGAUACUGUGGAUUUUAUUGCCAAAUGUCUAAACUGUCAACAAGUAAAGUAUGAACACCAAAGGCCCGGAGGAACACUUCAGAGAAUGCCCAUUCGUGAAUGGAAGUGGGAAAGGAUUGCGAUGAAUUUCGUGGCUGGUCUUCCAAAGACAUUGGGAAAGUUUGAUUCUAUUUGGGUAAUUGUUGAUAGGUUAACUAAGUCUGCUCACUUCAUUUCGGUCAAGGUGACUUACAAUGCGGAGAAGUUAACCAAACUUUACAUCUCGGAAGUGGUGCGAUUGCAUGGGGUUCCACUCUCCAUUAUAUCAGAUAGAGGCACGCAGUUUACUUCUAAGUUUUGGAAGACAUUGCAUGCGGAAUUGGGUACUAGGUUGGACCUUAGUACUGCGUUCCAUCCUCAGACCGAUGGUCAGUUUGAGAGAACGAUUCAAGUGUUGGAGGAUAUGCUUCGUGUAUGUGUGAUAGAGUUUGGUGGCCAUUGGGAUAACUUCUUACCCUUAGCAGAGUUCUCCUACAACAAUAGCUAUCACUCAAGUAUUGAUAUGGCCCCAUUUGAGGCACUAUAUGGGAGGAGAUGUAGGUCUCCCAUUGGGUGGUUUGAUGCAUUUGAGGUUAGACCUUGGGGUACUGAACUUUUAAGGGAUUCAUUGGAGAAAGUGAGAUCUAUUCAAGAAAAGCUUCUAGCGGCUCAAAGUAGGCAAAAAGAAUAUGCAGAUCGAAGGGUUAGAGACUUAGAGUUCAUGGAGGGUGAACAAGUCUUGUUGAAAGUUUCACCAAUGAAAGGGGUGAUGCGGUUUGGUAAAAGAGGUAAACUUAGCCCAAGGUAUAUUGGUCCAUUUGAAGUACUUAAGCGAGUAGGGGAGGUGGAUUAUGAGUUAGCCUUGCCUCCAGGACUGUCCGGAGUGCAUCCGGUAUUCCAUGUGUCUAUGUUGAAAAGAUACCAUGGGGAUAGAAACUACAUUAUCCGUUGGGAUUCAGUUUUGCUUGAUGAGAAUUUGUCUUAUGAGGAGGAGCCUGUUGCCAUUCUAGAUAGAGAAAUUCGCAAGUUGAGAUCAAGGGAGAUUGCAUCCAUCAAAGUUCAAUGGAAGAAUCGACCCGUUGAAGAAGCCACUUGGGAGAAGGAGGCAGAUAUGCGAGAAAGAUACCCACAGCUGUUUACAGAUUCAGGUACUCCUCUUCACCCUUGUUUUCCUUCCUGUGAUCGUUCGGGGACGAACGAUGGGUAAAUUGGUAUCUAUUGUAACGACCUGUUUAGUCGUUUUGAGCAGCAGACUUCAAUUUUGGAAAAACUGGCAGAAGCGACGGACCCCACGACGGACCGUCAUGGGCACGACGGACCGUCGCAGGGUCUCGUUUCAAAACACUUAGAAAAUCUGAAAUUGGAUACUGAAAAUCGACUCUCUGAACUUCGUAACGGAAUGGCAGGACGGACUGUCACAGGUGUGACGGACCGUCACAGACCCUUCAGAGAAAUUGAGUCUCUGAAGUCUGUGACGGAGCAGCAGGACGGACCGUCGCAGGCGCGACGGGCCGUCACAGGCUGCGAAAUCCCACUCUGGGUCGGAUUUCUUUAUACGUUUUAAGGGACGUUUUUGACUAUUCUUGCUUUAAUUAUAAAGUUAGUGGGUUAAUUUUAAUAAGUCUAAUUACUUGGGGGUUAAAAGAGGUAACCUUAAAUUAAUUAGUGGGUUAUUAUUGCCAUCUUUUUUUCUUAAUUAUAUGCUAAUUAGUGUAAAAGAAAGAGGGUUUUGAAUAAAGAAAAUAGAAAGAACAAGAAGAGAGAGAGAGGGUCGAUCGAGAAGGGGAAACACAAAGCUUUGGAGAAAAUUUGCUUGCUUGAUCACGAAUCUUCGGUGGAGGUAGGUUAUGGUUUUCAUGCUAUUCGUAGUAAACUCUUAAUAGCGAAUUAUAUGUGUUAGUAGUAUUGUGAACCUUCGAUAUGCUUAAUUGUAUGCUUGCAUGAAUGAUGUGAUUAUGUAAUUAUGACUAAAUAAGCAUGAUGAAGCUAUUGAAUCCCAAAUCUUGAAAAGAAACCCUAAUCUACUUUGUUAAUGAUGAUGCCUUGUUAUAAAAGAAGGCUUGAUGAAUGAAAGUAGUGAAAUUAGGGGAUCGGGUGCCACGUUCCGGUACCAGGAUAGUAUAUGAGGAUCGGGUGCCACGUUCCGGUACCAGGAUAGAAUAUGGAUCGGGUGUCACAUUCCGACACCAGGAUAAAAUAUGGAUCGGGUGCCACGUUUCGGUACCAGGAUAGUAUAUGAGGAUCGGAGUGUCACGUUCCGACACCAGGAUAGUAUAUUGAGGAGCGGAGUGUCACGUACCGACACGAGGGGAAUAAAGAUAAUGAAUCUUGAAAGAUGUUAAUAUAUUCAAUCUAAUGAACCGAAUUCCCAAAUGAGUAUGAUGAGGAGGCGUGAGUCCUCAUUGAUGUGCUUGGUGUUGUAACCAAGGGUUAUGGUAACUGUAAAUGCUGCAUGCUAAGGAUAUUAGUUGAUUUUAUGAUAUUGCUUAAUAUAUACUGUUUUCUAUUUUGAGUUGGCCGAUGAUAUCUACUCAGUACCCGUGUUUGUACUGACCCCCUACUUUUAUGUUUUCUUCUUGUUAUUUGUGGAGUGCAGCAAACGUGCCGUCAUCUUCGACUCAACAAUAAUUCAAGCCAGUCUUUACUACACCGGAAAUUUAGGGUGAGCUAAUGCUUCUAGCUUGGAUUGGAUCUUCUUCUUCAUGUCUUGAUGCCUUGAAGUUCCGGCAUGAACUAGCUUUUAUGUAUUUUUAGCUUCUUAGAAACUCUUAGAUUUAGUAAUUUGAUCAUAGAUGUUCUUGUGGUGAUGACUUCCAGAUUUUGGGAAAUAAUAAUUAUUGAAUUGGUUUUUAUUAAUGAGUUUUAAGUCUUCUGCAUUGUUUUCUAUUUAUUAUGUUCGAAAUGUUAAGGUUUAGAUUGGUUGGUUCGCUCACAUAGGAGGGUAAGUGUGGGUGCCAGUCGCGAUCCACAAAAUUUUAAACGAAUUGAGCAUGUUAAGUAGUUUGGGCUAUUUUUUUUGACACCCCUACAACCAAUGUACCAAAGUUACUUAUGUGUAAAUCACUAAUUAAUGAACUAUGUUAUAUACUUUGUCUAUUGGUUCAUGAGCAGAUAUUUUACCAUAAAUUUCUAAUCUAUUCUUGUGCGAUUUCUGUUGAAGAAGAUCUGAUUUGCACCAAAUUGUCUCAUGAUGUUCUGGAAUGGAUGAUAUAAUAUUAUUGUAGACAAGAACAUGGGAUCAUAGAAUUUCUAUAAGAUUUAAGUGUGCAAAUAAUAAAAAAAAGAGGCAUGAAGGGUGUCUUUGGUACGUAUAUGAAAAAUGCUUUUAGAAAAAUAAGUGAAUUUUCUAAUAUUUAUUAUUUUCUGUUCAUUAUGCCAGUAAAAUAGAGAGUAAAUUUUAUCAUAAUUGCGCUUCAUAGCAAAAUUUUAAUUUGCUGUGGAGCUGUCUUUCUGUAUAUUUCGGUAUUCUUUCAAUUUAAUAUAUAUUUUAAUUGAUUAAAAAAUUUAAAUAACGAGGCGAUAUUUUAAGUUAGAAAAAAAAAGGAAAAGAAUUGCUGAAGUCACGUGCAUUCUGUUCCAACCGAAUUUCCUUCCUUCUAUGUCUUCUUCAACAGUAAGAACUUUAUUGUAACUCAGUUCGAAAAAUCGAUCAAGCUGUUGACGAUACUAUACAUACAAUCAAGAUCAUAUUGAUUUUAGAAAUAACAACAGGAGGUAAUUUCAUGACGAAUAUAAUCUGAUUUUUUUUUCUUUUGUCGAAAUUGGUGUUAACGUGUAUUCAAAAUUAGAUUUUCUAUUUAACUUUAAUCAAUUUAAGUUGAAUGUAGAUUCAUAGGUGUAUAUUGUGUUAGUAAUAGAGUUUAACACUUAUAAUUUGUAUAGUUAAUUUGAAAUCUAAGAAAAAUUGUGAUUUGCAAAAUUUCUCGAUGAGAUUGUUGAUUAUUUUGAAUUUGUGAUCGAAGAUUCGUUCUUUUGACAGUAGUAUUUUUGUUCAAAUUUGCAUAUUUGAUAUCGAACCUAUGAAUGAAGAAAUUGUAUUAUGACUUGCUUCGAGUUUAUACGUAUAGGUGUUUAGAUAUAAUUUUAGUAAGAUAUGUAUAAUUCGUACAUGAAACUAUUGACUUUUUGUCUUGAAUUUGUGUAUUAGUACAAUAUAUUUUAAUCCUAAUUUUGGAUAUAUGAUUCUUAUAUAAAUACAAAAAUCUAUAUUGUGGUAAAAAUAACAAUAACAUUGCACCGUGUGAAAUUGUAAAUUUGUGUAUAAAAAUUUAGUUUGUGUAUAUAAUCAUUCAUAUAAGUGUAUGUUCAACAUAUGUAUAUAAAUGAAAACUAAAUUCCAUGUACGUUACAUACAUAUAUCUAUUAGUGUUGUUGUGAGUUGUAUAAGUAUAUGAAACUGUUGACUGUUUAUUUGAAUUUGUAUAUUUAUACAGUGCAUAUUAAUCCUUAUUUUGGAUAUUGGAUUCUGUAUAUGUACAUAUAUAUGUCAAUUAUUUUAUGUAUAUGUAUAUAACUGAAAAAUUAAAUUCUCUAUAAUUUGUUUAAGUUUAUGUUCUGUUUGUUGUUGAGAUUCUUAAUCAUAUAAAUGUAUAUGUAUAUAUAAUUUAAAUGAAAUAGGUUGUGACGACGACUAAAUAUAUAUACAGUGUGACUGAUGAUGGUAGGAGUUUUGUGGUCUAUUUAAAGAAUCAAACAUGCGGUUGUGAAAAGUUUUAAUACGAAGAAAUAUCGAUUUAUCCAUUGCCUGAUGUAGCAAAAUGGGUGAUACCUGAAUACUUAAUGUAUAAUAAAGUUCGACCCCGAAAUUCAAAAGACCUCCUAAAAGGCCAAAAAAUAAAUCUCGUUAAAAAACAAAACGUGAAUUGCUUGGUCUCAAAGGGAAACAUACAUGUACCACAUGUGGAGUUGAACGUCACAACAGGCGUUCAUGUAGAAAUAGGGCUCGAGAAGUUUAGUGAGGUCUUUCGAUUAUAUAGGAGUGCAAUCUUGGAUUUUAUGGAUACUUGAAUGUUAGCUAGUUUUGUGUUUAAACUAUAUGAGUUGGAAUGUUGAUGAUGGAAUAAAUUUGUUAUGUCCUAUUAAUAGUAAACAUUUUGUUCUUCUUUUGUAUUCAUGCUCUUGUAUAUAGUUUGAGUUAUCAUUAUCGUAUGUAUUGUCCAUCAUAUACAGAAAUAUUAUAUGUAUAAAUUAAAUUGAACAUUUUAUUAUAUUUGUAUAAGUUGACUAUUAAAAUAGCAUAUGUAUAAGUUAUAUUAAACGAUGUAUUUGUAUUCUAUGUGUAUUUGUUCUAUUGAAAUAUUUUUCUCUUUUUGAACAGAAAAUGCAUAUGUACACUCUAUAUUUAUACUGUAUGAACGAUUGUAUAAGGUGGUUAUAUAUAUAUAUAUAUAUAUAUAUAUAUAUAUAUAUAUAUAUAUAUAUAUAUAUAUAUAUAUAUAUAUAUAUAAACGUUGUAUAAGCCUAACAAUGUGUAUUUAUACACUCAAUAUAAAACAUACUCAUAGAUUUAUAUAGUUAAUAUAUAAAUAUAUGUUGUAAUUUAUGAAGUAUAUAUAUUUAUACUUUGUGAAUGAUUGUAUAAACCUAACAAUGUGUGUAUAUAUAUAUACUCAACAUAAAACAUAUUUCUAAAUUGGGUAAAUCACAUAAAUAUGCUAUAUUUAAAAAAUAUUUACCAUUUAUGUCAAUGUAAUUUUAUAACUAAAUAUAACAAUUUUUUGAAAUAAAAGAAAAUGUACCGUCGCUUUCUUUCUCGGUCCUUUUGCCUCUUAAUCUUUUUCUUUUCUUUUUAAAGAUCUUCUUUCUUAUCUUUCUCUCUCUUUCAUUAUUAUCUCCGUAUUCUUAUUCUUAUUAUUAUUAUUAUUAUUUUUAAUUCUUCUUCUUCUUUCAAUUUUUAUUUAAUUAACAAAUCAAUUUUUCAUAUUUCACUAUGUGCAUGUCACUAUUUUUAUACAAAAAAAAAAAGAUGAAAAGAGGAACAAAAAACCCGUAAAAUUGUAAAAAAUCACUUUUUAAAGCAGAAAUUUCGAAUCACUAAAAUUACAGAAGUAAGAGUUCACAAUUGAUAGUCAUUAUAAGCUUCAAAUUUUGAAUUCAUUAUUUGCAUUUACAAAUUUGUGAUAAGUUUAAAUAGAUAAUUUUACAAAUAAUUGAAAAUGUCGUUUGGAGUUUAUAUAUCAAUUUUAAGAGGGUUUGGUCAAGUUUAUAAUUGAUUUUAAGAGAAAUAUUGGAUUGAAAUGAAUUAAAUAUAACAUUAAAUUGUCCUGCAAAAGUAUUAAAGUUGAGUAGAUGAUACAAUUUUAAUGCAAAUUUAAUUAAUUUUGAAUUUUUUUAAUUUAUUUGUUACUAUCGAUACUUGUUUAAUUCAUUACUGAUAUAACUUAUCAGUUUAUAGAUCAUUGUCAUGUCUUUCGUUAGUUACAUUUUUCAUUCAUUCUUAAUUUUCUUUUCUAAUUCAACUUUAAAUACUGUGUAAUACAAUUUUAAUGUAAAUUUAAUUCAUUGAACAUUUUUUUAAUUUGUUACUAUUGGAUACUUGUUUAAUUCAUUAUUGAUACAAUUUUAAUUCACUCUACAAAUCAUUGUCUUGUCAAUCAUUAGCUACGUUUUCCAUUCAUUUUUAAUUCUCUCUUCUUAUUCAAAUUUAACACAGUAUAUUACAAUUUUAAUACAAAUUUAAUUCAUUUUGCAUUGUUAUUUAUUUGUCCCUAUUGGAUACUUGUUUAAUUCAUUAUUGAUAUAAGUUUAAUUCACUCUAUAAAUCAUUGUCUAACAUUUCAUUUGUUGCAUUUUUUUAUUCAUGCUUAAUUUUCUCUUUUACCUCGACUUUAAUAUUUGUUUUGAUACAUUUUUAAAUACAAAUUUAAUCAUUUUUAUAAUUAAUUGAUUGAUUAUAAUUACAUAAGUGUUAAACUGCAUAUAUAAUGAAAUUAACAAAAAUAAAUAAGUAAAAAACUUGGAAGUUCAAAAUAUACAAGGUUAUUAUGUAUGUCAUUUGCAUAUGAAAAAAAUAAAAAUUUAAUACUAAUGUUCUAAUUAAUUAGGAUCCUUUAAUUUGACUGCUAUCACAAUUCCUGUGUAUCCUGAUUGACCCUUCUGGUGCCUCGCUGUCACUAGUGGCAUCGGCUUGGAUCUUUUGUAUUUCAUAAUUUCACAAUAAUGCAACAUCGACUAGGAUCUUUUGCGUUAGAUAUGGACAUUAACCUGCAAACUCCCCAAACCCCGAUUAGACCAAGAAAAACGAUGUGUGUUCAACAAUAUUUUCACCAUAUAAGGGUAUAUCUCUUGUGAAUCUUUUAAAUGGAGAUUGGACAUCCACUGUUUGAAUGAAAACUCUAUAUGAAUUAUGAACUUGUAUGAAAAAUAGCUUGAAAAAAUAGACAAAAAUUUAAAUUAAUCGAUUGAGAUAAGUUUUGGCGGUAUUGGAAUUUUUGAAGAAAUUGUGAAACCGCGAUUGAGAACCAGUUGGUGAAGAUUUGAAUUUUUUCAAACUGAUUUGGGGAGAAAUUGAAGGAAAUAUAAGAUAUAAACGAGAAGAAGAGAUUGUACAAAGGGAAUAACGUUAAUUUUUUUUAACUUAUACAAAUCGGUGGAACCCAUUAAUAGCAAUCUGACUGAGACUUAUUUCCCUGCCAAGUCUCUUUUGCCUUUAUCGUUUUAUACAAAUUCAAAUUGUAUAUAAUUUCUCUCUUUCUCGUUUUAUACAAUUCAAUUAUGCUUUUCUUGCUUUCUCAUUUUAUACAAUUCAAAAUUGUAUAUAAUUUUUCUCUUUCUCUUUUUAUACAAUUCGCUUCAGUUGUAUAUGUAUAGCGAAUUGUGCAUAUGUAAGUUUGCUAUAGAGCGCAUUAUUCAAACUUUGAUAUAGCAUAUAAAUAUGAAUUUUAUGUUUUGUAUAUGUGAAAGUUGCCUUUUUAAUUUUCAUAACUAGUUGUUAUACUAUUUGAAUACAUAUUUAUUUUAUUAAAUGAUGCAAAUUAAUAAUUAAGGGAUGAAAUUCAAAUUACCUGGCCUCUGGAGUGUGGCGUGUUAGGAUAAAAAAUUAGCAGGUGUAACGCGAAAGCUAGCAAAACAAACCUCGAAAGAUCAUGAGUAAGAAGAUAAAUGAGAAACACACAAAAAACACAAAGAUUUAAACGUGGUUCGGUCAAUCGACCUACGUCCACAAAAGAGAUGAACAAUCCAUUAUAAUAAAUAUAUAGAGACAUAACCUCAACCAAUUAACUCAAAAUGCAUGGGAGGUUCAUACAAAUGAUAAUGUAUCAAGCUUGUGUCCCGCAAAUUCUCUCCCUAAUCAAAACUCUCAAAGUUUAAGACUACAAUGUGAAUGUUAAUUAAGUUAGAAGGUACAAACUUAUAUUUAUGGAGUCCUAAAUCUUUUCCUACAAGAAAAGAAGGGAAAAAAGGACUAGAGAGACAUAUCCUUUUCCAAAUAGAAAAAUCUAUUUAUGAUAAGAAAUCAUGAUAAAUAAAAUCUAACAUGGCGGGUGCCAAUCAUAUUUAAGGAAUAGUUUAAAAUGUGAUUGUAUACUGCCUAUUGGUUUACUAGCGUAUAUAUUACUAAAAAGUUCUUAAUAGUCUGAAAAAUGUGUAGCAGUAAAAUCAAGAAAUUCCAAAAUUUCUCUUUUUCUAUAUUAUCAAGAAUAAAAAAUAGUCAUUAAGGUCUAUAUAUUCAUGUGUGAUUGCUGUUGAAAUAUAUAUGCAUUGAAUUAUCUCUUGAUAUCUUAAAUUAAUGAUUUAAUAUUAUAGACAAGAACGUGGGAUAACAUAAUCGAUCCCCACAAAAUUUAAUGGGACCAUAGAAUCCCCCACAAAAUUAAUGGAAUAAUAGAAUCCCCACAAAAUUGAAGUGUGCAAUUGACAAAAAAUGAGACAUGAAGGGAGUGUUUGGUAUGACGAAAAACGUUUUCAUAUAAGAAAAUGUCUUUUAGGUAAAUAAGUUGGUUAUUUUUUUCUUUUAUCUUUUUGUUUGGUAUUCUUCAUAUUAACCACAUUUGUUUCUAUAUAUAAUUUAGAUAGAUAUUAUGUCAGGUGAACAUAGAGGGAUGUGGAUGAAGAUGAGGUGUGUUGGAAGGUGAGAGUUACUACCAAUGUGGAAUGUUAGUAACUUGUUUUCGAAACUUUCAUUUCUUAAGAAAGUUAUUUUCCUCAAUUCUAAAGUGUUUGGGUGUAGAUGUUUUCCAUUAUUAAGGAUAAUAACAAGUUCAGCAAAGACUUACCCUCGUUGUAUUGUGAUAAUAUGAGUGUCUUGUACAUGACGAUUAAUUGAGUUAAUACCUCAUAUGGUCACUCAACUAUGUAUUCUUCUCUUAGAAAGUCACUCAACUUUCAAUUUUCACUCAAAAGUCACUCAACUAUGCACUUCUUUCUCACAAAGUCACUCAACUUUGAAUUUUAACUCAAAAGUCACUCAACUAUCCACUCUUUCAUCAGAAAAUCAAUCAAUCUAUUAAAUUGUUUUUUUAACUAAAACUUGUUGAUAUUAAUUAUUUAUAUAACAAAUAAAGAAAAUUUAAAAAUAAAAAAUACCAUUUAAACCAUUUAGUGAUCCACUCACGUAACCCGACCCAUUAAAAAACAUGAUAUGACCCAUUUUAUUUGGUCUUUAAUCCUAAUUCAAGAUUUAAAGAGAGGGAUUAAUUUAGGAUUAAAGAUAUAAUAAAAUGGGUCAUAUCAUAUUUUUUAAUGGGUCGGGUUAGGUGGGUGGAUCACUAAAUGAUUUAGUUUAUUUUUAAAAUUUUUUGAUUUGUUAUAUAACUAAUUAAUAUCAAUAAAUUUUAAUUAAAAAAUAAUUUAAUAGAUUGAGUGACUUUCUGAGGAAAGAGUGGAUAGUUGAGUGACUUUUGAAUUAAAAUUCAAAGUUGAGUGACUUUCUAAGAAAAGAGUGCAUAGUUGAGUGACCAUCUGAGGUAUUAACCUCCGGUUAAUUCAAUUAUGCAACUCAAGAUUAUUUUUAUCCUUAAUUGUCUGAUGAUGUUCUGAAAUGCAUGAUAUAAUACUGUAGACAAGAACAUGGAUUAUAGAAUUUCCAUAAAAUUUGAAGUGUGGAAAUGUAAAAAAGAGACAUAAAGGGUGUUUUUGGUAUAUAACAUCACUUGAUUUCCUUCUUCUUUACUUUUUUGGGACAAAAAUUGAAUUUGGUUAGUUAACUAUGGACAUGGGGAUCAUAAAAUAUAAAGAAAAGGUUUUUGUUAAUCUCAUUUUGUAAUAUUGGAAUUGCAGAGUUACCGAAUCAAUGAAAAAAAGGGUUAUAAUUCAAUUGUUAAAUAAAAAUGAUUCUAAAAAUUAGGUCAAAGGAAAUAUUGACACAAGUGUAUUCAUACCUUCUUAUUUUGAAAUCACUAUUUGCUGCACACAAUUUUUGAAACAUAUAAGUAGAAAGUUGUCACGACUCAAAAUGAAUCGUGAGUGGUACCCACACUUACCUCCUCUAGAUGGGCGAACCAACACGUCUGAACCCCAACAUAUACCAAUAGUUCAACUAUAAAUAACAAAAAUAAUGCGAAAGCACCAAAAGUUAUUAAGUAACCAAUUUAAAUAAGUUUCUAAAGUUUAAUACUUAUUAUCCCAAAAUCUGGUAGUCAUCACAUCAAGAACAUCUAUUUCCAAAUUACCAAGUCUAAAAGUGUUUAAGAAACCAAAAUAAGCAAAAAGAUGACCCAUAUCCGAAAUUCAAAAACAUCAAGACGUGAAUGAGAUAAUCCAGCACGAGCUAGAAUUAAUAGCUCACCCUAAACUCUGAUAUGCUGGAGACUGGCUAGAGCUGAGGGCGAGUCGAAGUCGAUGGUACACUUGCUCCACCGAAGAAUCAAAGUCAAGCAACUACUUGUCCAAUGCCUUUCCUUUCCUCAUUGCCUCCGAACCCUUCCAAUCUAUCAAAUAUAUAUAUAUAUAAGGUGUAAGUUCACAAGGCCAUAAACACUCCGAUUAUUCUGUGUCUAGCCUAUACCCAUCAAUUCACCUAAUUCUAUAAUCAAUCUCUUAAAGUUUAAGCCUAAUGGUAAGUCUUAAUUCCUCCAAUUACCACAAAUUUAAUGAAAUUUAAACAGUAUGAUACACCUAUCUCAAUAUAUUCACACGUAAUUUAUAAUCUUAGAUCAAAACAUUAAUAUGAGAAGUUUGAAGCCACUGUAAUAAAAUCAGCGCCGGUCAACACCAAACUAUGCACUCAUACGUGCAUACAACCAAACUCCUCAACAUAUAUGUUGCCUCCAUUUUGUAUAUAAUAAUAUUAUUCCUACUAAUAACCAUUGGCUCCAGUUAACUUUCCUUCUUUUUCAAUAUUAUUAAAUUCCAUCACCAACACUUAGUUGUUCCUCAUUAAUGACAGAUGUCCACCUUCCAAUAAAAAUGAACCUUUAAUUAUCCAAUUCACACCCUUAUAUAACCAUAAUAUUUUACUAUAUAACAACUAUAUAACAAUACAAUAGGAUAAACUCCAUAAAUUAUAAUCACUAACUUGAUCCGGGAAAAAAAACAAAUAAGUCAAAACAAUCAUAUACUCUUAUGCCUAAAAUCUAUCACAUACGGCUAAUGAUCAUUCUCUAAUAUACAAUAUAUAUAUAAUAAGGCGUCUUAAUAUAUCUAGCAAAUCUACAUAUGAACGCAUACCUGACUUAAUCGCCUUUACUUUGUUCUCGUCUUUCUCUUCGUUCUUCUCUUCCCCUUCUUUCCUUUUACGGAUUAUGUUAUUUUCUACCCUAAUUAUAAUAUAACCAAUUAUAAAAAUUGUAAAAGUGAUCCACCUUACUUCUAAUGUUACUUUUCUUAACCACCAACUAAAUAACUAUUAAAAGCUUCCUCACUAAUUUCAUAAUUAUAAUUACGAAUAGUCCAAAAUAUCCACUUACAAUAUAUCGGAAAGUAUUUUAUGAAAUAUAAGGUUUUAACACACGAAAUGACCCAAAGGGUCGUUACAGUAGAUACCAAUUUACCCAUCGUUCGUCCUCGAACGAUCAAAAGAAAGUGAGAGUAAGGAAAGGUACUUGAAUUGGUAAAAAUGUGUGGAUAUCUUUUACGCAUAUCAGCCUCACUCUCCCAAGUGGAAUCUUUGACUGACCGAUUCUUCAACUGAACCUUGAUAGAUGCAAUAUCCUUUGAUCUGAACUUGCGGACCUCCCUAUCUAGAAUAGCAACAGGCUCCUCCUCAUAAGACAGAUUCUCAUAAAAAAAGAACUGAAUCCCAACGAAUAAUGUAAUUUCCAUCACCGUGGUAUUUUUUCAGCAUUGACACAUGAAAUACUGGGUGCACUCCUGACAACCGUGAAGGCAAGGCCAAUUCAUAGGUCACCUCCCCCACGUGCUUAAGAACUUCAAAUGGUCCAAUAUACCUCGGACUAAGCUUACCUCACUUACCAUACCGCAUCACACCUUUUCAUUGGUGAAACCUUCAGCAAGACUUGUUCACCCUCCAUAAAAUCCAAGUCCCUAACUUUUCGAUCUGCAUAUUCCUUCAGCCUACUCUGAGCUGCUAAAAGCUUUUCUUGAAUAAAUUUCACUUUUUCUAAUGAUUCCCUCAGAAGAUCAGUACCCCAAGGUCUAACUUCAAAUGCAUCAAACCAACCAAUGGAAGACCUGCAUCUCCUCCCAUACAAUGCCUCAAAUGGCGCCAUAUCAAUACUCGAGUGUAGCUAUUGGUAUAUGAAAACUCUGCCAAAGGUAAAAAUUUAUCCCAGUGACCACCAAAUUCUAUCCUACAUGCACGAAGCAUGUCCUCCAACACGUGAAUCGUUCACUCAGACUGACCAUCGGUCUGAGGGUGAAAUGCAGUACUAAAAUCAAGUCUAGUAACUAAUUCAACAUGUAAUGUCCUCCAAAACUUAGAAUUAAAUUGCGUACCUCUAUCAGAUAUGAUGAAAAGUGGAACUCCAUGCAAGCGAACAAUUUCAGAGACAUAGAGUUUAGCUAACUUCUCGGCAUUGUAAGUCAUCUUAACCGGAAUGAAGUGAGCAGACUUAGUUAACCUGUCAAUAAUUACCCAAAUAGAAUCAAACUUACCCAAUGUCUUUGGAAGACCAACUACGAAAUCCAUUGCAAUUCUUUCCCACUUCCAUUCAGGAAUGGACAUUCUCUGAAGUAUCCCUCCAGGCCUCUAGUGUUCAUACUUUACCUGCUGACAAUUCGGGCAUUGGGCAACAAAAUCAACAAUGUCACGCUUCAUUGUACUCCACCAAAAAUGUUGCUUUAGAUCACGAUACAUCUUUGUUGCACUAGGAUAUAUAGAAUACCUUGAACUAUGAGCCUCUGUAAGAAUAGUGUGAAUCAAAUCAUGCUCACGGGGCACAUAUACUCUUUCCUUAAUCCUCAAGAUGCCUUCUUCAUCAAUUACUACCUCUUUAGCCUCUCCUCGCAAUACCAUAUCUCAAAUUCGGCUCAGCUUGUCAUCAGCAAACUGAAUUCCCUUAAUCUUGUCAAGAAAAGAAGAUCUUGCCUCCACACUGGCCAAAAAUCCUCCUUUAUCUAUACUUCCAGCCUUAUAAAGUCAUUAGCCAGAGUCUGAACUUCUCUAGCCAAUGGGCGUCUAGAAACCUGUAAGUGGGCUAAACUACCCAUGCUCCCUGGUUUUCUGCUUAAAGCAUCUGCCACAAUAUUAGCUUUUCCUUGGUGAUAUAAAAUAGUAAUAUCAUAGUCUUUCAAUAGCUCCAUCCACCUCCUCUGCCUCAAAUUGAAAUCUUUCUGAGUAAAGACAUAUUGUAAACUACGAUGAUCUGUAUAAACUUCACGCUUGACCCCAUAUAGAUAAUGUCUCCAUUGCUUUAAUGCAAAUACAACUGCAGCCAACUCCAAACCAUGGGUCGGAUAGUUACGUUCAUGUACUUUCAAUUGCCUCGAAGCAUAAACAAUUACAUUUCUCUCCUGCAUUAGCACUGCACCCAAACCAGAAUAAGAUGCAUCACAAUAAACAAUAAAAUUCUUACCUUCCACUGGCAAGGUAAGAAUUGGUGCAGUAGUCAACAAAGUUUUAAGUUUCUGGAAGCUUUCUUCACAUUCAUCCGACCAUACAAAUGGAAUAUUCUACUUAGUCAAAUUUUUCAGCUGAGAAGCAAUAGAAGAAAAUCCCUUGACGAAUCGACGGUAGUAGCUAGCUAAACCAAUAAAGCUCCUUACCUCUGCAACAUUAGUAGGUCUUACCCAACUCUUCACUGCUUCAAUCUUAGAAUUUGGCAUAAAACCUUUUCUCCCUUAACAACUCUAAUACAAUUCCCAAAUGCUCCUCAUGUUCUUUCCUGCUCUUUGAGUAUAUCAGUAUAUCAUCAAUACUUUAAAAUCCCGUUCAUCAGGCUUAUGAAAGCAGUAGGGGCAUUCAUAAGCCCAAAAGACAUUACUAAGAAUUCAUAAUGCCCAUACCUGGUUCAAAAAGCAGUCUUUUGCACAUCUUUUGCCCGUAUUUUCAACUGAUGAUAACCGAAUCUCAAAUCAAUUUUAGAGAAGACACAAGCACCUUGUAAUUGAUCAAAUAAAUCAUCAAUGCGAGGAAUGAGAUACUUGUUCUUAAUAGUUACCUUAUUUAACUGCCUGUAGUCUAUGCACAUCCGAAAACUUCCAUCUUUCUUCUUCACAAAUAAAACAGGAGCACCCCAAGGGGGUGCACUCGGUCUAAUAAAACAUUUACCUAACAACUCCUGAAGUUGGGCCUUUAACUCUCUUAACUCAGCUGGAGCCAUUCUAUAAGGGGGAAUGGAAAUGGGGCGAGUACCCGGCUCCAGAUAAAUACAAAAAUCAAUAUCCCUAUCCGGUGGCAUACCAAGAAGGUCUCCAGGAAACACAUCCAGAAACUCAGGGACUAUCAAAACAGACUCAAUCGAAGGUGCUUUGGAAGUAUCAUCCCUGAGAUGUGCCAAGAAAUCUAACAACCCUUACUCACCAUCCUCUUAGCAUGAAGAAAAGAGAUAAUACGAACUGGAGUGGAAAUAUAGUCACCCUCCCACACUAGAGGAUCUGUCCCAGGCUUGGCUAAUGUCACAGUUUUAGCAUUACAAUCUAAGGUUGCAAAAUUUGGAGAAAUCCAAGUCAUACGCAGAAUUACAUCAAAAUCAACCAUCUCUAGAAUAAUCAAAUCUACAUAAGUAUUGCUCCACACAAAAAGUUACAAGGCAUGAUCGAUACACCUUCUCAACUAUCACAGACUCACCCACAGGAGUAGAGACACGAAUAGACAUGUCAAGCAAAUCACAAUAUAAAUCAAGACCAGUAGCAAAUGAGGAAGAUACAUAUGAAAAUGUGGAUCCAGGAUCAAACAAUACAGAAGCCAUGCAAUCACAGACCAAAAGAGUACAUGUGAUAACAGCAUCAGAUGUCUCUGCUUCAGACCUCCCGGGAAAGCAUAACAAUGGGCCCUAUCACCUAUCUGUCCAUUGCCCCUACCAAGAUGCGCUGCAAUAGUUCCAAGUUGCCCGCCACCCCGACUGAACUGGUGACCACCAUUACCUUGGCCACCACAUUCCCCAGAAUGGCGGCUUCUACCAUGACUACCUCUACCUCUAACUACUGGGGAUCUGUAACUCUGUUUUGGACAAUAUUUCCUAAUAUUUCCAGCCUCUCCACAUCCAUAAAAAGUCCUGGAGUCAAGUAUAAGCCUCUGUGAAAAUGACAAAGUCUAGAGAUAACCUCCAAACUCAGAAAAAGGCUUACUGGUCUACGAUGGACCCCCAACUAAAUUCUGCAAUGAAGAUUGAAUAAGACGGGCUGGAUAACCUCCUGAACUCUGCCCUCUGGAGUAAGAACCACUAAACUCACCUCCCUUACAAAAAUUCUUAAAUGUCGGUGUUGUGGUGAAGUCGUCUGGCUUCACCCCCUCUACAUCUAUCACAAAAUCAACCACUUCCUGAAAGGAGUUUGCUACAGCAGCUACCUGUAAGGCUGAAAUCUGCAAAUAUGAUCUCAAUCCUUUAACAAAGCAACGAAUCCGCUCUUGUGGGCUAAAGAAAAGCUGAGUGGCAUACCUGGAUAGUGCAAAAAAUUUGGCCUCAUAAGCAUCAACAAACAUCCUUCCUUGCUCUAGGCUCAGGAACUCAUCUCUCCUCCUAUCCCCCAAAGUCCGGGGUAUAUAUUUCUCCAUAAAUAAGCUAGAAAAUGAUGUCUAAGUCAUAGGUGGUUCCCUUGCUGGUUGACACUCAACAUACGACCGUCACCACAUUUUGGCAUCCCCCUAAAACUGGUAGGUCACAAACUCAACUCUAAAUCGCUCUACUAUGUUCAUCUUAUGUAGCAGCUCAUGACAGUCAACCAUAAAAUAUAGGCAUCUUCAGAUUUAGCACCCUUGAAGACUGAAGGUUUCAACUUUAAGAACUUAAUGAAAAGUUCAUGCUGAUCACCUGUCAUUAUAGACCCUGUAGUCAAUCGAGGAAACGUGCCUACUUCUAAUGAUGCAUCCAUGCGGGGAGCCACAACAGCUGCAUGUUGUACUCCUGAACCUGAGGUGCUGGUGCAGAAAACACUGGAGGUGUCUGGACCUGAUCAGAUAACCCGCUAAGAUAAGUCAGAACCUAAUUAAUCAUCUCUAGGGUAGGCUGGGGUGGUACUUCCUUAUCCUGAACCUGCUCAUUUUCCCCUUCCUCACCCUCUUUCACUACCUCAUCAGUCGGUAGAGAAGUCACUGCUCUAUUCCUACCCGGACCAGGUGUUUGUCAUCUGCCUCUAAUGGGCGUCCUCCUGCGACCUCUACCACGACCUCUUGCCACUGCUCCUCCUCGAGUUACAGCCCAAUGGUUGGCUCAGACGCACCGUGUCUUGCCGGUGUUGGUGUUGGCACAGUUGUUGCUCUAGUUCUAACCAUCUGCGAAAUAGAGUGAGAAUGUCAUAUACCAAUUUGUAUCACCUAGAUAACAAUUGAAUCCAAGUAAUAGCACGAAAUAAAGAAAGAAUGGAGUUUUCCUAAAGUCCUAUAGCCUCUCGAAGAAAAGUAAAGGCGUCCCCACACCGUUCCUCAAGACUCUACUAGACUUGUCUUUGUGUAAUGAGACCAACGAACCUAACGCUCUGAUACCAAGUUUGCCACGACCCAAAAUAAAUUGUGAGUGACACCCACACUUACCCCACCUAGGUGGGCUAACCAAUACGUUUGAACCCCAACAUAUACCAAUAUUUCAACUAUAAAUAACAAAAAUAAUGCGGAAGCUCCAAAAGUUAUUAAGUAAGCAAUUUAAAUAAGUUUUUAAAGUUUAAUACUUAUUAUCCCAAAUUCUGAUAGUUAUCAUAUCAAGGACAUCUAUUUCCAAAUUACCAAGUCUAAAAGUGUUUAAGAAAUCAAAAUAAGCAAAAAGAUGGCCCAUGUCCGAAAUUCAAAGACAUCAAGACGUGAAUGAGAGAAUCCAGCACGAGCUAGAAUUAAUAGCUCACCCUAAACUCUGAUAUGCUGGAGAUUGGCUAGAGCUGAGGGCGAGCCGAAGCCGAUGGUACACUUGCUCCACCAAAGAAUCGAAGUCAAGCAGCUACUUCUCAAAUGCCUUUCUUUUCCUUAUUACCUCCUAACCCUUCCAAUCUAUCAAAUAUAUAUAUAUAUAUAUAUAUAUAUAUAUAUAUAUAUAUAUAUAUAUAUAUAUAUAAGGUGUAAGUUCACAAGGCCAUAAACACUCUGAUUAUUUUGUGUCUAGCCUAGACCCAUCAUUCACCUAAUUCUAUAAUCAAUCUCUUAAAGUUUAAGCCUAAUGGUAAGUCUUAAUUCCUCCAAUUAUCAUAAAUUUAAUGAAAUUUAAACAGUAUGAUACACCAAAUAUUUAAUUACCUAUCUCAAUAUAUUCACACAUAAUUUAUAAUCUUAGAUCAAAACAUUAAUACCACAAGUUUGAAGCCACUGUAAUGAAACCAACGCCGGUCAACACCAAACUGUGCACUCAUACGUGCUAUGUACAACAAAACUCCUCAACAUACAUGUUGCCUCUAUUUUGUAUAUAAUAAUAUUAUUCCUACUAAUAACCAUUGGCUCCAAUUAACUUUCCUUCUUUUCCAAUAUUAUUAAAUUCCAUCACUAACACUUAGUUGUUCCUCAUUAAUGGCAGAUGUCCACCUUCCAAUAAAAAUGAACCUUUAAUUAUCCAAUACACACCCUUAUAUAACCAUAAUAUUUUACUAUAUAACAACCAUAUAGAAUACAAUAGGAUAAAAUCCAUAAAUUAUAAUCACUAACUUGAUCCGGAGAAAAUAAAUAAAUAAGUCAAAACAAUCAUAUACUCUUAUGCCUAAAAUCUAUCACAUACAGCUAAUGAUCAUUCUCUAAUAUCGUUAUCCAUUUCAUUUUCUGAUAUUUCAUAUAUGCUAUCUUCACUUUCUAAUUCAUAAUCUAUGUAUUCUAUAUGUGUAUAUUUUUUUAUCGUUUAUUAUUAUUUCUAAUAUUUAUUUUUUAUUUGGAUUUUUAGGUAAUUUACAGUCUCUCUCUAUAUGUCCUAGUUUUCUACAAUUAUAACAAGUACAUUCUGUUAUUUUUUUGGUGUAUAUGGUUUUUUGAUUUUAUAAUUUUUUACAUAGUAUCUUCUCUCGGUUUUUUGUAUUUAUAUUUUGAUCUGUAUUUUUUAUUAUUUCUAUUUUAUAAUACCUAUCCGUACAACCAAUUUGAGGUGUUGUUUUAUUUUUGCAACAUGCAAAUUUUUUUAUUAAUUUUUUUUUCAUUUUUAUUUUCUCUUUAUGUUUUUCACAUAGUUCCAUACACCAUCGUUGCAAGAAUUUUAUUCUAGCUCCUAAGAUAUCUGUUAAUUCUGCUUCGUUCAAACUUUUAUGACUUUUGAAUUAAAACGUUUUGGUAAUUUUGUAAAAUAUAAUUUUCUUAUUUCUUUACUUUCUUCUGUGCUAUAUGCUCCUUUAUAAUAGUAUUCCCUAAAUGCACAUGUAUAUUCAUCUAUGUAGCACAUAUUACAUAUUACUAAUUUUAUCAUUAGAUUUCGAUUUAUGAUUUUUUUAUUUUAUUCUUCUACCUCUGUUGUCAUACUGCUAAAUUCAUUUCUUAUAGCUACUUCAUAUUUAUAUAAUAUUUUCAUAGUUGUAGUAGCUAAUUCGCCACUAGAUUUUUUAUUACUUCUUAGAGUUUUUAAAUUUUCAUCUGAUAAAUUUUGUAAUCAUAAUUUUACUGUUCCUAUAAGUUUUCUUUCUAUAUAUCCCGGUGUCUCUGUUAUUACUAUUUUGUUAUCUUUUAAUUGUUUUGAUAUAUAUCUUAACCAUAAUUGGAUUGUUUUAUUUAUAUCUUCUUCACAGUCUAAAUCUAGAAAAUUGUGUUGUUCAAUUAUUGGUUUAGGUAUCCAUUUUUUAUUCAAUCUUUUAUCCCAUAUAGUUUUUUCUCUAUCAUAGUGAUUAUAGUUUUCAUUUAAUAUUUUAGAUUUGAAUUUUUUGGGAUUUUUACUCCUGAUGUGCUCCUGUAUUUAUUUCUAAAUUUCUUGCAUUAUCUAUAUUUGCUAAAAUUUCUGAUAUAUGUUUCGCUUGUUUCCGAAUAUUAUUCUAGAUCAUCAUUGUUUAUUUCAUCAAUUCUUAUUUCGGGUAGAUUAUCUUGACUAUUUUCUUAUUUUUCUUCUAAUUCAUCUUCUAAUUGCAAUUUUUCUUUGAAUUUAAUUAUCUCAUUUGCUAAUUUUGUUUUUUGUUCUUUUUCUCUUUGUUUAAUUUCAUGCAUUUCUUUUAAUAUUGCUAGCUCUUUUUCUAGCUCCAUUAAUUUAGUAUGUUUUACUUCUUCUAAUUGUUGUACUUUCCUUUUUGCUUGUUGUUUUUGUAACAACACUAAAAAUGGAUAAGAUAAGAAAUGCUUAAUGUGUCAAGAAUACCUAUGAUUAGACCAGGGUUCACACGGAUUGAUGCACGUAGAACCAGACCUCGGAACCCUUACUAUAGCCAAGACAACUAACUUUGGGAGUUAGUUGAGCUUGGAAAGGUUGGGUCCAACCAUGUAGGACUCUCGAAUAUGAAGAUUUACUUGAAAGAGUCUUUACCGGACUUAAAAAAUGGAAAAUCUUAGGUUUAGAGAAUCUAGGGGUAAAAUAGUUUUUUCGGGGCUAAGGGUAGUAUCGUAAUAACCCUAAAUAUACAAUUAAUUAUUUAAUUAAUAAGGUGGAGUAGUAUUUUGGGUAGAGAGGACAAAAAUUGGCCUCUUGACGUGAAGUCUUGCUCCACUAAGUUCGAACAUAGGUGGAAGCAAUGAAUUAAAUUAUUAUUUUUUAUUUAAGCUAUUGAAUUAAUGUAAUUAAUUAUUAUUUAUUAUUUAUUAUCUGAUUUAAAAUAAAAUAAAAAUCAUAUUUUUAUUAAAUAAACAAAACCUUAUUGACUAAAUCCUAAAACUAGACUCCUAAGCCUCAUACAACUCCCACUCUCUCACGUUUAUCUCUCCAAUCUCACGCUAAAUCUCUCUUAUUAUUUCUCACAUUUUUUCUCUGCCAAAAUAAUAUACAAACGCAGAAAAAUAAACCAAGUUCUUCACCCUUGAAGAACUCACACGAAAUCACAAAAAAACAAACGUUAAUCGCACACUAGGCUAAGGGAGGUUGUCAUUCGAGUGGAGUUGAUAUUAAGGAGGCUUAGACCUGUUCUUGGGUGAUAUUUUUGGGCAGAAAGUCAAGAUUUUAACGUCAAAAAGGUAUGGGUUCUCUUCCCUCUUGGUCCCUUUCCCAAGACCCCCUAAGGUUCAGACGAAUCAAUUCCAAAAACUAGGAUUGUUCCCCGUUGCAUGUCCCUGUCACUAGCUCCCAUUGAAUCAUAGGUUGGUUAUGUUUGAUGGUAGAAAACUAAGGAUGAAGAUGAUUAUGUGCUUAUACGUAUGUUUGGAAUUAUGUGACUUAUGUUGAUGUUUUUGAAAAUGUAAUUGCGUGUGUAUCUGUGUGUUGCCGUGGCUAUUAUUCAUGGUUUAGGACUUGAAAUGACAUGAUAGUUCUUUAUAUUUCAUGUACACAUGUUGAUGUAAAUGUGAUGUUCAUAUGAGUUGAAUGUGGCUGAUUUGAGGGAUAAUCUCUUGUCUAAAUGAAUCCAUGAAAACGCACCUAAAACGUUCUAAAUGCACUACAAAAUUCCCCUAAGAACUAAGGUGUCACUUGAUGAAAAGAUGCUGAAAAAUUAAAACAAAAUUUCCAUCUUCUAGUGAUGAAUUUAGGUUAGCAAAGAGGGUUCAAAAUGUUAAAAGAAAUAAUUAAAACAAUUGAGGUCAUGGAGGAUUGAACCUGUGACCUCACCAUGAUAAAAACCAUGAAUUUAAAGAAGUAAAAAGAAAUGUGGUGAAGCGGAUUCGAACCAUGGUAUUAGCUAGAAAAUGUAACUUAGAAGAAAAAAUAAGAAAUGAGAGGAGUGGGAUUCGAACGCACCACCUCUCAAUCAUAUUUAAGGAGGAGAAUAAAAGAAAAAUAAAGGAAGAGGCAUGUGGGAAUCGAACCCAUGAACUCUUAGGCAGAUUAAGGAGGACAAUAAAAGAAAACUAAAUGGGGAGGCGUGUGGGAAUCAAACCCACAACCUCUAAGGCAGAUUAAGGAGGUGAAUAAAAGAAAAAUAAAAGGGGAGGCCUGUGGGAAUUGAACACACGACCUCUUAGGCAUAUUGUAAGGAUGAGAAUAAAAGAAAAAUAAAGGGGGAGACGUGUGGAAAUCGAACCCACGACCUCUUAGAUUUACUUAAGGAGGAGAAUAAAAGAAAAAUAAAAAGAAGUUGUGGAGGUUUGAUCCCACGACCUCAUAGUCAACUCAAAAUAGACAAGGAGAAAUAGAUAAAAAAAAAUAAAAGGGGUUGUGGGGGUUUGAUCCCACAACCCCUCAGCCAAGAAAGAGAAUUUUCAAAGGAUAGAACUAAAAAGGAAAUGGUGAUAUUGUGGCUCGAUCUGGGGUUCCAAUGUCACGUGGACUUGAAUUAAAUGUGAAGUGUUGUCCAAGGGAUUUUAAAUGUGGUUCUCUUGCCCAAAUUCCGUAUGGAUACAUAAGUCAUACGUGAAUUGAAUAUUCAAGAAUAAUGUUGCCUACUUAGAUCGAAAUUGAGAUUUUGGCAUACAUACAAGAUGCAUAAGUCUUGUACUACAUAAUCUUAGGAAGAUAUGAAUCACUUAAACGAAUGAUGAAUGAAGCAUCAUGGCUUGUAUGUAUAGACCCAUAAGUCUAGCAUACGUUUAAAAAUAAGUGAACCUAAGAUGUAUGUAUGAAAUGAUGUAACCCUAGAAGGGUUAAGUAAGAGGAUAAAACACACUUAAUGGCCAAGUGCAUUGGCACAUAAUGAAAUGAACAAUGAAAUGAUGAAAUGAACAAUGAAAUGAUGAAAUAAACAAAGAAAUAAUGAAAUGAACAAUGAAAUGAUGAAACCCUAGAAGGGUUAAGUAAGAGUGUGAAACACACUAAAUGACCAAGUGCAUUGGCAUAUGAUGAAAUGAACAUUAAGGUAAAAAGGGGUGAGUAAUUAUGAAGAACAAAUGUGCUAAUGUUAAUGAAUGUGGUGACAACAUGAUAUGAGGCUAAUGUAAAAGAUGAGAGAAAUGUCAAAUGACCUUAAGUAAAUGUUACAAAAACGUACUAACCUCUGAGAGUGUUAAGUUAAUGAAGAGAUCAAUCUCUAUGAACACUCUAACGAAAGUAUUGAGAUUAACACACUUAAUACUAAUGAUGAGAUGAUAAAUCAUCCAUUGAGCUAUGAUGUCCCCAUACUAGAAGCCAACUUCCAUGACAUAUGAGUUGAAUGUAAUGGAACUUUAUUUUGAGCACCGAUAGACUAGUUAUGAGUGGUGAUACCUUCUAUUGGGAAGGACGGAGGUUCACGUAACUCAUGAGAUGAGACUGUCCGUUAUGCGGAGUAUAGGUUUCCUUAUAUCUCCUAGUCUUCGAACCUAUACUGCCAAUAUAGGGAUCUGGCGGGGUUCAAUUCCUAUGUACGCUAGCAUAUUUUGGAUCUAUUUGACCGGUGAUUCCACCUUUUUUCGGUGUGGGGUUUCAAGACACUAAAUUUCAUGAUGCUCACAUGAUCUAUGUCGGUUAAAGUUAAAGUUUCCAAAGAAUGAAUGAGGACAACCUCAAAUGAUGCACGUAAUAAAAAUAAUGAUACCAAAGGUGUUAGAAUAGGAUAAUCAAAAGGUGAGUUAGAUUCGAGUAAUGACAUUAGGUCAUUCGUGGUCAUUGCACAACGAACCCGAUGAAAGUCUUAAACUACAUCUUAGGUAUAGCUAGUGUUUACACUGGCCCAUGAAUGUUAUGAAAUGAAGUACGUAUGAAUGAACGAAGAAGACUCUGUGUUUGCUAAAGCAAACUCCCUAGUUGAGGUCCCAUAUGUUGAGCCCUAAUUUUUGGAAAGUCUUAAUGUCAAGUCAAUGAUUCCAAGGUCUCAUGGCAUAAGAAUGAAUAAUAUGAACAACGUAAUGUGUUAUAGGAAUUAUGAUAUGUGUUAUGUGUACACUGCUGUGUGUUGUGUGCAAAAUGUUAAGUAUGAUGAUGCAUGUUACUCUCAAGGCAUAACUUUUCUAAUCCAAAUUUUGAAAGCUCAUAAAUUUUCCUAAUCCAAAUUUGGAAAGUUCAUCCACUUUCCUAAUCUCAAGUUGGUAAGUCCACUGACUUGACCUGCUAUAAUCAUGUUGCUAGGAAAGAGUUAUUCUUACUCAUGCAUGUCCUUGGUGUGUUCUUGCAUCUACCCAUACUUAGUACAAGUGUGUACUAACCCUAUACAACUCUAAACUUUUAGGUGGUGUAGGCACAGGUGGACGCUAGAGCUACAGGAUCAACGCUGCAGAUAUCCGGACGUCAAGCAUUCAUCCGGACUUGGUAGGCCCUCAUGCUUUCGAGGAUGAUUUUCCAUUUACAUUCUAGCUUAGUUGUAGGAUUGAGCUAUUGGAGUAUGUUCCACUAGAGAAUCUUUCCCGUUUUUAUUCAUUGUAUUGGUGUCAUUUUGGCAAGUACAUAUUUAUUAUUAUAAUAAACUAAUUCUUUCAUUUGAUGAUCUUAAUGUUAGAUGGUUGAUGGUGAAUAAUUACGUAUGUAGUAGAAUAUUUAGUAGGCAUGUUAAGAAACACAAAGUUUCAAAUUUUCCGCUAAAAUUAAGUUAGACGAAGUAAGAAUGAUGUAAGUAGGCUUGUCUGCGACCUCUGAGAGGUCAACGACGCCGGUCUCGUUUGGGGUCUAGACUCCGAUCGUGACAGUUUUAUUUUUUGAUCUCCAUUUUCCUAUCUAUUCCUUCAUUUUCUUUUGUUAUUCUUAUCAUAGCAGUUAAACUAUCUUCUAGUUUUACCGUUUCUUUUUCUAACAUUAAAUUUAGAUUAUCACCUAUUUUCUUAUAUUUUCUUCCUAGAUUAGAAAAUAUUUUUUUUAUUUUUAAUCCAUCGUAGUUUUCAUAUGUUUUUUCAUAUAUCACUUAUUAUUCCUUAUUCAUUUAUAGAUUGUAUUGAAGUUUAUAUUCUAAACUUUCUAUUUGUAUCUCUAGAUAAAAAAUAGUUUUUCUCUGUGCUAUUGUAGAUUUUUUUAUAAAUUCUUGCGAUUAUGUAAUUAUUAAGUCUAUUUUGACUAUGUCCGAAUUCUUGUCUUUUCACUAUAAUUAUUUCAGUAAGUUUUUCUUUGUAUUUGUUAUUCUUGUUAUUCAUUGUAUCUUUAAAUAUUAAAUAUAUUUAUAUUUUAUUUUAGAUAUAUUAUCUAUUAAUUGAUAUAAUUUUAUGUUAUCAGUUUUUGUGAUAUUGAGUUAUUUAUAUUUCGUAUAUAGUUUAUUUAAUUUUCUUCUUAUUUUUCUUAAUUUUCUACUCGUAUGUUUCUUACUAUAUUUCGUAAAAUCUUAAUUUUUUAAUUCAUUCACUUUACAAUUCAUAGAGAUAAAAUGACAAAUUUAUUAUGUAAAUAAUUAUUUUUUUAAUAAGUGUGUUAAUUUAAAAGUGGAUCAAACAAUCAGGGACAUGAGGGUAUUAUUAGAGGUGAAGAGAGAGGACACAUGUAGUUCUCAUAUAUGCUCCAUGGUCAGUGUGGAAUUCGGGUAAGAAUUUCAAAUUAAUAAUAUUUUGAGAUUUUAUUUAUUCAUAACUGAUUAUUAUAUUAUUUGAAUACAUAUUUAUUUUAUUAAAUGUUAAAAAUUAAUGAUUAAGGGAUGAAACUGAAUUUGCCGAUUACAUCUAGGGAAUAGGUGAACGUGUAUAUUACUAAAAAUUUCUUAUAGUUUGAAAAAUUUGUAGCAAUAAAAUCAAGAAAUUUCAAAAUUUCUCUUUUCUAUACUAUCAAGAAUAAAAAAUAGCCAGUAAGGUCUAUAAAUUUGUGUGUUUCCCGCUGAAAAAUAGCCAGUAAGGUCUAUAUAUUUGUGUGGUUCAUGUUGAAACAUAUAUGCAUUAAAUUAUCUCUUGAUAUUUUAAAUUAAUAAUUUAAUAUUGUAGACAAGAACAUGAGAUAAUAUAAUCGAUCCCACAAAAUUUAGCGGGAUCAUAGAUUCUCCCAAAAUAUUUAAGGGCAAUUUUCACAUAUAACAAACACAAAAUUUAUAUUUGUAUAUUAUAGCAAAGUUUGUAUAAUUGUACUCAUAGCAAACCUAUAUAUGUAUAAUUUGCUAUACAUAUACAAUUGAAAUGAAUUGUAUAAAACGAGAAAGAGCGAAAUUAUAUACAAUUGAAUUUGUAUAAAACGAGAAAGAGAGAAAGACAAAAGAGACUUGAGCAGGGAAUACACAAUUGAAUCGAAUUGUAUAAAACGAGAAAGAGAGAAUUAUAAACAAUUUGAAUUUGUAUAAAACGAGAAAGAGAGAAAGACAAAAGAGAGUUGGACAGGGAAAUAUUUGUAUUGUAUAAUUAUAAGUGUACAGGACAAAGAUAUAUGUAUUUGCAUGUGUAUAUACAAUUUUUUCUCGCUAUAUACAAUAGAAAUGUAUAAUUUAUACAUUUAUGUUGUAUAAAGCGAGAGAGGCGAGCGACAGGGAGCGAGCGUGAGAGGGAGAGUGGAGAACGAGAAUAUGAGGGAGAGAGGCGAUUGACAAACAAUUUACUAUGAAACACAAAUAAAUCAAACGAUAGCCACUAUAUUUAUUUUAUAUUAUUAAUUUGCCAUUUUAUAUAAUUAUUCCAAUACAAUUAAAUUUCCACAAAAUUUAAGUGUGCAAUUGACAAAAUAAAUGAGACAUGAAGGGAGUGUUUGGUAAAACGAAAAAUGUUUUUCAUAUAAGAAUGCCUUUUAGAAUAAGUGGGUUAUUUUUUUAUUUUUUAUUUUGUAUUUAGUACAUAAUUAUUUUUUUUCAUCUUAAACAUGUAUUAUUAAAUAUAAUUUAAAUAAAAACUAUGAGAGAUGAAGAUAGAGGGACGGGGAUGAAGAUGAGGUGCAUUGAAAGGUGUGGAUUACUACCAAUUAAAAUGUUAGUAACUUGUUUUCCCAACUUUCAUUAAUUAUUCCUUAUUUUUUUAAAGAAUUGACGAACUGAACCUAAGACUCCUAUCUCCUAAUUAUUAAGGGAGAAAAAAUGAAAUAUUUUUUCAAGUUUACGUUAUUUUCAAAGUUUUAGAUAUUUUCCGUUAACAUGUUCAACAUAACAGUGAUGAAAUUUAAGAUUCACCACACAAAAGUUAAGAAGGCAAAGCAAUUUUUGUUGUUAUAAAUUGAAGGUUCCAAGGAUAAUGAGACUCACAAAACUUUUAUCUCUUUAAUUUGAGGCAAUUAUUCUCAUCUCAAAUUAUUACAAUUUUUAGCUCUAUUAGGAUGGGAACUGAAAGUGUACGUAAUAUUUAUGCUCAAUUUUCUAGUUUUCUCUUUUAUAUACUCAUUCAUUCAUUUUAAAUCAUACUAGUACAUUAUAUAUUAAAUUUUAAUUUUUUGUGUGAUUAUGAAAUAGGAAUUUGACUCAACAGUAGUCGCAACAAAAACUGGAAUCAACGCACCAUUGUCAUCUCCAAGGGACAAUAUGUGUCUUAGUUUGAUUGAACCUCAUAUUAAGAAUAAAACAUCUUCCGAAGAAUUGAACAUGAUUUUGACUCAAUAUGUAGACACAUUAUCCCAGAGGAUGAAAUAUCAUAUAGGUAAUUAGUAAAUAUACAUUCUUUUUGUAUAAAUAUGGGAGAUAAUAUUUAUGUGUUUCUCAAAUUAAUACGUGAUAAUUUAGGUAUGAAACUUAUAUUUUCCAUAGUUUAGAUAUUAGAUUAAAAAAAUAAGAUAUCUUAGGUGUGUUUUUGACUUUUCACUCAAAAUAAAAAUAUAAAACCUUUGUACUUCUUACUGUAACUUUAUAUAUCAAGAAUAUGACUUUAGAUAGGAGGAGAAUGGGGAUCCUGUAUAUUAGGAUAGAAAGUUAGUAGAGAUAGAGUAUUGUCUUGUCUUACUUUUAUUUUUCUUCUUAAUCUAUUAUCACAUGUUGUGUAUUGUGUUUCGAUUAUUAUACUAUUUUGUUGUUGGUGUUAUUUCUUUCAUAACUUGUAGGCUCUACAGUGUUUUUCUUAUUAACGGUAAUGUUUUCCCCUUUAUUUUCCUCUCCUUUACUUGGGUUUGAUGAGAUAUUUAAGAGACAACCUCUCUACCGCAUGGAGAUAGAGAUAAGGUCUGCGUACACUUUAUCCUCUCAGAUCUCAUUUAAUGAAAAUUUCAUCCAAUGUGUUAUUGUAUUUUUAUAAAAAACAAUGUAUUAAUUAAAGGAAAAAUUACACGGAUAAGCAAACUUAUACUAUUUAAUUACUCAACAUAGCUAUACUUUGUUAUAAUAAGUACUCACGACUAACAUUGUACAUUAAUUACGUGAGUUGACUUUGAGUUUGUAUAAUUAGUCAUGUAUGUACAUGUAUAAUUCGCCAGGAUAUACAAAUUAAUAUGUAUAAUAUGCAAUUUUUUAGCCUAUAUACAUAUACAAUUCACCUCUCUCUUACUAUAUACCCUCUCUCGCUCGCCUCUCUCCUCACUCUCUCAAUAUCGCUCGCCUCUCUCAUCCCUUUCCAAAUCACGCUUGCCAUUUAUACAAAUGUAUAUGUAUAAUAUACAGUUAUAUACAACUAUAUACAUAUACAAUUCACCUCCCUCCCACUCUCUGCCCUCUCUCGCUUGCCUCUCUCCUCCCUCUCUCGAUCUCGCUCACCUCUCUCCUCUCUCUUCUGAUCUCGCUCGCCUCUCUCCUCCCUCUCCCAGACUCUCUUGCCAUAUAUACAAUUACAUAUGUAUAAUAUACAAUUAUCUAACCAAUAUACAUAUAUAAUUCACCUCUCUCCCACUCUCUGCCCUCUCUUGCUCGCCUUUCUACUCCCUCUCUCGAUCUCGCUCACCUCUCUCCCCUCUCUCCUAAUAUCGCUUACCUCUCUCCUCCCUCUCCCAAUCUCUCUUGCCAUAUAUACAAUUACAUAUGUAUAAUAUGCAAUUAUCUAACCAAUAUACAUAUACAAUUCACCUUUCUCCUACUCUUUUCCCCUCUCUCUCGCCUCUCUCCUCUUUCUCCCAGUCUCGUUCGCCUCUCUCCUCCAAAUAACAUGUAGCUACAAAUUGUAAUUAUCAAACUAUAGUUAUGAAGAGUAAUGAAUUAUUUUUAAGUGGCUAUAUAUGAAAGUUUCCCAUUAUUAAAUAUGUAGGUAUUAUUUAUUCAAUAAAUAAGUUAAGGAGUAGUCAAAUAAAAAAAAAUCAGUUUGUAUUAUGAUGAUAGUAGUGCAAAAGUAACCUUUAUUAUGAGCAUAUAUAUGUAAAUUUGAUCACUCUAGAUUAUUUAUUUUACAGGUUAUCCAAUUAACCUUUCUUAUGAGCAUCAUGCCACUUUAGCCCCACUUUUGCAAUUUCAUUUGAACAAUUGUGGAGACCCCUUUACUCAGCACCCUACAGAUUUUCAUUCAAAAGAUUUUGAAGUGGCUGUUUUAGAUUGGUUUGCACAACUCUGGGAAAUAGAGAAAGAUGAAUAUUGGGGAUACAUUACUAGUGGUGGCACUGAGGGCAAUCUCCAUGGCCUUUUGGUUGGGUAAGUUUCAGUUUUAGAGGCGAAUCUAGUCUUUCAGUGAUCAUCUUAAAUUCAAUAUUUUCAAGCUAUAUAUAUAAUAUGAAAAAUAUGGGGAAUACAUAAAAUUAACAACAUGAGUCUAACAUACCUAUCUUUACUUCACAAUUUCUGUAGAAGAGAGCUACAUCCUAGUGGGAUAUUAUAUGCAUCAAAAGAUUCACAUUACUCGAUUUCCAAAGCAGCAAGAUUGUAUCGAAUGGAGCUACAAACUAUUAACAGUUUAGUUAAUGGGGAGAUUGAUUAUGAAGAUUUACAAUCAAAGUUACUUGUCAACAAGAACAAACCAGCCAUCAUCAAUAUCAAUUUUGGUACAUCAUAUAUAUAUAGUAUAUGCUUUUAAUUAGAUCAUAUGUGUAAUACUAUUAUCUUUUAAAAAGUUAUGUUAAUUUAUGUAUUUGUAGGAACUACCUACAAAGUAGCAAUUGAUGAUGUUGAUAUGAUCCUACAAAUACUUGAAAAUUGUGGUUAUUCCAAUGAUAGGUAUUACAUCCAUUGUGAUGCUGCACUAUAUGGGCUAAUUGUCCCCUUCAUCAACCAUGUAAGAAUAUUAUACUUUAGUCCACUAUUUUCUUUUAAGGAUGCAAAUAGAAAAUGACACGUGUCUCUUUUGUAUUCGUCAAUAGGCGAAAAUAAUUACCUUCAAGAAGUCAAUAGGCAGUAUUUCAGUUUCAGGCCACAAGUUUUUGGGAUGUUCCAUGCCUUGUGGAGUUCAAAUAACAAAGAGAACUUACAUUACUACAAUCUCAAAACAAGUCGAGUAUAUUGCCUCAAUAGAUAAUACAAUUUCUGGAAGUCGAAAUGGUUUGGCACCAAUAUUCUUAUGGUAUAGUUUAAGCAUGAAAGGUAAUGCCGGAUUGCAAAAAGAUGCCAAAAUAUGCUAUGAAAAUGCUAGGUAUUUGAAAGACCGGCUUCAUAAAGCAGGAAUUAGCGCUAUGCUCAAUGAAUUUAGCAAUAUCGUGGUGUUUGAACGACCUUGUGAUAAUAAGUUCAUUCGUCGUUGGCAACUAUCUUGCGCAAGGGAUACGGCACAUGUUGUGGUUAUGCCAGGCACAACAAAAGAAAUCAUAGACAAUUUUUUCAAGGACUUAGUGCAAGAGCGGGAAAAAUGGUGUGGAAUAACUUUGGGUCCUUGUCUUGCUGAUGAUAUAGGUUCUCAAAAUUGUCUAUGUUCCUAUCGCAACAUGCAUCACUAAAUUCCUUUGGAAUGGUCUUGAUCAUGGAGCAUGUUGGAGUGACUCAAAAAUUUGUUAUUAGAGUCUGAAAAUAAAUAUUUUCAUGUAUCUUUUUAUUUGGUUUUUUUAUUUACUUUUUGAAAUGAAAAGAUUCUCUUUAUCAUCUUGUAUGCAAUAAAUUUUAAAUAUGCAGAAAGUAGGUCAAUCAUAAAUAAAAUCUAAAGAAACAAGAAUAUUAUUGAUUGAAUAACUUGAUUCUUUUCUCUGGAUUUCUCCUUGGUUCGAGGCAGGGUUGUUAGUAAUUGAUGCAUUUUGAUCUUUUUAUGAAUAUCUUAUAAAUUUUAUGAAAUUUUAGAGAUUUUGAUCUUUAUGAAUAGCCAAGACACAAUAUUUGUUUGUUCAUGAUUUCUUUGUGAAUAUCCAAGAAUUUAUGAGAUACUUAGGAUGCCUCUUCAAGGAAUACGAGCCUUUAUAUAGGCAAGACAACAUUUGAUGUUUUCACGAUCUUUUUGUAAAUAUCCAAGAAUUUAUGAGAUACUCGAGAUGCAUCUUUAAGGAAUAUAUAUUACCCUUUUAUAACGACAUGAUCUAGAGUGUAGAGUAACCUCCAAGAACCCUAACAGAAAUAAAACUCGUCUCGUGAAGUUCAAUUCCAAGGAAUGGAAGAACACAUCUAAGGAUCCAAUUCUGGUGAUUCUUGUUAAAAAUAUCAUUAACUAAUUUAAGUGUGUUCUCUCUAACAGUUAAAACUUUUAGAUGAGAUGAUCACACACUUCAACUUGAUAUUAGAGCCUACAAAGGUCUUGUUUCAAAUCUUACGCCACCCAAAUUAUAUCAAGGCACCCUUAUACCUCCAACAUUAAGGUAAGUUUCUGCCAUAUAAUUCUAAGCAUUUUAAUUAGCUCUUAAUAAUUAAUUACGCAAUACAAUCCUAGCUGAAAGAGUUGGUUUGGUUUUUGUAUAAUCAAACUAAAUGGAAGAUGAAUUAACAUAAAUAUUUGGUAGGAAGAUAAUUAGUACAAAAUAAAAAUCAAGAUAGUAUCUUGGUAGGUAAAGUUUAGGCAAACCAUAAAAUGGUUUCAUAUUCUUAACCUUGACAUUUUGACAUAUACUGAUGUCAUGGAUGGCAUCAAUAGGAUGAAAUCAUUCAUAUAAAUAGGUAGCUCUUAAUUCAUUUUCAAAAUCAUCCUCUCACUUGACUUCACACCUUUUAAGACAUUUUUGUUCUCUCUCUAGUAGUAUUUCACUUGUAUUAUUUGUAAAAUGAAAUAAAUAUUGGUGCGGUUGUACUUUAAUGGACGUAGGAUAAUUUUGAUCCGAACCAUGUUAAGUAUUAUUGUUAUUCAUUGUUCUUUAAUUUCAUGUUUUCGCUAAUAAUUGGUAUCAGAGCUAAGAUUCUGUUUUAGUAUGCUCUAGGGUUGCAACACGGUCUAAACUUCCACAUCAGAAAAGAAUUACUUUGAUUUUUUGUAGUUCCAAAUACAUUGUAGUAGAAAAGAAAGAACAAGUAAAAAAAUGAGUUCUAUGAAGUGUGAAAUUGAUAGAUUUAGUGGGCGCACCAACUUUAAUAUUUGGAAAAUCCAGAUUAUGGCGUUACUAUGGAGGGAAGGUUCAAUCCAUGUUAUUGACGGAAAAUACCACGAUAAGAUAUCGGAUUUCGACAAGGAGAAUAUUGAAGGAGAUGCAUUGAGUGUAAUUCAACUGUCUCUUGCACCUACGUACUUUGUGAAGUGAGUACAAGUACCGAAGAGACAGCCAAGGAGUUAUGAGAAAAGCUGGGAGGGCUUUACCAGGACCAGUCAGUGACAACAAAAAUGUUGUUUCAACAACGUCUUCAUACAUUUAAGAUGGAUUUAGGUAGUUUGUUGCAAGACCAUCUAGAUGCGCUCAAUAAACUUGUGAUGGACUUACAAACUGCUGGAAUUAAAAAUAACGAGGAGACACUUACAUGUUCUUUGCUAAUUUCAUUGACUUCAAAAUAUCGUGAUAUUGAGAAUUCAAUAAUGUAUAGCAAACAACCUAUCAAACUUGAGAAAGUGCGGCAAACACUAAACUCUUGCGAUGUGCGGAUGGAUUUCGAAGGUGGAAAAAGUGAUGAAGCUAGUGGACUCUUUGUAAGAGGUCAUACUAUCCAACAGGGAAGGAGCAAAUCAAAGUAUAGAUCAGAAUCUCGUGUGAACAAAAAGAACGGGGGAGUUUGGGGCUGUCAAAAGAAGGGGCACUUUGAACGAGAUUAUCCUACGUCGAAGUCCAAAGAAAAGACGAGUGCAUUAAUUGUUGAGUAAGUACAUGAUAAUGGUGAUGAUUAUGUACUAACAACAUCAUGCAAUAGUGGAGUUUAUGACAACAAAUGAGUCUCACUCUGGUUGUACUGUGAAAAUGACAUUCCAAAAAGAUUGAUUUAGCAUCUAUAAAACACGCAGUGAAACUGUAUCAAUGGGGAAUAAUGCAACUUGUAAAAUAGUUGGCAUUGGAUCAGUUCGUAUUCACUGCGAUGAUGGGAUCAUGAGGACUAUUACAGAAGUCCAUCACGUUCUUGAUCUAAAGAAUUUGAUCUCCAUGGGUACUUUGGAUAAACAAGGCUAUAAGUACAUGAGUAAAGGAGGAACUAUGAAAGUGACUAAAGGAUCUUUAGUCAUGUUGAAGGCCAAUCUGGAGGAUGGCCUUUACACACUUGCGGGAAGCACCAUUAUUGGCUUUGUAAAUGCAUCUACACUGCAGUUAUCUAAUGAUGACAAGGCAAAAUUAUGGCACAUGAGACUAGGCCAUAUGAGCGCAAGGGGAUUGAAGAUGUUGAGCAACUGCAACCUUUUGAAUGGUAAGAAGAUCAGCACACUUGAAUAUUGUGAGCACUGCGUCUUAGGGAAACAGAAAAAGGUCAGCUCCAGCUCCAGCAAACACAAGACGGGAAGAGUGCUAGACUACAUCCAUUCAGAUUUAUGGAGUCCCUCUAAGCUUCUAUUGAAGGGAUGAAAGAGGUAUCUUCUCACAUUCAUUGAUGAUUUCUCACGAAAGGUUUCGGUGCGUUUUAUGAAGACAAAGGUGAUGCUUUUAAAAUAUUUAAAGAGUGGAAGAUUUUGGUUGAAAAUCAAAUGGAGAGAAAAAUCAAGUAUCUUCGCACAGAUAAUGGCUUGGGGUUUUGCAGUGAAGAUUUCAAUGAUUUCAUAAAGGUUCAUGGGAUCAAAAUACAUAUGAAGGUCAGGCACACACCACAACAAAAUGGAGUAGCCGAAAGAAUGAACAAAAUUCUUCUCGAGAAGGCUCGUUGUAUGCUCUUACAAGCCAAGAUGUCCAAAGUAUUUUGGGAUAAAACAGUUCAUACUGCUUCUCAUAUUGUCAAUCGAUCUCCAGCAUCAACGAUUGACUUUAAGACUCUGAAUGAGGUCUGGUCAGGUGAACCCUCUAACUAUUCAUACUUGCGAAUAUUUGGGUGUCCAGCUUAUUAUCAUGUUAAUAAAGGAAAGCUUGAACCAAGGGCUAAAAAGGCCAUAUUCGUAGGGUAUGUAGAUGGAGUAAAAGGUUACAAACUUUGGUGUUUGGAUUUACUCAAAUUUGUAGUUUUUAGAGAUGUUACCUUUGAUGAAUCCCAUAUACUUUAUCCUCGUAAAUUUUUUGUGGAGUUAUCAAGAAACGAAAACAAUGAGCAGGUGGAGCUAUCGAUGGAUCUUACCAAGGAACGAGAUCAAGAUACUCAAAUUGAUGAGUCAAAAGAUGCAUAUCUUGAAGAACUUGGUGUCAAUGGACCAUACACAAUUGUGAAGGGAAGGGACAAAGGCAGAUACGAAAAUCAGAAUGUCUUAUAGAGAAAGAAAAUUUGAUUGCACUUGCGUUCGUAACUGCAUAGGUAGAGAUUAAGGAUCUCGACCCCUCUUUGUAUGUUGAAGCAAAUUCUUGCAAAGAUGCUGCACAAUGACAGUUAUCCAUGACGGAAGAGAUGUAGUCUCUUCAUAAAAAUGAGACAUGGGUCUUAGUUAAAAGGCCAAAGGGGAUAAGGACAGUUGGAUGUAAAUGGGUCUACAAAAAGAAAGAGGGUAUUCCAGAAUUGGAAGAUGCUAGGUUCAAGGCGAGAUUGGUUGCAAAGGGUUUCAGUCAGAAGGAGGGAAUUGACUACAAUGAGAUCUUCUUUCCAAUCGUGAAACGUAGCUCAAUUCGCAUGCUACUAAUAUUGGUUGCACAAUUUGAUUUAGAGUUUCAACAGCUUGAUGUCAAAACUGAUUUCUUACAUGGUGAUCUAGAAGAGACAAUCUAUAUGGAUCAGCCUGAAGGUUUCCUAGCCGAAGGAAAAGAAGACCAUGUAUGUCAACUGAAGAAGUCUUUGUGUGUUUUGAAGCAAUCCCCUAAACAGUGGUACAAGAAAUUUGAUGCAUUCAUGACUACACAUGAAUUUUCGAUGAGUGCAUGAUAGCUAUGUGUAUCACAAGAGGAUGCCUGGUAAUUUUAUGAUAUAUCUAUUGUUGUAUGUUAAUGAUAUGCUUAUUGCUGCUAACAACAUCACAUAGAUAAAUAUUUUAAAGAAACCGUUGAGCAAGGAAUUUGACAUGAAGGAUUUGAGAAUUGCAAGGAAAAUUCUUGGAAUAUAGAUUUCAAGAGAAAAUGGUAUUGUACAUCUUUUUCAAAAGAGGUACAUCGAAAAAAUUCUUGAGAGAUUCAAUAUGCAUAUGAGCAAGCCAGUAAGUACACCAUUAGCUCCUCAUUUCAAGCUGUCGGAGUUACAAAUGCCUCAGUCUAUGGAUGAGGUGGAGCAUAUGUCAAAGGUUUCUUAUGUGAACGCAGUUGGUAGCAUUAUGUAUGAUAUGGUGUGCACACGUCCAGAUAUUGCUCAAUAUGUAAGUGUAAUAAGCAGGUAGAUGGCAAAUCCAGGAAAAAGCCACUGGAAAGCUCUCAAGUUGAUAUUGAGAUAUCUCAAAGGAGCUCCUGAUGUUGGCCUAACCUUCCGUAAAAGUGAAGGUAUUUCAAUUCUUUAUUAUGUAAAUUCUGACUAUGUAGGGGAUCUUGAUCAAAGAAAGUCCACAACUGGAAACAUCUUUACUCUCGCUGGCAGUGUCGUUAGUUGGAAAUCAACUUUAUAGUCUAUUCUCGCUCUGUCUUCAACAGAGGCAAAAUAUAUGGCAGCAACGGAGGCAGUGAAAGAAUCUAUCUAGUUGAAAGGUUUGGUGGCAGAAUUGAGUUCGGUUCAGCUUGAAUCAAUUCUAAGAUGUGAUAGUAAAAGUGCUAUUCAUUUGAUUAAAAAUUAAAGAUUUUAUGAGCGCACCAAACACAUUGAUGUCAGAUUUCAUUUUAUUCGAGAUGUCGUAGAAGAGGGAGCUAUCAAGAUUGAGAAGGUUAUCACAAACGAUAACGCUGUAGACAUGUUGACCAAAAUAGUCCCGCUUGCCAAGUUUGCACACUGCAAGGACUUGGCGGGAGUAUGCAUCAAGUGAUGCAACUCUGGGGGAACAACUGCUAGGUGGAGCUAGUAUGUUCAACAAAGGUUUGAUUCUUCUUGUUUCUUACAACGGGAUUGCCCUGUAAGCUUAGAAUUUUCGGCCGGAGUUGUUUAUACGCAUGCUCAAAACACAAACCCAGGUGGAGAUUGAAAGAGUUAGUUUGGUUCUGGUGCAAUCAAACUAAAUGGAAGAUGAAUUAACAUGAAUAUUUGAUAGGAAGAUAAUUAGUACAAAAUAAAGGCCAAGAUAGUAUUUGGAGAUUUUGAUCUUUAUAAAUAUCCAAGAGACAAUAUUUGAUGUCUUCGUGAUCUCAUUGUGAAUAUUCAAGAAUUUAUGGGAUAUUUAGGACACUUCUUAAGGAAUAAAUUACACUUUAUAUAGGCAAAAAAUUACCCUUUGAUAGGCAAGACAAUAUUUGAUGUUUUCUUGAUCUUUUUGUGAAUAUCCAAGAAUUUAUAAGAUAUUCGGAAUGCCUCUUUAAGACAUUUAUUCCCUUUUAUAACGGCAUGAGCUAGAGUUUACAGUAACCUACAAGAACAAUAGAACUCGCCUUGUGGAGUGCUAUGCCAAGGAAUUGAAGAACACGUCUAAGGAAUAAGGAUCCAAUUCCGGUGGUUCUCGUUGUGAAUAUCAUUAAUUAUCUAAAGUGUGUUAUAUCUAACAACUUAGUUUUUAAAAUGAGAUGUCACACAUUUUAACAUGAUAUUAGAGCAGAAAAAGUCACUCUUAUACCUCCUAACAUUAAAGUAAGUUUGUCCCAUAUAUUUCUAAGAAUUUUAAUUAAUUGUUAAUAAUUAAUUACACACUACAAUCCUAGUUAAUGCUUUCAACAAAAUAUAUCCCAUGGUUCAAGAAAGAACUUAAUUUUAGAGUUGUACUUCAAGUAUCUAGAGCGAUUAUAAUAUAUAGCCAAUGUUUGAUUACAUAUUUUCAAAUAUUUUUGGUAAAUAUUAUUUGGUUAAAAAUUUAAGUGAAAUUUUACCAUGUGUUUGACUAUAAAAUUUGAGAAAUAUAUUUCACUUUUUUAGAAAAAUAUGAUUUAUCUCCAUAAGUUUUAAAAACUAUCAAAACUAACCAUAAGUUUAUAUUACAAGUCAAUUAGAUCUUCGUUGCAACAAAUGACAAGUAGUGUCCAUGACACUAGAACAAUGUGGUAGUUUGGAGUGAGUGCAACAAACAUCAUUUCAUACAUCGUGAAGUAUAUAAAACACAUGACUUUGUUACCCUGAAUCGAUUGUUCAUAAUUUUUAUCAACAAUCAUAUCAUCACUUUCAUAUUCACUGAAUAUUUCAUCGCUACUUUGGUGUUCACGUAAAAAAAUAUAUAAUACAACACAAGCAACUAUUGAUAGUGUUUUUGUAAAAGACAAAAGUUAAGUGUAAAAUUUCAAUUUUCAAAAGAUCCAAAACAAUGAGAUUUGAUCCAAAUACUAGGAAAAACUAGUAUUUGGAAAUGUAGGAUAUUUGCCAAAUAAUAACAAAUUAUAUGGACAAAUACUAUUUAACAAUUUUUUUCCAAAAUAUUAUUUGGAAAAUUUAUGGCCAAAUGAGCCCAUAAAGAUUGUUCUCUACUCCUUCUAUACCUAAUUUACUUGUCCAUUUUUUUAAUUGACGCACCUAUUAAGAAAACAAUGAUUGACAUAGUGAAUUUAUCAUUUUACCCUAUUAUUUAUGAUGGAAAUGAAUUAAAAAUUUAAGAUUUUCAAGAAGUUCUACUUUUUCAAGGACAACUAAAAAAGAAAAAUGGACAAGUAAUUAGGGACAUAGCUGUAGGGGUGUACAUGAUCAGGUUGAUUCAGAUUUUUCAAAUAUCAAACCAAACCAUUCGUAUAAAAUUUUUAAAUUUAUAAACUAAAGUAAUAAAAUUUGGAUUAUUCAACCUCGGAUUGGUUCGGGUUUUUAAAAUAUCAAACCAAAUCAUUGUGUCAAUUUUUUAUUUUAUAAAUCAAACCAAACUAAUAAACUUCGAAUUUUUCCACAUUUUAGGAUUUUCGGUAAAGUUUACGUACAAACAUAUAAUUAACAUAUGCUUCGAAUGUUUCAUUAGUUCAACCAAAAUUCAAUUAUCUAAGGUGUUUCUUAAAAAAUUAAUACAAAAUAUGAGAUGAGUAUUGACGACACAAAAAUAUUUAAUAAAAAAUAAUAAUGAAAUCAUCAUAUAGAAUCAAUAUUGUAAAGUCAUGAUGAAAAUAAUCAUAAUUUGAAAGUACUAAAUCAUUCUAAAAUAUGUUUAACAAGUAUUAGAUACGUUACUAAAUAUAUAAGGAAAAUUAAAAUUAGAUUAUGUAUUUUAAUUGUCUAAACUGAUGUAAAACUAAAGAAAAAAUAUUCAAUAUUAUUGUCAUUCUUAGUGUUGAAUUGAUUUUCUUUGUACAUGUAUUAAUUUGAUUUUGAUUUAAGUUUUAUUAUAAUUAUCGACAUCUAUGAACAAUAAUCUUUGUUGGACCAUUCCGAAUUCUAAGUUUUAAACUUGAAAUAAUAUAUUAAAAAGAUAAAAACUAUGAAAUAGUAUAAGAAAUAUUUUAAAAUGAUAUCAAAGUAAAUAUUUUUAUACAUAAAAUAAAAUUUUAAAAUUACAUAUCUAAUAUCGGAUUGGUUUGGUCUCGGGCCGAAUUUUUUUAGUUAAAUCAAACCAACCCAAAUAUAGUCAGGUUUUUCUUUUUCAAUACCAAACCAAGUCAAACCAAACCACUAGUCAAAUUCUUUUUUCCGAUUUAAUUCGAUUUGUAAUUUGGUUCGAUUUUCGAUUUGAUUUUAUACGGCCUAGAUAUUGAAAGCAUGUUUGAGUUUUCCUCCGUGAACGGGUUGGAGCUAAUUAUGAUGAAAACUCUUGUUUUUAUUGUUUUCUUAUUAACUUCAAGAAUUCUCAAUGAUGUUAUUAAUUCUCUGUGGUAUAUCCACCUCCAUGAAUUUUAUAAAGAAAAUCACGAAAAAAAUUAGAUAUGAAUUUGUAUUAUUCUUGAAAAUGGAGACAAGAGAAUCAUAUUCUUUACUCAACAAUACGUGUAAUCCUUCGAAAUCGCAUGUGACAAUUAUUUAAUUUCUACGUCAUCUAAAUCCCAAACAAAUCUAUCAUUGAGUUGUCUAAUUCUUGAGGUUAUUAAUGGUUUAGCUCUAGAUCGAACAUCUUGCCCAGCCUCUGGACUAUCCGGGUUCACUAGGGAUUAUAAUGGAGCGUUGUGAGGCGAGGCGAGUUUAGUUUAACCCACAAAAUAAUUUAUGUUAAAUUUGACUCCAUAUAAAAUCACAUAUAUCCGCAAUCCGCUUCACCCUAUAUUAAUUUUUUUUUAAAAACACACUUCAAUAUAUCUCUCCCGUCCCGCACAACCUUAAACUCGCUUGCAUAAUCUUAAACUCAUCCCACCCCAUUUUUAUACCCAGCGUUCACAACAAAAUAGUUAUUGAUGUAAUUACAAUUGUAACAAAAAUAAAUGACGCUAUAACUCUCCUUCACACCCCAUUUCUUUUCUCAUUAUUUGGAUAAAUUAGUCAUCUAUAAUAUCUUUGAAUUUUUAGGUUACCGGCUACACUAUUCAUUACAACACUAAAAUAUUAGUUAAAUCCUAGCUAGAGUUGGGAGAUAUGAUGUGGCAGGCUUUUAAAAUCAAGAAUGAUAUUUGAAUUUUUAAAAAUUAUUUUUUGUUAUAAAUUUAUUAUUUUGUGUGAAUGAUCCAUUAGAGUUAUCCAACAAUUAAUUGGAUUCAUGUAUAAGUGUUUUCAAGGUGAUAAGCUUCCCAGGCCAUAAGAACCUUAAGAGAUAACUAUGUAUCUAUUGAGGUGACCUUUGAGAGUAAUAUCUCAACACUACAAAUAGAGAUAUCACUCACCGUUUGAUAAUAUACUUGAAUAAGAAGAAAAGUUUUCUCUUCCAUCUUACUUCUUUUGUCUUCUUCUAUUUCUAUUAUAUUAUGAGCUUGAUUUUAUAAUACGUUAUUCGCAUGAGACUCUAACAAAUUUGAUAUUGAGUUUUAAUUUUUCUUUAACUCAUGUUUUGGUUGAUCUCGUUAUGAGAAUCAAGUAUUAUAUGCAUAAAAUCAGAUAUGUAUUUUCUAAAAUAUUUUUAUGAUACAAUAGUAUUCAGUCACUAAUAAUUAUCAGGAACCAAAGGCAUAUACUACCAUUGGUUGAAUAUGACAUGCUAUACAAAACUUCUUAAAUCGAAGAAGGUAUAAACUUUUAAUAGCAUGAGUUUGAAUAUUGUUUUGAUUGUUUUAAAAAACUAAAAGGGUGAGUCAUGUUGUACUUUGGUUUAUUAUACCGUUGGUUAAGGAUAAGACGGUGGAUUCAAGUCUCAUCGCACCAAAAAAGUAAGACAUCAGGUUAAAGUCCGGAUGUAUGAUAAUGAAAAAUGUUUGAGGGUAAGACGGUAGAUUUAUGUUUUAUCGCACCAAAAGGGUAAGACGUGAAUUUGAGUUUUGACGCAUCAUGAUUGUGUGCAAGUCUUAUAGAAUGAUGGUGUGACAUGCCAUUGAGUUUGAGUCAAUGCACAAUAGAAAGUGAAUGGCAAUGGUUUAAACCGUUGUUUUAGGAUAUUGCCGUAUUAUGACACUCCUUUAAUUAAAUCGUUGCAUCAGCAGAAAACUGUUGCGAUAGAGGUAGCCAUUGCAACACUUAUAUUUUUCAUUAGAUUAGUUCUCUCUAUGGCUACAGUUAUGUAUGGCAACGCUUUAUAUUUGGUGCUAUGUCAAUGAAAGGAGAAGAUGUUUAUGUGAUGAAUGUAGGCGAUAGUGGAGUCGAGAUAGCUCAAAAAUAAGAGCCUAAUCUGUGAGUGAAGAUCUUGAACUUUUCGAUGGCGAUGAGUCGGUUUGUGUACCUAAUUUAGCUGCUUUCCAUCUUAGUACAGAUCAUAGCACCUGUGUGUAAGAGGUAUGUUAAUCUAAGUUCUGAUUUUUGAUAUCUUUAGGCUAAUAAAUCUCUUUUUUAAUUCGAUCGUUUAACUUGAUUUGUUGUGUUCUUGUUGUUACAGGAAGUUCAAAGAAUAAAAAGUGAACAUCAUGAAUGACCACAUGAAAGGUAGGUUACUAGGGCUUUUGGUGCUGAUUUCCUCAAACAGGUACUAUUAGAAUAUUUGCUUGUUAACAAGUCACCUUGAGAAUAUUGUAGGAAUAUGAAACAAGUACUUUUGAUUCCCUUUGUGCUUGUGAAAGAAUUAUUUCUUUAUUCACUCCAUGUGGAAAAAUAACUUUCAUGGAACAAUGCAUUUCUUGAGAUGUUCAUAAUCGAGAACAUCCCCCUACAUCAGUUGUCUUCCAUUACUCUAUCAUCACAGGUUAGGGCCAAGAGACAAAUUUUUUAUACUGUUAUCCGAUGGGCUCUAUUAGCACUUCACAAACGAAGAAGGUGUAUUAGAAGUCGAACAUUUAAUCUCAUGGUCACCAGAAAGAGAUCCAUCCAGCACAACAUCUCAUCAAGACAAUAUGGUUUCGUGCUGCAAAAUGCUUGUUUUGGUUUCUAAGGUGGAAAGUUUUCGAAUAUGAAAUCUUUAAUUAUGUUUUAUUUUAGGUAUGCGGUUUCAUGAGUUGCUUUAAAUACCAUAAGAGAAUCGACGUUGAUAUCAUGAUGAUGCUUCAAUAAUUGUUAUUUCUUUUGUUUUGGGAAGAAAUAAUAUUGUGUUAGACCACCCAAUUGUUGCAGUAGAACCUAAGAACCGUUGCAACAACAUCUAAUAACCGUUGUUAUAGCUAACAAUAAUUACUUUAAAAUCACAAAAAUGUGUUGCAAUAGACAACAUUUGAAACAAUUUUCAACCGUCUCAUAAGACAACAUACACGUUGCAAUAGAAUAGACUAUAACAACGAAUGGAAAAAUGUUGCAAUAGGUCUAUUUAUUGCAAUGGUAACAUAACCGUCGCAAAAAAUCGUUCCUAUAGUUUGGGCACUUAUUACAACGGUUUCGGACCCAUUGCCAUAAGCUUUUUUUCUAGUAGUGGCACCACAUGAUGACUACGGAAAAACAAUAUAUUUUUGAUGAAAUGAUAUUCGUCUAAUUGAAUUUGCUUCAUUCCCUAAAUCGAAUGUGAUAGCAGUAUGUGAUAAGUUUGAAAUCAGCCCAAUUGCUCCACUAUCAUAUGGAUGUGGUAGCAGUGAAUAAUAAGUCUGAAUGACAACAUGUGAUAAAAUGUAUGAAUAGGGGCGUGAAGGGACAAAUCAUAAUAGUCAUCAUUGUAGUAAUUAUAAAAAGGAAGAAUAAUAUGAGUUCUUCAAAUAGUCCUUCAAACUAUGAAAAAUAAUUUUAUCAUCAAAACGGUAUGAAAGGUCAUUGGACACGCAGUAGUCGUGCGACCUUAUUUUUAUAAGUUUUAUAAAUCCUCCAUCAAAAUAAAAGAAUAUAAAGUGGUAGUGCACUUCAUCUUUCAAAUUAAUUUGAGGUAGAUCAUGUAAAUAUGUCAAAUAUAAAGGUAUGACAUGUAUAGAUGGUUAUAGUCAACUCAUGAAGAGAUUGUGUGUAACGACCUGUUUAGUCGUUUUGAACAGCAGAUUUUAUUUCUGGAAAAACUGGCUGAGACGACGGAUCCCACGACGGACCGUCAUGGGCACGACGGACCGUUGAGAGGGUCUCGUUCCAAAACACUUAGAAUUCUGAAAUUUGGGUACUGAAAUCGACUCUCUGAACUUCGUAACGGAAUGGCAGGACGGACCGUCGUGGGCACGACGGACCGUCACACAUCUUCCACAGAAAUUAACUCUCUGAACUUUGCGACGGACCUGCAGGACGGACCGUCACAGCCAUGACGGACCGUCACAGGUUGCGUAACCCAGGCUGGGUCGGAUUUUUAUUAAAAGUUUUUAAGGGGCGUUUUGGACUAUUCCUGCUAUAAUUAUAAAGUUAGUGGUUUAAUGUUAAUAAUUUAAUUACUUGGGGGUUAAAGGAGAUAACCCUGGAUUAAUUAGUGGGUUACUUUUACCAUUUUUCAUACUUAAUUAUAUGCUAAUUAGGGUAAAAGAAAGAGGGUGGAAUAAGAAAAAUAGAAAGAACAGAGAGAGGGAGAAGAACGAUCGAGAGAGACAGGAAACAAAGAGGAAAAUAAAGCUUUGGGCAAUUUGCUUGCUUGAUCACUAAUCUUCGGUGGAGGUAGGUUAUGGUUUUUAUGCUAUUCGUAGUACACUCUUAAUAGCGAAUGAUAUGUAUUGGGUAGUGUUGUAAACCCUUCUAUAUGCUUAAUUGUAUGCUUGCAUGAAUGUGAUUAUAUAAUUGUGAUAAAAUAAGCAUGAUGAAGCUAUUGAAUCCUAAAUCUUGAAAAGAAACCCUAAUCCACUUUGUUAAUGAUGAUGCCUUGGUAUAAAAGAAGGCUUGAUGAACGAAAGUAGUGAGAUUAGGGGAUCGGGUGCCACGUUCCGAUACCAGUACAGUAUAUGAGGAUCGAAGUGUCACGUUCCGACACCAGGAUAGUAUAUGGAUCGGGUGCCACGUUCCGAUACCAGGAUAGUAUAUGAGGAUCGGAGUGUCACGUUCCGACACCAGGAUAGUAUAUGGAUCGGGUGCCACGUUUCGGUACCAGGAUAGUAUAUGAGGAUCGGAGUGUCACGUUCCGACACCAGGAUAGUAUAUGGAUCGGGUGCCACGUUCCAGUACCAGGAUAGUAUAUGAGGAUCGGAGUGUCACGUUCCGACACCAGGAUAGAAUAAGGAUCGGGUGUCACAAUCCGGCACCAGGAUUAGUAAAGAGAAUGAAUCUUGAAAUAUGUUAAUAUACUCAAUUUAAUGAACCUAAUUCUCAAAUGAGUAUGAUGGGGAGGCGUGAGUCCUCAUUGAUGUACUUGGUGUUGUGACCAAGGAUUAUGGUAAUUGUAAAUGCCGCAUGUUGAGUAUUGUAGUUGAUUUUUAUGAUAUUAUCUGAUAUAUACUAUUUUCUAUUUUGAGUUGGUCGAUGAUAUCUACUCAGUACUUGUGUUUUGUACUGACCCCUACUUAUAUGUUUCUUUCUUUGUUAUUUGUGGAGCACAGUAAACAUACCGUCGUCUUCAACUCAACCGCAACUCUAGCUAGUCUUCAUUACACCGGAUUUCAGGGUGAGCUAACGCUUCUAGCUCGGACUAGAUUCUCUCUCAUUCAUGUCUUGAUGUCCUUGAAGUUCAGACAUGGACUAUCUCUUGUAUUUGUUUUAGUUUCCUAGACAUUCUUAGAUUUAGUAAUUUGAGGAUAGAUGUUCUUGUGAUGAUGACUUUCAGAUUUUGGGAAUAACAAGUGUUUGAGUUUUAAGAAGUUAUUUAAUCGAUUUUCAUUAAUGAGUUUAAGUCUUCCGCAUUAUAUUAUGUUAUUUAUGGUUGAAAUGUCGGGGUUUAGAUUGGUUGGUUCGCUCACAUAGUAGGAUAAGUGUGGGUGCCACUCGCGACCCGAUUUGGGUCGUGACAAACUUGGUAUCAGAGCAUUAAGUUCGUUGGUCUCAUCACACAAGAACGAGUCUAGUAGAGUCUUAAGGAACGGUAGAGGGACGCCUUUACUUUUCUUUGAGAGGCUAUAAGACUUUAGGAAAAUCCCAUUCUUUCUUUCUUUCGUGCUAUUACUUGGAUCCAAUUGGUAUCUAGGUGAUACAAAUUGGUAUCUGACCAUCUUCACUCUAUUUCGUAGAUGGUUAGAACUAGAGCAACAACUGCGCCAACACCAGCACCAGCGGGAUAGGGUGCGUCUGAGCCAGCCACUGGGGCUGUAGCUCGAGAAAGAGCAGCGGCAAGAGGCCGUGGUAGAGGUCGUGGGAGUACGUCCUCUAGGGAAAGAGGACAAGCGCCCGUCCCAUCUAGUACUAGGGUGGUGACUCCUCCACCGACUGAGGAAGUAUUAAGAGAGGGUGAGGAAGGGGAAACUGAGCAAGUGCAUAAUGAGGAACUACUACCCCAACCUACCCCAGAGAUGAUAAAUCAGGUUCUUGCUUAUCUUAGUGGGUUAUAUGAUCAGGGCCAGACACCUCCAGUGUUUUCUGCACCAGCACCUCAGGUUCCGGAGGUACAACAUGCAGCUACUGUGGCUCCCCGCAUGGAUGCCUCAUUGGAAAUAGGCACGUUUCCUCGUCUGACUACAGGGCCUAUAAUGACAAAUGAUCAGCAUGAAAUUUUCAGUAAGUUCUUGAAAUUGAAACCUCCAGUCUUCAAGGGUGCUGAAUCUUAGGAUGCCUAUGAUUUUCUGGUUGACUUUCAUGAGCUACUACACAAGAUGGGUAUAGUAGAACGGUUUGGUGUUGAGUUUGUGACUUAUCAGUUUCAAGGGAACGCCAAAAUGUGGUGGCGGUCACAUGUUGAGUGUCAACCAACAGAGGCACCACCUAUGACUUGGGCAUCAUUCUCUAGCUUGUUUAUGGAGAAGUAUAUCGCCCGGACCUUGAGGGAUAGGAAAAGAGAUGAGUUCUUGAGCCUAGAGCAAGGUAGGAUGUCGGUUACUGCAUAUGAGGCUAAGUUUCGUGCAUUAUCUAGGUAUGCUACCCAACUUUGUUUCAGUCCACAUGAGCGGAUUCGCCGUUUUGUGAAGGGGUUGAGGUCAGAAUUGCGGAUUUCAGCCUUACAGGUAGCGGCUACGGCAAAAUCCUUUCAAGAAGUGGUAGACUUCGUGAUAGAGGUGGAAGGAAUGAAGACAAAUGACUUCACCAUGGCAUCGACAUCAAAAAGGUUUCGAAAGGGAGGUGAGUUUAAUGGUUCUUACUCUAGAGGACAGGGUUCAGGAGGUUACUCAGUCCGACCAAUUCAGUCUUCACUACAGACUGUAGUUGGGGGUCCACCGCAGACUGGUCAACAUUUCUCUGAGUUUGGAGGUUAUCCCCAGACUUCAUCAAUCUCACAGAGACCUAUGCUUGAAUCCAGAGAGUGUUAUGGAUGUGGGGAGACUGGACACAUUAAGAGGUAUUGUCCAAAACAGAGUUACAGACCUCAAAUAGUCAGAGGUAGAGGUGGUCAUGGAAGAGGUCGUCAUUCUUGAGGGCGUGGUGGCCGAGGUAAUGGUGGUCACCAAAACGGCCGGGGUGACGGACAAAUGGAAACUACUGCAGCGCAACCUGGUAGAGGCAACGGGCAGACAGGUGAUAGGGCUCAUUGUUACGCUUUCCCUGGGCGGUCAGAAGCGGAGACAUCAGAUGCUGUUAUCAUAGGUAAUCUUUUGGUUUGUGAUUAUAUGGCUUCUGUAUUAUUUGACCUGGCUCUACAUUUUCAUAUGUAUCUUCCUCAUUUGCUACUGGCCUUAAUUUACAUUGUGAAUUGCUUGACAUGCCUAUUCGUGUUUCUACUCCGGUGGGUGAGUCUGUGAUAGUUGAAAAGGUAUAUAGGUCUUGUCUUGUGACUUUUAUGGGAAGCAACACUCAUGUAGACUUAGUUAUCUUAGAAAUGGUUGACUUCGAUGUAAUUCUGGGUAUGACUUGGCUUUCUCCAAACUUCGCAAUCUUAGAUUGCAAUGCUAAAACUGUGACAUUGGCCAAGCCUGGGACAGAUCUGUUAGUGUGGGAGGGUGACUACACUUCCACUCCAGUUCGUAUCAUCUCCUUUCUUCGUGCUAAGAGAAUGGUUAGUAAAGGGUGUUUAUCUUUCUUGGCACACCUCAGAGAUGAUACUAUUCAAGUACCUUCAAUUGAGUCGGUUUCCAUAGUCCGUGAGUUUCUGGAUGUGUUUCCUGCAGACCUUCCUGGUAUGCCACCGGAUAGAGAUAUUGAUUUUUGCAUUGAUCUGGAGUCGGGUACUCGUCCCAUUUCCAUACCCCCUUAUAGGAUGGCUCCCGCUGAGUUAAGAGAGUUAAAGGCCCAACUUCAAGAGUUGUUAAGCAAGGGAUUUAUUAGACCAAGUGCAUCCCCUUGGGGUGCUCCGGUGUUAUUUGUGAAGAAGAAGGAUGGGAGUUUUCGGAUGUGCAUAGACUACCGGCAGUUGAACAAGGUAACUAUUAAGAACAAGUAUCCCAUUCCUCGCAUUGAUGACUUGUUCGAUCAGUUACAAGGUGCUUGUGUCUUCUCUAAGAUUGACUUGAGAUCCGGUUAUUAUCAAUUGAAAAUACGGGUAGCGGAUGUGCCAAAGACUGCUUUUCGAACUAGGUAUGGGCAUUACGAAUUUGUAGUAAUGUCUUUUGGUCUUACGAAUGCCCCUGCUGAUUUCAUGAGCUUGAUGAAAGGGAUUUUAAGCCAUAUCUGGAUCUCUUUGUGAUCGUAUUUAUUGAUGAUAUAUUGGUAUACUCAAAGAGCAAGAAGGAACAUGAGGAGCACUUGAGAAUUGUAUUGGAAAUGUUGAGGGAGAAAAAGCUUUAUGCCAAAUUCUCCAAGUGUGAGUUUUGGCUAGAUGCAGUGUCCUUCUUGGGGCAUGUGGUUUCUAAGGAUGGGGUGAUGGUGGAUCCUUCUAAGAUUGAGACAGUGAAGAAUUGGGUAAGACCUACUAAUGUGUCAGAAAUAAGGAGCUUUUUUGGUUUAGCUAGCUAUUACCGUCGAUUUGUCAAGGGAUUCUCUUCCAUUGCUUCCCAAUUGACGAACUUGACUAAAUAGAAUGUUCCAUUUGUAUGGUCGGACGAGUGUGAAGAAAGUUUUCAGAAGCUCAAGACUUUGUUGACUACCGCACCAAUCCUUACCUUGCCAGUGGAAGGUAAGAAUUUCAUUGUCUAUUGUGAUGCAUCCUAUUCGGGUUUGGGUGUAGUACUAAUGCAAGAGAAGAAUGUAAUUGCUUUGCUUCGAGGCAAUUAAAGGUGCACGAACGUAAUUAUCCGACCCAUCAUUUGGAGUUGGCUGCGGUAGUGUUUUCAUUAAAGAAAUGGAGGCACUAUCUAUAUGGAGUUAAGUGUGAAGUCUACACGGACCAUCGUAGCCUACAGUAUGUCUUUGCUCAGAGGGAUUUGAAUUUGAGACAGAGGAGAUGGAUGGAACUACUGAAGGAUUAUGAUGUUACCAUCUUGUAUCACCCAGGAAAGGCUAAUAUUGUGGCAGACGCCUUAAGCAGAAAAGCAGGGAGCAUGGAUAGUUUAGCCCACUUACAAGUUUCUAGACGCCCAUUGGAUAGAGAGGUUCAGACUCUGGCUAACGACUUUAUGAGGUUAGAAGUAAAUGAGAAGGGAGGAUUUUUGGCCAGUGUGGAGGCGAGAUCUUCUUUUCUUGACAAGAUCAAGGGAAAACAGUUUGAUGAUGAGAAACUAAGCCGAAUUCGGGAUAUGGUGUUGUGAGGAGAGGCUAAGGAAGCAAUAAUGGAUGAGGAAGGUGUUUUGAGAAUUAAGGGAAGGGUAUGUGUGCCCCGUGUUGAUGAUUUGAUCCACACUAUUCUUAUAAAGGCUCAUAGUUCCGGAUAUUCUAUACAUCCUGGUGCAACCAAGAUGUACCGUGACCUAAAGCAACACUUUUGGUGGAGUAGAAUGAAGCGCGACAUUGUUGAUUUUGUUGCCAAAUGUCCAAAUUGUCAGCAAGUAAAGUAUGAACACCAGAGGCCCGGAGGAACACUUCAGAGAAUGCCCAUUCCUGAAUGGAAGUGGGAGAGAAUUGCAAUGGACUUCGUGGUUGGUCUUCCAAAGACAAUGAGUAAGUAUGACUCCAUUUGGGUAAUCGUUGAUAGGUUAACUAAGUCUGCACACUUCAUACCGGUCAAGGUGACCUACAAUGCAGAGAAGUUAGCCAAAAUCUAUAUCUCAGAAAUCGUUCGAUUGCAUGGAGUUCCACUCUCCAUCAUAUCAGAUAGAGGUACGCAGUUUACUUCUAAGUUUUGGAAAACAUUGCAUGCGGAAUUGGGUACUAGGUUGGACCUUAGUACUGCGUUCCAUCCUCAGACCGAUGGUCAGUCUGAGCGAACGAUUCAAGUGUUGGAGGAUAUGCUUCGUGCAUGUGUGAUAGAAUUUGGUGGUCAUUGGGAUAACUUCUUACCCUUAGCAGAGUUCUCAUACAACAAUAGUUAUCACUCAAGUAUUGAUUUGGCCCCAUUUGAGGCACUUUAUGGGAGAAGAUGUAGGUCUCCCAUUGGGUGGUUUGAUGCAUUUGAAGUUAGACUGUGGGGUACUGAUCUUUUGAGGGAUUCAUUAGAGAAGGUGAAAUCUAUUCAAGAAAAGAUUUUAGAGGCUCAAAGCAGGCAAAAGGAAUAUGCAGAUCGAAAGGUUAGAGACCUGGAGUUCAUGGAUGGUGAGCAAGUCUUGCUGAAGGUUUCGCCCAUGAAAGGGGUGAUGCGGUUUAGGAAAAGAGGUAAGCUAAGCCCAAGGUAUAUUGGACCAUUCGAAGUACUUAAGCGAGUAGGGGAGGUGGCUUAUGAAUUAGCCUUGCUCCCAGGACUGUUCGGAGUGCACCCAGUAUUUCAUGUGUCUAUGUUGAAAAAAUACCAUGGGGAUGGGAACUACAUCAUUCGUUGGGAUUCAGUUCUGCUUGAUGAGAAUUUGUCUUAUGAGGAGGAGCCUGUUGCUAUUCUAGAUAGAGAAGUCCGCAAGUUGAGGUCAAGAGAGAUUGCAUCCAUCAAGGUUCAAUGGAAGAAUCGACCAGUUGAAGAAUCCACUUGGGAGAAGGAGGCUGAUAUGCAAGAAAGAUACCCACACUAUUUUACAGAUUCAGGUACUCCUUUUCGCCCUUGUUUCUUUUCUUGUGAUCGUUCGAGGACGAACGAUGGGUAAAUUGGUAUCUAUUGUAAUGACCUGUUUAGUCGUUUUGAGCAGCAUAUUUUAUUUCUGGAAAAACUGGCUGAGACGACGGAUCCCACGAUGGACCGUCAUGGGCACGACGGACCAUCGAAGAGGUAUCGUUCCAAAACACUUAGAAUUCUGAAAUUUGGGUACUGAAAUCGACUCUCUGAACUUCGUAACGGAAUGGCAGGAUGGACCGUCGUGGGAACGACGGACCGUCACACAUCUUCCACAGAAAUUAACUCUCUGAACUUUGCGACGGACCUGCAGGACGGACCGUCACAGGUUGCGUAACCCAGGCUGGGUCGGAUUUUUAUUAAAAGUUUUUAAGGGGCGUUUUGGACUAUUCCUGCUAUAAUUAUAAAGUUAGUGGUUUAAUGUUAAUAAUUUAAUUACUUGGGGGUUAAAGGAGAUAACCCUGGAUUAAUUAGUGGGUUACUUUUACCAUCUUUCAUACUUAAUUAUAUGCUAAUUAGGGUAAAAGAAAGAGGGUGGAAUAAGAAAAAUAGAAAGAACAGAGAGAGGGAGAAGAACGAUCGAGAGAGAGAGGAAACGAAGAGGACAACAAAGCUUUGGAGAAUUUGCUUGCUUGAUCACUAAUCUUCGGUGGAGGUAGGUUAUGGUUUUUAUGCUAUUCGUAGUAAACUCUUAAUAGUGAAUGAUAUGUAUUGGGUAGUGUUGUAAACCCUUCUAUAUGCUUAAUUGUAUGCUUGCAUGAAUGUGAUUAUAUAAUUGUGAUAAAAUAAGCAUGAUGAAGCUAUUGAAUCCUAAAUCUUUAAAAGAAACCCUAAUCUACUUUAUUAAUGAUGAUGCCUUGGUAUAAAAGAAGGCUUGAUGAACGAAAGUAGUGAGAUUAGGGGAUCGGGUGCCACAUUCCGGUACCAGGAUAGUAUAUGAGGAUCGAAGUGUCACGUUCCGACACCAGGAUAGUAUAUGGAUCGGGUGCCACGUUCUGGUACCAGGAUAGUAUAUGAGGAUCGGAGUGUCACGUUCUGACACCAGGAUAGUAUAUGGAUCGGGUGCCACGUUCCGGUACCAGGAUAGUAUAUAAGGAUCGGAGUGUCACGUUCUGACACCAGAAUAGAAUAUGGAUCGGGUGUCACGUUCCGGCACCAGGAUUAGUAAAGAGAAUGAAUCUUGAAAUAUGUUAAUAUACUCAAUUUAAUGAACCUAAUUCCCAAAUGAGUAUGAUGGGGAGGCGUGAGUCCUCAUUGAUGUACUUGGUGUUGUGACCAUGGGUUAUGGUAAUUGUAAAUGCCGCAUGUUGAGUAUUGUAGUUGAUUUUAUGAUAUUAUCUGAUAUAUACUAUUUUCUAUUUUGAGUUGGCCGAUGAUAUCUACUCAGUACUUGUGUUUUGUACUGACCCCUACUUGUAUGUUUCAUUCUUUGUUAUUUGUGAAGCACAUCAAACGUACCAUCAUCUUCAACUCAACCGCAACUCUAGCUAGUCUUCAUUACACCGGAUUUCAGGGUGAGCUAACGCUUCUAGCUCGGACUGGAUUCUCUCUCAUUCAUGUCUUGAUGUCCUUGAAGUUCGGACAUGGACUAUCUCUUGUAUUUGUUUUAGUUUCCUAGACAUUCUUAGAUUUAGUAAUUUGAGGAUAGAUGUUCUUGUGAUGAUGACUUCCGGAUUUUGGGAAUAACAAGUGUUUGAGUUUUAAGAAGUUAUUUAAUCGAUUUUCAUUAAUGAGUUUAAGUCUUCCGCAUUAUAUUAUGUUAUUUAUGGUUGAAAUGUCGGGGUUUAGAUUGGUUGGUUCGCUCACAUAGUAGGAUAAGUGUGGGUGCCACUCGCGACCCGAUUUGGGUCGUGACAUUGUGACUUUACUAAGCAUGUGAAUGUUUGUCUAUUCUUAAAAGUGAAUAUGGAAAAAUAUGAAUAAGAAUAUAUUUAUGUAUGGUUGGAUAUAUGUCAAACUCACCUCUACGGGAAGUUUGGGAGAAAUAAAUAAGUUUUAUUUGACAGGAACGGUCAAUGGUCGUGUGGGUUUAUACGUCGUAAAUAUUAUGGUAUGUUUGUUAUGAACUACCGAAAGAGCAAAAAGAAAGAAGUAAUUCUUGCCUAUAAAAGUUGUGGCCAUGAUCAAAUAUACUGUGGCAAUAAAAAAUUGUCAUUGGUUGUGUACCUAUAGUACAACAAAAGUAAAGCUAGAAACAUGUGUUGCUCGUAAUAAUUUUAACCAUGACAAUAAUGAUAUAAUUUCUCCUUUAGGGAUGUAAACCAUAUAGAUGGUGUUAUGGAAUGUGUGAUAGUACACAAAAUUAAUUCCAAGCUCUAACGAGUUGUGUUAUUGUCGGAGGAACAAUAUUGGGGUUGUAGUAAGUUUCAAAAGAAACUUUUUAAGUUUUAGAUGAAUUGAAAAGAAAUAUUGAGACUGUAAAUUAUGAAAAGAUUUAUUAUCUUUAGAUUACUACAACCGAAGCAGGUUACAAAUAUUAUGUAAUAGGUUACCCAUUGUUCCUCUUGUUUAUUGUAUACAAACAUGGACAUGCUGAUGAAUUCACAUGCAAAAGUAAACUAUACGUGUACUGAAAUAAAUAUCAGUUGGAAUGACAAGUUGACCAUUCUGGUUUAAAUGUACUGCAAAUGUAAUUGAGAAUACAUGUGGAUUAUAUGAUGAAGAAAUAAAAGAUUCUUCAAGAAUUCUCUUGUGUUGCUUGUUUUCAUUGUACCAGCUAAGGUUGAGAUUAUAAUUCCUAAAUCUUUGGAACAUAUAAAAAGGUGAUGAGCCCGUCAGCCAUAUGAUCGAUGCAUCUAUGCUAUGGUCACAUGUGCUUUGUUGUCAACUUACAAAUUGGUGUUUGUAAGGUUGUUUUGCUCGAAUUGUUAAAUUAAGAGCACAGUUCCAAAUUAUGAAAUUAUAUUGAUAAUGUUGGUUGAUUUAGCAGAAAUUGUAUGCCUCCAAUUAUAGAUAAAUCAUGGUUAUGAGAACAAAACUCCCCAAUAAGAUUUGGUAUGAGAUAAUUUUAUUUAACAUGUAGCAACACAUAUAUGCAUCAAGUCAACAAGGUUUUCCCAUUGGUUCAGGUCAGCAACCAAAUAAUUUUCAUCUAAAAUGUUGCAUGUGCGGUUAUGAUUUUAAUUGUUCCACCAUGCACAAUGAUGAAUUCUCAAAUAAGGUUGGGAUGAAUGUUAGAUUUCCUAACAUUAGGUGGAGAUAUGAUUCACAGUUGAAAAUUAUUUAUGAGGUUAAUUAUGAAUUAUUUGGGUCCUCAUUAAAUAAAUAUGUGAACUUAAAGUUCAAGUGAUAAUUCAUUUGCAUAAUGUUGCAAAUCAAUUGUCAAAUGAAUGUACUGACCCUAUCAUAUAAAUCAGUUGCAAAUGCUCCAAUGUGAAGUUCUUCAAGGGCGGAAUCUAUGAUAUGCCGGAAGCGUAAUAGAUCAAUCAAUUCCAAAUAUAAAAUUUCUUGACAAAAGAGAGGAGCAAAUGAUCAAUAUGAUCAUGAUAAUGAGGCAAGUGCUAUAAGAGAGCACCACAAUAUAACACUUCAUAAAACCUUGGAAAAGAUUCAGGAACCUAAAAAAUAAUGAAAAAUGAAGAGAUCUCGAUAAUUUAUGUCAUAUUGGAAUCGAUAUCAAAUAACCAUCGAAGGUAUCUUUGGUAUGAGGUAGCGCUCAAUGAUAUAAAUUGUAACGAGGAUCUUGAAUUCAAAUCUGUCAUAAAGUGUGGACAGAUAAAUAAUUGGCCAAGGUAAAUGCAUAAUUUAAGUAUAUUGUUUCACUUAGAAAAGUGACGUUUUGGACUGAUAGUCCAUAAAUCAAGGUAUAAUGUCAGUGGGGCACAAUAAAUUAUUAUGUCAUGGUAUAAUCAAAAUAUCAAGUACAACUUGUGCCUUGGGGCAGAAACGUUUGUCGCAAAAUCCCUGACUAUUGGAGAUUUUUUCUCCUAUGGUGGAUGCAUUGGGGUUUGUUUUGAUCUGACAAUAUAUGAAAAACUUGAAUGCAAAUAAUGAAUAAUUAUCAUGUCUAGCUAGACAAUAAUGAAGCUUAUAUAAAGAUUCUUGAAGUAAUCGAGGUGUUUGAAGCAUAUAAAAGUUUGAAUGAAACUUAUUCUAUAAAACUUCAAGAAUUCUUAUAUGGAUUGAAAUAAUCAAGGAAGAAAAGAGUACAAAAAGAAUGACCAUUAUUGUCCUUGAAUUUUAUGAAAAGUUCAGGAUCUGAAUUUGUUAUAAAUUGUGUAUGUAGAUGACUUGAAAUUACUAACACUCUUAAGGAGCUUUUAAAAGCUAUUGAGUUUUUUGAGAAGGGAAUAUAAAAUGAAAAGAUUCUGGAAAGACAAAAUUUUAUCUUGACCUAAGAUUGAAAAUUUGACGAAUAAAAUAUUUGUCCAUCAAUCAACAUUCACAAAAAAGCUUUGAUGCAACUUUAUAUGCAGCAAGUGUUGCUAUGCAGAAAUAAAAGCCCUCCAUGAAGCAAGUCGAAAGUGCGUCUGGUUGAGAUAAAUGACACCAUAUUCAGGAAAUGUGUGGUUUUUCCUUGAAAAAGAAUAUACCAACCACAAUGUACGAAGAUUGGAGACAUCAUCACAAGAAAUUAAGUGAUGUUUUAAUCAGGGAGAAUAUAAUACGCGUUGCAUUGUUUUUUCCUUUACCGAUGUUUUGUCGCACUGAAUUUUACUGGCAAGGUUUCAAUGAGGCAACAAAUAAUGUGUAUCAAAAGAUAUGUGUACUCUUUUCCUUCACUAGAAUUUUUUCCACUGGAUUUUUUUUCUUAGUAAGGUUUUAACGAGGCACAUUAUCUAUAGACAUCAAAGGGGGAGUGUUAUAAAUCUAUUGUUUUAUUUGGAUGAUACAUAAGAGUUAUCCAACAAUUAAUUGGAUCAUGUAUAAGUGUUUCCAAGGUGAUAAAAACCUUAAGAGAUAACUAUGUAUCUAUUAAUGUGGUGACCUUUGAGAGUGAUAUCUCAACACUAUAAGUAGAGAUAUCACUCACCAUUUGAUAAUAUACUUGAAUAAGAAGAAAAGUUCUCUCUUCCAUUUUACUUCUCCUAUCUUCUUCUCUUUCUAUUAUAUUAUGAGCUUGAUUUGAUAACAUUUUUGACAUUUUUCAUAAUUAUUUUUAUUUAUAUGAUACGAUAAAAAGCCUAUAAAAUGUUUCUUAAUUAUUAUAUCUUUUUUCGAUAUACAAAGCUUAAAAGAUAUUUUACUAAUUAGUAAUUUAAUCAUAUUUAUUAUGCAAUAUAAUAAAAUAAAUCUAUACACCUAAUAUAUAGCCUAGACAUUAGGACUAAUUUUGGCGAACAUUUUUCUUGUUCUGACUUUUUAAUCCUUACAUGUACCUUUCCCCUAUAUAAGUCAUUGACAGAUUUAAGACUCAUAAAUACUGAUUUAAUUUUGCAGGUUCUCAUCCUAAUAAAGUUUUGGAGUGGGUAUCUGUUGUUUUGAUUCGAUUUUUGAAUUUCAAUUUGAAAUUUUAUUUUUUUCAUAGUGUGUAUCAAAUAUUAUAUCAAAUUAAUCUGAUUUGUUUGAGUUCAAUUUUUGUAAUACAGCCAAAGAGUCAAACUGUCACGACCCAAAACGAGCCGUGAGUGACACCCACACUUAUCCUACUAUGUGAGCGAACCAACCCAUCUAAACCCCAACAUUUCAAACAUAAUAGGCAGAAUAUAAUGCGGAAGACUUAAAACACAUUAACGAAAUCAAUUAAAUAACUUCUAAAGCUCAAAACUUAUCAUUAUCCCCAAAAUCUGAAAGUCAUCAUCACAAGAACAUCUAUCCUCAAAUUACUAAAUCUAAGAGUAUCUAAGAAGCUAAAAUAACUAAACAGCUAGUCCAUGCCAGAACUUCAAGGCAUCAAGAUAUGAAGAAGAAGAUCCAGUCCAAGCUAGAAACAAUAGCUCACCCUGAAAUCCGACGUGAUGAAGACUGGCUAGAGUUGAAGACGACGGUACGUUUGCUGCACUCCACAAAUAACAAAGAGAAAACAUACAAGUAGGGGUCAGUACAAAACACGAGUACUGAGUAGAUAUCAUCGGCCAACUCAAAAUAGAAAGCAAUAUAUAUAUUAGAUAAUAUCAUAAAAUCAACUACAAUACUCAACAGGUAGCAACAACAAGUACAAGAAUCAUUGAUAACAACGCCAAGUACACCCAUGAGGACUCAAGCCUCCAUACCAUACUCAUUUGGGGAAAUAGGUUCAUUAAUUUGAGUAUAUUAACAUAAUUCAAGAUUCAUUCUCUUUAUUCCUCUUGUGUCGGAACGUGACACUCCGAUCCCCUAAUACUACGUGUCGGUUCGUGACACCCGAUCCACUAAUACUAUGUGUUGGUUCGUGACACCCGAUCCACUAAUACUAUGUGUCGGUUCGUGACACCCGAUCCCCUAAUACUAUGUGUCGGUUCGUGACACCCGAUCCCCUAAUUCUAUGUGUCGUUUCGUGACACCCAGUCCCCUAACCUCAUUCUUUUAGUUCAUCAAGCCUUCUUUUAUACCAAGACAUCAUCAUUAAUAGAGAGGUUUUAAGGUGUAAGAUUCAACAGCCUCAUCAUGCUAAUUCAUCACAAUUACAUAAUCAUAUCAUGCAAGCACACAAUUAAGCAUAUAGAAGACUUUACAAAAUUACCCAAUACGUAUCAUUUGCUAUUAAGAGUUUUACUACGAAAUAGCAUAAAAACCAUAACCUACCUCCACCAAAGAAUUCGCGAUCAAGCAAGCUACUUUCCCAAAGCUGCGUUCUUCUCUUUCUCUCGCUCGUUCUCUCUUCCUCUUCUGUUUUUUCUAUUUUUCCUUAUUCAAACUCUUUUUCUUUUACCCUAAUUACCAUAUAAUUAAGUAUAAAAGAUGACCAAAGUAACCCACUAAUUAAUUCAAGGUUAUCUCCUUUAACCCCCAAGUAAUUGAAUUAUUAACAUUCACCCACUAACUUUAAAAUUAUAAGCAGGAAUAGUCCAAAACGCCCCUUAAAACUUUUAACAGAAAUCUGACCCAGUCAGGGUUACGCAGUCUGUGACGGGCCGUCGUGCCUGCGACGGUCCGUCCUGCUGAGUCGUCACAGAGUUCAGAGACUCAAUUUUUAUUUUAAGACCCUGUGACGGUCCGUCGUGCCUACGACGGUCCGUCCUGCUCUUCCGUCGCGAAGUUCAGAGAAUUGUUCUCAGUACCCAAUUUUUCAGAAUUCUAAGUGUUUUGGAACGGGACACCCUCGACGGUCCGUCGUGCCCAUGACGGUCCGUCGUGGGAUCCGUCGACCCAGACAGUUAUUACCAGAAAUAAAUUCUACUGCUCAAAACGACUAACAGAUCGUUACACAAACAAUUAAUAUCAGCAACAACAUCAUAAAAAUUAAAUUAUACUUAAUAGGUUGUAUGAUAGAGCAUAUUUAAAAAAAAAUGCAUGUAUAUUAGCAAAAAAGUUAAGAAGUAAUUUGAUCUUAAAUCAUUAUGCAAUAAAAUAACAUAAAUCUGUAUUAGAAUCUAAAUAUAGCUUAAGACAUUAGGAGUUUAAGACGUCUCUUCGGCCAACAUUUGUUUUUCCUUCAUCUGUUUUUUUCUUAAAAAAUAAAAUAAAUUCACUAUAUUUAAAUUUGCAGUUCUUUCAUCCUAAUGAAGUGAAUGUAGCCAUUUAUUUUAUACUCUGCCUUUUCAGUAAUGAUUUGACACAUAUUUUAAAGUAUUUAAUAAAUAAUAGAAAUAAUAUGACUAAGUUAUCCUUUAAAUAUAUUAAAUUUAAUACUGUGAAAAAUGUAUUUAAUAUUAAAGUAUAAUAUUUAAUAUAAAAAAAAGUUAUUUCUUGAUUCUUUAAAUUUGUGAAUAAUUGAAGAAAUCUUCUUCUCUCGUUGUUUCAAUUCAUGUGAUGUCACAUAUUUUAAAUUUUGAAAUUCAAAUAAGUCUAUUUUUUAAUUAUAAAUUAUUCAUAUAUUAUUUAAUUAUUUUGAAUUGUUAAUUAUUAUGCAUUGUAGUACUUUUUAUAUAGUUUACAAAUAUAUAAAUUUAAUUUUUAAAAAGAAUUAAAGAUUUCAUGCACAAAUUUUCAAUCAAAAAACAUAUUAUUUGACUCUCGAAAACAAAAAAUGUCACAUAAAGUUGGUACUCAGAAAAUAAUUUGUUUGUAAUGUUAUUUUAAUAUUUUAUAUUGAUCUUUCUCGUUGCUUUUUUCCAAUUGUAAAAUUCUAAAUUUUUAGUAAUAUAUUUUUUAGAAGUGAGAGGAUUCAAUUUUUUCUUCUCUUUAAGCAUCACAAUUCUUUUCCAAAGCAAUCAAAUUAGACUAGAAAAAAUCUGGAAUGAAAAAUAGUAGCCAAAAUUAAUAAAUUUAGUAACUAAUGUUUUUUUUUCAAACAUUUUAAAACACGAACAAAAUUGCUAAUGUGUAAGAAAACAUGUGUAAUAUAAAACAAAUAUAAAAGAGUCUACGUGCAUCGCAUGAGUACCUAUAUUAAUUUUAGCUUGAAAAUAAAAAUAAUAUUUGUUUAUUUCAAACACUACCAAUUAUUAUAAAACUGUUUAACUUAAUUGGAUGCACCAACUUUGACAGGUGUUAAUUCACUUCAAUAUUCAACCAAAAAAAAAAAAGGGUUAAAACGCAAAGCAACUUAAUUCAUUUGUUAUAAAUUGGAGGAGCCAAAGAUAGUGAGACUCACAAAACUUUCAUCUCUAAGAAUGGAAAUUCAAAAGGUAUCAUAUUUUCUAAUAUUGUUUUAAUUAUAUAUGUCUAUCUUAAGUUUCAAUCAUAUACUCAUGAUUAAUUUAUUGAUUAUUUUAAACAAUGAAACAUAUUUUAGAUUUAAUUUUAUUUAUUUAUUUUUAUGACCUAGGAGUUUGAUUUAACGGUAGUUCCAACAGAAGGUGAAAUUGAUGCACCAUUAUCGCCAAGGAAGAAUUUAUGUCUCAGUGUGGUGGAAUCCGAUAUAAAAAAUGAAACGUCUUUUCAAAAACUUGACAUGAUUUUGACUCAAUAUUUAGAGACAUUGUCAAAACGGAAGAAGUAUCAUAUAGGUAAGGAUAUGAAUAUGUAUAGUCUUUCCGUACAAACAUAGUUACUUUUUACUCAACGGAAUUAUACAAGCAUUAGCAUCGAGGUAAUUUAAUCUCAAUUUUAUUUAAAUAAAUACAUUUUCAUUUAUUUUUACCUGUGUAAUAAACAUAAAAGUAUUUAUAAGCAAAAUUAAUCAAAAGUUAUACACUAAUAAAUCAUCCCUAACUUUAUUUUACAUAUCUUUUAAUUUUUCUUUUUUUUUUGAUUUGGCCAAAUAAUAUGUUACGAUUUUAUUCAUAAUUAUAUCUUUGGUUAUUUAAUUUACAGGUUAUCCAACAAACAUGCAUUAUGAGCAUCAUGCCACUUUAGCCCCACUUUUGCAAUUUCAUUUGAACAAUUUUGGAGACCCCUUUGCUCAGCACCCUACAGAUUUUCAUUCAAAAGAUUUUGAAGUGGCUGUAUUAGAUUGGUUUGCACAACUCUGGGAAAUAGAGAAAGAUGAAUAUUGGGGAUACAUUACUAGUGGUGGCACUGAGGGCAAUCUCCAUGGCCUUUUGGUUGGGUAGGUUUCACUUUCAGAGGCGAAUCUAGUUUUUGAGCUACGAAUUUAUUUAUAUAGUCGGAGAUGUCUAAAUGAUAUAAUGUGCUUUUAUCACUUUCACUAUGCAUUAUUAUAUAUUUGUGCAGAAGAGAGCUACUUCCAAGUGGGAUAUUAUAUGCAUCAAAAGAUUCACAUUACUCAAUUUUCAAAGCAGCAAGAAUGUAUCGAAUGGAGCUACAAACUAUCAACACUUUAGUUAAUGGGGAAAUUGAUUAUGAAGAUUUACAAUCAAAGUUACUUGUCAACAAGAACAAACCAGCUAUCAUCAAUAUCAAUAUUGGUAAAAAUACAUACAUAUAUAUUCUUACAUCUUAUAACAUCAUUUUUGUUAAAUUAGUAUAUAUGUGUUUAUAGGAACAACCUUCAAAGGAGCUAUUGAUGACCUCGAUUUCGUCAUACAAACACUUGAAAAUUGUGGUUAUUCAAAUGACAAUUAUUAUAUCCAUUGCGAUGCAGCAUUAUGUGGGCUAAUUCUCCCAUUUAUCAAACAUGUAAGCUUAUUUUUAUUCAAUUUUCCUUCAACGUUUAUUGAUCAAAGUUACAAUGACAUAGUUUCUUUUUAUGGUAUUUGACAAUAGGCAAAAAAAAUUACCUUCAAGAAGCCAAUUGGUAGUAUUUCAAUUUCAGGGCACAAAUUCUUGGGAUGUCCAAUGCCUUGUGGCAUUCAGAUAACAAGGAAAACUUAUGUUAGUACCCACUCAAAAAUUGAGUAUAUUAAUUCCACAGAUGCUACAAUUUCUGGUAGUCGAAAUGGAUUUACACCAAUAUUCUUAUGGUACUGUUUAAGCAAGAAAGGACAUGCUAGAUUGCAACAAGAUUCCAUAACAUGCAUUGAAAAUGCUCGGUAUUUGAAAGAUCGACUUCUUGAAGCAGGAAUUAGUGUUAUGCUGAAUGAGUUUAGUAUUACUGUUAUUUUUGAACGAUCUUGUGACCAUAAAUUCAUUCAUCGUUGGAACUUGUGUUACUUAAGAGGCAUGGCACAUGUUGUGGUUAUGCCAGGUAUUACAAGAGAAACUAUAGACAGUUUCUUCAAAGAUCUAAUGCAAGAGAGGAAGAGGUGGUUUCAGGAUGGAAAAACUCAGCCUCCUUGUCUAGCAGAUGAGUUUGGAUCUCAAAAUUGUAUGUGCUCCCAUAACAAGAUGCAUAACUAAACUCCUUGGAACCAUGACUUGAAAUGGUCAUGAUUAUCAAGUAUGUUUUUGAUGCAAGAGUGACUCAAUAAAAUUUAUGAUCUAAAUCGAUCUAUAGUUUUCUAAUAAAUUUAUAUGUAUACUUUCUUUGUUGUGCUUUUACACGAAUGUUACUCAAUAAAAUUUGUAAUAUAGAGUCAUUUAGAGUUUUCAAAUCAAUUUUUAUGUAUACGUUGUUUACAAAUUUUGUAAUUUAACUUUUUACAAUUAGGAAUGGCAAUAGUUUGGGUUCGGGUGGGUUAGGGCGGGGCAAACCUCAACCCGCUAAGAGUUAAACCCCCCCUACCCCGUCCCAUUUAAAAAAUUUUCAAUAGUGUUACUUGUCCCGCCCUGCCCCGUUUAAGUUUUAAUUUACACUUUUUAUAUGAUCUACACUCUUAUUGAUCUACAGUCCCAUUAAUUCAUUCACUUGUUACUAACACACGGUUUGACAGUUGAUAGGAAUUUUGGAUUAGUAUUACAAUUGUACUAGAAAAUGAGACAUGUUCAGGGGUGGCUCGACAGUAUUAAAAAAAAAAAAGGAUAUUGAAUUUUUAUAAGUUAUAAUUUUUAAAAAAAGGGAUAAUGCCCAAGUACCCCCUCAGCCUAUGUCCGAAAUCUCAGAGACACACUUAUACUAUACUAAGGUCUUAUUACUCACCUGAACUUAUUUCAUUAAUAAUUUUUUACCCCUUUUUGACCUACGUGGCACUAUCUUGUGGGCCCAACGAUUGUUGACUUUUUUAAAAAAAACUAGUGCCACGUAUGCUAAAAAGGGGUAGAAAAUUACUUAUAAAAUAAGUUCAGGGGGUAAUAGGACCUUAGUAUAGUAUAAGUGUGUCUCUGGGAUUUCGGGCAUAGGUUGAGGAGGUACUUGUGCAUUAUCCCUUAAAAAAAUAUUGAAUUGUAGAAAAAGUAAACUUUUUAUGAAAAAUGAAAGAAUUAUUAGAAGAAAUUUGACUUAUUUGGAUUACUGUAUCUCUAAAAAAUAUUUUAAAAUAAGAAAGGAUAUAUUAUCAAUUGAAAAUUAGAAGAAAUCAAUCAUAUAAAAAUUAAUAACUAUUCAGUUUAAGGCCCCGUUUGAUUUUUGCUUUAGGCCACUAAUAUGCUUGAGCCGCUCCUGGACAUGUCCUUUUCCAAUCAAACCCUUGAGUUAGUGUGUGUUCGGUUGUUUGUCUAAAUUUUCGAAAAAUAUUUUCUUUAUGAAAAUAAUUUUUUAAAAUAAGAAAAAAUGAUUUUUUAGUGGAAGUAAUGAAAAAUAAAUUCCACAAACUCUUUACAUUUACUAUGUCCUCCCCACUUAUUCAAUAUGAUUAGGGUGAAAAAAUACAUUCUAAGAAGCAGUAUAUAUCAGUUAUAGGUUAUUAAUUCUAAAUAUAGAAAGAUGGAAAAUAUAUUGAACAUUCUGAGGAUAGAUGAAAGAGCUGCUGUUAAUUACAUGCACUUGUUCACUUAUUUCAUUCAAAUAUUGUCUACACAUUUAUAUAUACACUACUCUUGGAAACGUGCGUUGCACGUUUGAUCUCUACUAUUAUAGACAAUUUAUAUAAGCCUAACUUCAUAGAUAUAAAAAUGAUCGUGGUUACUAAUUAAAGUCGCGAACAUUCAACUCAAUCGUCAAAAGAUUAAUUUCAGUCUCCUUGAAGAAUCCAACAUGUCUUCUCUCAUUGCAAGCUCCAUUAGAAGUAGUAAGAAUUUGCAAGAGAACAUUUGAUAUUUUCACGAUCUUUUUGUAAAUAUCCAAGAAUUUAUGAGAUACUCGAGAUGCAUCUUUGAGGAAUAUAUAUUAGCCUUUUAUAACGACAUGAUCUAGAGUGUAGAGUAACCUCCAAGAAUCCUAACAGAAAUAAAACCCGUCUCGUGAAGUACAAUUCCAAGGAAUUGAAGAACACAUCUAAGGAUCCAAUUCUGGUGGUUCUUGUUAAAAAUAUCAUUUACUAAUUAAAGUAUGCUCUCUCUAAUAGUUAAAACUUUUAGAUGAGAUGAUCACACACUUCAACUUGAUAUUAGAGCCGACAAAGGUCUUGUAAUCGAAUCUUACGCCACCCAAAUUAUAUCAAGGCACCCUUAUACCUCCAACAUUAAGGUAAGUUUCUGCCAUAUAAUUCUAAGCCUUUUAAUUAGUUUUUAAUAAUAAAUUACGCAAUACAAUCCUAGCUGAAAGAGUUGAUUUGGUUCUUGUGUAAUAAAACUAAAUGGAAGAUGAAUUAACAUGAAUAUUUGGUAGGAAGAUAAUUAGUACAAAAUAAAAAUCAUGAUAGUAUCUUAGUAGCCAUAAAAUGAUUUCAUAUUCUUAACCUUGACAUUUUUGACAUAUAGUGAUGUCAUGGAUGACAUCAAUAUGAUGAAAUCAUUCAUAUAAAUAGGUAGCUCUUAAUUCAUUUUCAAAUCAUCCUUUCACUUGACUUCUCACCUUUUAAGGCAUUUGUGUUCUCUCUCUAGUAGUAUUUCACUUGUAUUAUUUGUAAAAUGAAAUACAUAUUGGUGCAAUUGUACUUUAAUGGAUGUAGGAUCAUUUUGAUCCAAACCAUGUUAAAUAUUGUUGUUCUUCCUUGUUCUUUAAUUUCACGUUUUCGCUAACAAUUAGUAUCAGAGCUAAGAUUUUACCUGAGUAUGCUAUGGGGUUACAGCACGGUCUAAACUUCAACAACAGAAAAGAAUUACUUUGAUUUUUUGUAGUUCCAAAUACAUUGUAGUAGAAAAGGAAGACCAAAUAAAAAAAUGAGUCGUAUGAAGUUUGAAAUUGAUAGAUUUAGUGGACGCAACAACUUUAAUAUCUGGGAAAUCCAGAUGAUUGCGUUACUAUGGAGGGAAGGUUCAAUCCAUGCUAUUAAUGGAAAAUGCCCCGAUAAGAUAUCGGAUUUCGACAAGGAGAAUAUUGAAGGAGAUGCAUUGAGUGUAAUUCAACUGUCCCUUGCACCUAAAGUACUUUUUGAAGCGAGUAGAAGUACCAAAGCAAACGGCCAAUGAGUUAUGGGAAAAGCUGGAAGGGCUUUACCAGGACCAGUCAGUGACAACAAGAAUGUCGUUGAAACGGCAUCUUCAUACACUUAAGAUGGAUUUAGGUUGUUUGUUGCAAGACCAUCUAGAUGCGUUCAAUAAACUUGUGAUGGACUUACAAACUGCUGGAAUUAAAAAGGACGAGGAGACGAUUACAUGUUCUUUGCUAUUUCCAUUGACUUCAAAAUAUCGUGAUAUUGAGAAUUCAAUAAUGUAUAGCAAACAACCUAUCAAACUUGAGCAAGUGCCACAAGCAUUAAACUCUUGCAAUGUGCGGAUGGAUUUUGAGCAAAAGUGACGAAGCUAGUGGACUCUUUGUAAGAGGUCAUACUAGCCAACAGAGAAGGAAAAAAUCAAAGUACAAAUCAGAAUCUCGUGUGAACAAAAAGAACGGGGGAGUGUUGGGGCUGUUAAAAGAAGGGGCACUUUGAACGAGAUUGUCUUUUGUCGAAGUCCAAAGAAAAGACGAGUGCAUUAAUUGUUGAGUAAGUACAUGAUAAUGGUGAUGAUUAUGUAUUAACAACAUCAUGUAAUAGUGGAGUCUAUGACAACAAAUGGGUCUUACACUCUGGUUGUACUGUGCAAAUGACAUUCCGAAAAGAUUGAUUCAACAUCUAUUAAACAAGCAACGAAACUAUAUCAAUGGGAACUAAUGCAACUUGUAAAAUAGUUGGCAUUGGAUCAGUUCGUGUUCUCUGUGAUGAUGGGAUCAUGAGGACUAUUAUAGAAGUCUGUCAUGUUCUUGAUCUGAAGAAGAAUUUGAUCUCCCUGGGUACUUUGGAUAAACAAGGCUAUAAGUACAUGAGUAAAGGAGGAACUAUGAAAGUGACUAAAUGAUCUUUACUCAUGCUGAAAGCCAAGCUGGAAGAUGGACUUUACACACUUGCGGUAAGAAGAUCAACACACUUGAAUAUUGUGAGCACUGCGUCUUAGGGAAACAGAAAAAGGUCAGCUUCAGCUCCGGCUAACUUAAGACAGGAGGAGUGCUAGACUACAUCCAUUCAGAUUUAUGGGGUCUCUCUAAGCUUCCAUCGAAGGGAUGAAAGAGGUAUCUUCUCACAUUCAUUGAUGAUUUUUCACAAAAGGUUUCGAUGCGUUUCCUGAAGACAAAAGUUGAUGCUUUUGAAAUAUUUAAAGAGUGGAAGAUUUUGGUUGAAAAUCAAAUGGAGAGAAAAAUCAAGUAUCUUCACACAGACAAUAGCUUGGAGUUUUGUAGUGAAGAUUUCAAUGAUUUAUGCAAGGUUCAUGGGAUCACAAGACAUAAGACGGUCAGGCACACACCACAACAGAAUGGAGUUGCCGAAAUAAUGAAUAAAAUUCUUCUCGAGAAGGCUUGUGUAUGCUCUUACAAGCCAAGAUGUCUUAAGUAUUUUGGGUUGAAGCAGUUCAUACCGCUUCUCAUAUUUUCAAUUGAUCUCCAGUAUCAACAAUUGACUUUAAGACUCUGAAUGAGGUCUGGUCAGGUGAACCCUCUAACUAUUCAUACUUGCGAAUAUUUGGGUGUCCAGCUUAUUAUCAUAUUAAUGAAGGAAAGCUUGAACCAAGGGCUAAAAAGGUCAUAUUCGUAGGGUAUAUAGAUGGAGUAAAAUGGUACAAACUUUGGUGUUUGUCUUUACUCAAAUUUGUAGUUUUUAGAGAUAUUACCUUUGAUGAAUCCUAUAUACUUGAUCCUCGUAAAAUUUCUGUGGAGUUAUCAAGAAAUGAAAACAACAAGCAGGUGGAGCUACCGAUGGAUCUUACCAAGGAACGAGAUCAAGAGACUCAAAUUGAUGAGUCAAAAGAUGCAGAUCUUGAAGAACUUGGUGUCAAUGAACCAUACACAAUUGCAAAGGGAAGGGACAAAAGGCAGAUACAAAAAUUGGAACGUCUUAUAGAGAAAGAAAAUCUAAUUGUACAUGCGUUCGUAGCUGCAGAAGUAGAGGUUAAGGAUCUCGACCCCUCUUUGUAUGUUAAGGCAACUUUUUGAGAUGUUGCACAAUGACAGUUAGCCAUGAUGGAAGAGAUGUAGUCUCUUCAAAAAAAUGAGAUAUGGGUCUUAGUUAAAAGGCCAAAGGGGGAUGAGGACAGUUAGAUGCAAAUGGGUCUACAAAAAAAAGAGGGUAUUCCAGAAGUGAAAGAUGUUAGGUUCAAGGUGAGAUUGACUACAAUGAGAUCUUCUUUCCAAUCGUGAAACAUAGCUCAAUUCGCGUGCUACUAACAUUGGUCGCACAAUUUGAUUUAGAGUUUCAACAGUUUGAUGUCAAAAGUGCUUUCUUACAUGGUGAUCUAGAAGAGACAAUCUAUAUGGAUCAGCCUUAAGGUUUCCUAGCUGAAGGAAAAGAAGACAAUGUAUGUCAACUGAACAAGUAUUUGUGUAGUUUAAAGCAAUCCCCUAAACAGUGGUACAAGAAAUUUGAUGCAUUCAUGACUACACAUGAAUUUUUGUUGAGUGCAUUUUAUAGCUAUGUGUAUCACAAGAAGAUGCUUGGUAAUUCUAUGAUAUAUCUAUUGUUGUAUGUUAAUGAUAUGGUUAUUGCUGCUAAAAACAUCACAGAGAUAAAUAUUUUAAAGAAACUGUUGAGCAAGAAAUUUGACAUGAAGGAUUUGAGAAUUUGAAAGAAAAUUCUUGGAAUGGAGAUUUCAAGAGAAAAUGGUGUUGUACAUAUUUUCAAAAGAGGUACAUCGAAAAAGUUUUUGAGAGAUUCAAUAUGCAUAUGAGCAAGCCAAUAAGUACAUCAUUAGCUCCUCAAUUCAAGCUCUCAGAGUUACAAAUGCCUCAGUCUAUGGAUGAGGUGGAACAUAUGUCAAAGGUUCCUUAUGCGAACACAGUUGGUAGCAUUAUGUAUGCUAUGGUGUGUGCACGUCCAAAUGUUGCUCAAUAUUUAAGUGUAAAAAGCAAGUAGAUGGCAAAUCCAGGAAAAAGCCACUGGAAAGCUCUCAAGUUUAUAUUGAGAUAUCUCAAAGGAGCUCCUGAUGUUGGCCUAACCUUCCAUAAAAGUGAAGGUAUUUCAAUUCUUGAUUAUGUAGAUUUUGACUAUGCAAGGGAUCUUGAUCAAAGAAGGUUCACAACUGGAUACAUUUUACUCUCUCUGGCAGUGUCGUUAGUUGGAAAUCAACUUUACAGUCUAUUAUCGUUUUGUCUUCAACAGAGGCAGAAUAUAUGGCAGCAACAGAGGCAGUGAAAGAAUCUAUCUAGUUGAAAGGUUUGGUGGCUGAAUUGAGUUCGGUUCAUCCUGGAUCAAUUCUAAAAUGUGAUAGUAAAAGUGUUAUUUAUUUGAUUAAAAAUUAAAGAUUUCAUGAGCGCACCAAACACAUUGAUGUCAGAUUUCAUUUUAUCCGAGAUGUCGUAGAAGAGGGAGCUAUCAAGGUUGAGAAGGUUAUCACAGACGAUAACGAUGCAGACAUGUUGACCAAAAUAGUCCCGCUUGACAAGUUUGCACACUGCAAGGACUUGGCGGGAGUAUGCAUCAAGUGAUGCAACUCUGGCGGAACAACUGCUAGGUGGAGCUAGUAUGUUUAACAAAGGUUUGAUUCUUCUUGUUUCUUACAACGGGAUUGCCCUGUAAGCUUAGAAUUUUUGGCCGGAGUUGUUUAUACGCAUGCUCGAAACACAAACCUAGGUGGAGAUUGAAAGAGAUGGUUUGGUUCUUGUGGAAUCAAACUAAAUGGAAGAUUAAUUAACAUGAAUAUUUGGUAGGAAGGUAAUUAGUACAAAAUAAAAGUCAAGAUAGUAUUUUGGUAGGUAAAGUUUAGGCAAACCAUAAAAUUAUUUCAUAUUCUUAACCUUAACAUUUUUGACAUAUAGUGAUGUAAUGGAUGACAUCAAUAGGAUGAAUUCAUUCCUAUAAAUAGGUAGAUCUUAAUUCACUUUCAAAAUCAUCCUCUCACUUGACUUCUCACCUUCCAAGGCAUUUGUGUUCUCUCUCUUGUAGUAUUUCACUUGAUUCGUUGUAGAGUGAAAUAAAUAUUGGUGCAAUUGUUCUUUGAUGGAGGUAGGAUCAUUUUUAUCCGAACCACGUUAAAUAUUGUUGUUCUUCCUUAUUCUUUAAUUUCACGUUUUUGCGCUAACACUAGCUAAUGCUUUCAAGAAAAUCUAUUUCAUGGUUCAAGAACGAACUUUUGGAUUUGUACUUCAAGUAUCUAGAGCGAUUAUACUAUAUAAGGUUGUUCUCUACUCUUUACGUAUCUAAUUACUUCUUGUUCAUUUUAAAAUUGAUACACCUAUUAAGAAUAUAAUGAUUUGUUGAGUUUUAGCAAAAUGUCAAUGGAAAAAGAGAAGAGAAAAAUGAAAAAGUGAUUGACUAAUAACUUUUUUGGACAAAAUUUAUUUAUUAAAUUUUGUUAAUUGAAUAAAUCCCAUUAAUUAUUUUCUCUUAUAAAUUAAUUCAGAAUGUUAGUUAAAUAACAGAAUAAUUUUAAUACGAAGAAAUUUAUUUUAAAUUCGCGUGCAAUGGUAGUACCGGUCUGAAGGGACCUGUUCUUUUUCGAUAAUUCGUUAUUUUUUCCAAAAGACAACUUUCUGGAAAAAACAGGUCUGAACAAAUUCAUUUGAACAUACACGAUUCUUGUUGAAAAUGGCUAUAAAAAGGAGAUCUUUUUCAUUUUUUCAGAUACUGAAAAUUUUUUCAUCUCUGCAUACAUUUACUCUCAAAAAAAUUGUCGAUUGACUGAGUCUGUGUGUUCUUUUUACUGUUCUUGCGUUCGCUAAAAUUAUUAAAGUUUGAGGUACCGCUACUUCUCUAACAGGUUAAUUCGUUUUAUCUUGGGAGAAAUUAAUCUGCAACCUCGGAUAAAGUGGGGGAAUUAAAUUCCUUAAGAAAAUACAGUGAUUUCUGUGGACUUGGAUUAAAAGUUUACUUUCUAUUUCAUCUUAUUUGUGUUUCUGUAUUUUUGACUAACCUUAAUACAAGAAUAACAAUCUUGAGAAAUUUAAUAGUUUCUAUAUUUGAGGUUUCUAGAGAUUAAAACCUUUAUGGUUUUAUACUCUGUUUGAAUUUUUAAAAUUCAUUUGAUUAACGAUUAAAAGAAUAUUAAAACUGUAUCACUUAAAUUAAAAACAGUCUGAGUAAGGAUUUAUUCUUUACUAUUAGUAUUUCACAUACUAAAAUUGUCUACCAUUUUUGACAGAAAAAAUGACCAAUUCAAUUCAAGUAAAUGCUGAAAUAGUGAGUGUUGCAGCAAUAUCGAUUGGACACAAUCGUUCAACUGCUACACUAGCACCGCCUAAGGAACCUGCAAAGUUUUCUAGAAUCGACUUCAAGAGAUGGCGAAAGAAGAUGUCCUUCAAUCUCACUAGGUUGAGGCGACUUCGACAAGCAUCACUAAAUUCUUUUGGGAUGGUUUUGAUUAUGGAGUAUGUUGGAGUGACUCAAAAAAAUUAUUAUUAGAGUUUGAAAAUAAAUUUUCAUGUAUCUUUUUAUUUGAUUUUUUUAUUUAGUUCUUGAAAUGAAAAGUUUCUGAUUAUCAUGUAGUUUGCAAUAAGUUUUGAAUGUGUGGAAAGUAGAUUAAUCAUAAAUAAAAUCUAAAGAAAUAAGAAAGUUAUUGAAACUAACAACUUGAUUCUUUUCUAAGGAUUUCUCCAUGGUUUGAGGGCGGUUGGUAAUGUAUUUAUGAACAUAAGCGAUCACAUUUCGAUUUCUUUAUGAAUAUCUCAUAAAUUUAUGAAAUUUUAGAAAUUUUAAUCUUUAUGAAUAUGACUUUUGGAGAUUUUUAUCUUUAUAAAUAUUCAAAUAAUAGUAUUUUAUGUCUUCGUGAUCUCAUUGUGAUUAUCCAAGAAUUUAUAGGAUAUUUAGGACGCCUCUUCAAGGAAUAAAUUACCCUUUAUAUAGGCAAAAAAUUACCCUUUGAUAGGCAAGACAAUAUUUUGAUGUUUUCUUAAUCUUUUUAUGAAUAUCCAAAAUUUUAUAAGAUAUUCGGAAUGCCUCUUUAAGAGAUAUAUUCCCUUUUAUAACGGCAUGAGCUAGAGUUUACAGUAACCUACAAGAACCUUAACAGAAAUAGUACUCGUCUUGUGGAGUCCUAUGCCAAGUAAUUAAAGAACACGUCUAAGGAAUAAGGAUCCAAUUUCGGUGGUUCUCGUUUAGAAUAUCAUUAAUUAAUUAAAGUGUGUUAUAUCUAAUAACUUAAUUUUUAAAAUGAGAUGAUCACACAUUUCAACAUGAUAUUAGAGCAGAUAAAAAUCACUCUUAUACCUCCAAAAAUUAAGGCAAGUUUGUCCCAUAUAUUUCUAAGAAUUUUAAUUAAUUGUGAAUAAUUAAUUACACACUACAAUCCUAGUUAAUGCUUUUAAGAAAAUAUAUCCCAUGGUUCAAGAAAGAACUUAAUUUUAGAGUUGUACUUCAAGUAUCUAGAGCGAUUAUAAUAUAUAGCUAGUGUUUGAUUACAUAUUUUAAAAUAUUCUUGAUAAAUAUUAUUUGGUUAAAAAUUUAAGUAAAAUUUUAUCAUGUGUUUGAUCAUAGAAUUUGAGAAAUAUAUUUCACUUUUUUAAAAAAAUAUGAUUUAUCUCCAUAAGUUGUAAAAAAAAUAUCAAAACUAACCAUAAGUUUGUAUUACAAGUCAAUUAGAUCUUCGUUGCAACACAUGACUAGUAGUGUCCAUGACACUAGAACAAUGUGGUAGUUUGAACUGAGUGCAACAACAUCAUUUUAUACAUCGUGAAGUAGAUAAAGCACAAGACUUUGUUACCCUGAAUCCAUUCUUCAUAAUUUUUAUCAACAAUCAUAUCAUCACUUUCAUAUUCACUGAAUAUCUCAUCACUACUUUGGUGUUCACGUAAAAAAUUAUAUAAUACAACACAAGCAACUAUAGAGAGUGUUUUUGUAAAAGACAAAAGUUUGGUGUAAAAUUUCAAUUUUCAAAAGAUCCAAAACAAUGAGAUUUGAUCCAGAUACUAGGAAAAACUAGCAUUUGGAAAUGUGGAAUAUUUGUCAAAUAAUAGCAAAUUAUAUGGGCAAACACUAUUUAUCAAUUUUUUUUUCCAAAUAUUAUUUGAAAAAUUUAUGGCCAAAUGUGCCGAUAAGUUAGUUAUCUACUCCUUCUAUACCUAAUUACUUGUCCAUUUUUAAAUUGACACACCUAUUAAGAAAACAAUUAUUGACAUAGUGAAUUUACCAUUUUACCCUAUUAUUUAUGAAGCAAAUGAAUUAAAAAUUUAAGAUUUUCAAGAAGUUCUACUUUUUCAAAAUAAUGAAUUGAAGGUAUAAUAGGUAAAAAAAAAAAUUGUACUUUCUAGAUUUUUUAAAAUAGACAAGUAAUUAAGGAUAACUAAAAAAGAAAAAUGGACAAGUAAUUAGUGACAUACCCGUAGGGGUGUACAUGAUCGGGUUGGUUCGAAUUUUUCAAAUAUCAAAUCAAACCAUUCGUAUAAAAUUUUUAAAUUUAUAAACUAAAGUAAUAAAAUUUGGAUUAUUCAACCUCGGAUUGGUUCGAGUUUUUCAAAUAUCAAACCAAUUAUUGCGUCAAUUUUUGAAUUUAUAAAUCAAACCAAACUAAUAAACUUCGAUUUUUUCCAGAUUUUAGGAUUUUCGAUAAAAUUUACAUACAAACAUAUAAUUAACUUGUGCUUCAAAUGUUUCAUUAGUCCAACCAAAAUACAAUUAUCUAAGGUGUUUCUUAAAAAAUUAACACAAAAUAUGAGAUGAAUAUUGAUGACACAAAAAUAUUCAAUAAAAAAUAAUAAUUAAAUCAUCAUAUAGAAUCAAUAUUGUAAAGUCAUGAUAAAAAUAAUCAUAAUUUAAAAGUACUAAAUCAUGCUAAAAUAUGUUCAAUAAGUAUUAGUUACAUUACUAAAUAUUUAAGGAAAAUUAAAAUUAGAUUAUGUAUUUUAAUUGUCUAAACCGAUGUAAAAUUAAAGAAAAAAUAUUCAAUAUUAUUGUCAUUCUUAGUGUUGAAUUGAUUUUAUUUGUGCAUUAGUAUUGAUUUGAUUUUGAUUUAAGUUUUGUUAUAAUUAUCAACAUUUAUGAACAAUAAUCUUUGUUGGACCAUUCCGAAUUCUAAGUUUUAAACUUGAAAUAAUAUAUUAAAAGAUAAAAACUAUGAAAUAGUAUAAGAAAUAUUUUAAAAUGAUAUCAAAGUAAUAUUUUUAUAUAUAAAAUAAAAUUUUAAAAUUACAUAUCUAAUGUCGGGUUGGUUUGGUCUCGGGCUGAAUUAUUUUAGUUAAAUCAAAUCAACCCAAAUAUAGUCAGUUUUUUUUAAAUAUCAAACCAAGUCAAACCAAAUCACUAGUCAGAUUUUUUCCCCAAUUUAAUUCUACUUGUAUAAUUUGGUUCGAUUUUCGAUUUAAUUUUAUACACCCUAGAUAUUGAAAGCAUGUUUGAGUUUUCCUCCGUGAAUGGUUGGAGCUAAUUAUGAUGAAAAUUCUUGUUUUUAUUGUUUUCUUAUUAACUUCAAGAAUUCUCAAUGAUGUUAUUAAUUCUCUGUGGUAUAUCCACCUCCAUGAAUUUUAUUAAGAAAAUUGAUAUGAAUUUGUAUUAUUCUUGAAAAUGGAGACAAGAGAAUCAUAUUUUUUACUCAAUGGUAUGCGUAAUCCUUCGAAAUCGCAUGUGACAAUUAUUUAAUUUCUACGUAAUCUAAAUCCCAAACAAAUUUAUCAUUGAGUUUUCAAAUUCUUGAGGUUCUUAAUGGUUUAGCUCGAAAUCGAACAUCUUGCCCAGCCUCUGAACUAUCCGUAUUCAGUAGGGACAAUAAUGGAGCGAUGUGGGUCGAGGCGGGUUUAGUUUAACCCACAAAAUAAUUACUUCACUCUGCCUUAUCCCGCCCUGCCUCGCAUAACAAUAUUUUUAUUUUUAACCCGUCCACAUGAACUCGCCCCGUAAUUUUCUUAAGAUUUUAUUUUUUUGUUUAAAUUUGAUAUUAAAAAUAAAAUUUAUAAAAAUACAUUCACUUUCAUUAAAAUAUAUUAAUUUUAUAGAUAAUGACUUAGAUAUUUAUUUUUUAAAGGUCAAUUGGGUGUGAGAAAUUGUAUUAUUUUUUAUUGAACCAUUUUCAUUUAUUAUCUUAAAUAUUUUAGUAGCUUCAAAGAAAUCAUCUUAAUAAAUAAUGUUCUACCUCUCUUAUAACACGUAAAAAAAUUAAAGUUAAAUUUAACUCCAUAUAAAAUCACAUAUACCGGCAAUCCGCUCCACCCUAUAUUAAUUUUUUUUAAAAAACACACUUCAAUAUAUCUCUCCCGUCCCGCACAACCUUAAACUCGCUUGCAUAAUCUUAAACUCACCCCGCCCUAUUAUUAUACCCAGCGUUCACAACAUAAUAGUUAUUGAUGUAAUUACAAUUAUAUAACAAAAAUAAAUGAUGCUAUAACUCUCCUUCACACCCCAUUUCUUUUCUCAUUAUUUGGAUAAAUUAGUCAUCUAUAAUAUCUUUGAAUUUUUAGGUUACCGGCUACACUAUUCAUUACAACACUAACAUAUUAGUUAAAUCCUAGCUAGAUUUGGGAGAUAUGAUGUGGCAGGCUUUUAAAAUCAAGAAUGAUAUUUGAUUUUUUGAAAAAAAAAAUUUGAUAUAAAUUUAUUGUUUUAUGUGGAUGAUCCAUUAGAGUUAUCCAACAAUUAAUUGGAUUUAUGUAUAAGUGUUUUCAAGGUGAUAAGCUUCUCAGGCCAUAAGAAGCUUAAGAGAUAACUAUGUAUCUAUUAAUGAGGUGACCUUUGGGAGUGAUAUCUCAACACUAUAAAUAGAGAUAUGACUCACCAUUUGAUAAAAUACUUGAAUAAGAAGAAAAAUUUUCUCUUCCAUCUUACUUCUCUUGUCUUCUUCUCUUUCUAUUAUAUUAUGAGUUUGUGAUAAGUUUGAAUCAGCCCAAUUGCUCCAUUCCCUAAAUCGAAUGUGAUAGCAGUAUGUGAUAAGUUUGAAUCAGCCCAAUUUCUCCAUUCUAUCAUAUGGAUGUGGUAGCAGUGAAUAAUAAGUUUGAAAGACAACAUGUGAUUAAAUGUAUGAAUAGGGGCGUGAAGGGACAAAUCAUAAUAGUCAUCAUUGUGGUAAUUAUAAAAAGAAAGAAUAAUAUGAGUUCUUCAAAUAGUCCUUCAAACUAUGAAAAUUAAUUUUAUCACCAAAACGGUAUGAAAGGUCAUUGGAUACGCGGUUAUCAUGCGACCUUAUUUUUAUAAGUUUUAUAAAUCCUCCAUCAAAAUAAAAGAAUAUAAAGUGAUAGUGCAUUUUAUCUUUCAAAGUGAUUUUGAGGUUAAUCAUGUAAAUAUGUCAAAUAUAAAGGUAUGACAUGUAUAAAUUGUUAUAUUCAACUCAUGAAGAGAUUGUGACUUUAAUAAGCAUGUGAAUGUUUGUCUAUUCUUGAAAGUGAAUAUGGAAAAAUAUGAAGGAAAAAUAUGACUAAGAAUAUAUUCAUGUAUGGUUGGAUAUAUAUCAGACUCACAUCUACGGGAGGUUUGGGAGAAAUAAAUAAGUUUUAUUUGACACGAACGGUCAAUGGUCGUGUGCGUUUAUACGUCGUAAAUAUUAUGGUAUAUUUUUUAUGAACUAUUGAAAAGGAAAAAAGAAAGAAGUAAUUCUUGCCUAUAAAAAUUGUGGUCAUGAUCAAAUAUACUGUGGCAAUACAAAUUUGUCAUUGGUUGUGUGCCUAUGGUAAAACAAAAGUAAAACUAGAAACAUGUUUUGCUCGUAAUAAUUUUAACCAUGAGAAUAAUGAUAUAAUUUCCUUGAGGGGAUGUUCACUAUAUGGAUGGUGUUAUGGAAUAUGUGAUAGUACACAAAAUUAAUUGCAAGCUCUAACGAGUUGUUUUAUUGUCAGAGGAAUAAUAUUGAGGUUGUAGUAAGUUUCAAAAGAAACUUUUUAAGUUUUAGAUGAAUUGAAAAGAAAUACUGAGACUGUAAAUUAUGAAAAGAUUUAUUAUCUUUAGAUUACUACAACCGAAGCGGGUUAUAAAUAUUAUGUAAUAGGUUACCCAUUGUUCCUCUUGUUUGUUGUAUACAAACAUGGACAUGCUGAUGAAUUCACAUGCAAAAGUAAAUAAGUGUACUGAAAUAAAGAUCAGUUGGAAUGACCGGUUGACCAUUCUGGUUUAAAUGUGAUGCAAAUGUAAUUGAGAAUUCAUGUGGAUUAUAUGAUGAAGAAAUAAAAGAUUCCUCAAGAAUUCUCUUGUGUUGCUUGUUUUCAUUGUACCAGCUAAGGUUCAGAUUAUAAUCCCUAAAUCUUUGGAACAUAUAAAAAGGUGAUGAGCCUGUCUCCUUCAAUGUAGAUCAUUUGCAACCAUAUGAUCGAUGCAUCUAUGUGAUGGUCACAUGUGCUUUGUUGUACAUGUGCUUUGUUGUCAACUUACAAAUUGGUGUUUGUAAUGUUGUUUGCUCUAAUUGUUAAAUUAAGAGCACAGUUCCAAAUUAUGAAAUUAUAUUGGUAAUGCUGGUUGAUUAAGCAGAAAUUGUAUGCCUUCAAUUAUAGAUAAAUCAUGGUUAUGAGAAUAAAACUCCCCAAUAAAAUUUGGUAUGAGAUAAUUUUAUUUAACAUGUAGCAACACAUAUAUGCAUCAAGCCAACAAGGUUUUCCCAUUAAAAUUGGUUCAGGUCAGAGACCAAAUAAUUUUCAUAUAAAAUAUUACAUGUGCGGUUAUGAUUUUAAUUGUUUCACCAUGCACAAGGAUGAAUUCUCAAAUAAGGUUGGGAUGAAUAUUAGAUUUCCUAACAUUAAGUGGAGAGAUGAUUGACAGCUGAAAAUUAUUUAUGAGGUUAAUUAUGAAUUAUCUGGAUCUUCAUUAAAUAAAUAUGUGAACUUAAAGUUCAAAUGAUAAUUCAUUUGCAUAGCAAAUCAAUUGUCAGAUGAAUGUAGUCACCCUAUGAUAUAAUUCAGCUGCAAAUGCUCCAAUGUGAAGUCCUUGAAGGACGGAGUCUAUGAUACGCCGAAAGCGUAAUAGACCAAUCGAUUCCAAAUAUAAAAUUUCUUGAAGAAAGAGAGGAGCAAAUGAUCAAUAUGAUCAUGAUAAUUAGGCAAGUGCUCUAAGAGAGCACCACGACAUAACACUUCAUAAAACUUUGGAAAAGAUUCAGGUACCUGAAAAAUGAUUAAAAAAUGAAGAGAUAUCGAUAAUUUAUGUUAUAUUGAAAUCAAUAUCAAUUAACACCAUCGAAGAUAUUUUUGAUAUGAGGUAGCGCUCAAUGAUAUAAAUUGUAACGAGGAUCUUGAAUUCAAAUCUGUCAUAAAGUGUAGACAAAUAAAUGGUUGGCCAAGUAAAAUGCAUAAUUCAAGUAUAUUGUUUUACUAAGAAAAGUGAGUUUUGGACUGAUAGUCCAUAAAUUAAGGUAUAAUAUCAAUGGGGUACAAUAAAUUAUUAUGUCAUGGUAUAAUUGUAAUAUCAAGUAGAACUUGUGCCUUGGGGCAUAAAAGUUUGUCGCGAAAUUCCUGACAUUAUUGGAGAUGUUUUCUCCAAUGGUGUAUGCAAUGAGGUUUGUUUUGAUCUGGCAAUAUAUGAAACACGUGAAUGCAAAUAAUGAAUAAUUAUCAUGCCUAGCUAGACAAUAAUGAAGGUUAUAUAAAGAUUCUUGAAGUAAUCGAGGUGUUUGAAGCAUAUAAAAGUUUAAAGGAAACUUUUUCUAUAAAACUUCAAGAAUCCUUAUAUGGAUUGAAAUAAUCAAGGAAGAAAAGAGUACAAAAAGAAUGACCAUAAUUGUCCUUGAAUUUUAUGAAAAGUUCAGGAUCUGAAUUUGUUAUAAAUUAUGUAUGUAGAUGAAUUGAAAUUACUAACACUCUUAAGGAGCUUUUAAAAGCUAUUGAGUAUUUUGAGAAGGGAAUAUAAAAUGUAAAGAUUCUGGAAAGACAAAAUUUUAUCUUGACCUAAGAUUGAAACUUUGACGAAUGAAAUAUUUGUCCAUCAAUCAAAUACAUAGAAAAGCUUUGAUGCAACUUUAUAUGAUAAAUCACAUUCAUUACCCCAAUGAUUAUGAGAUCGAUUGAAAUAAAUGAUGAUUCAUUUUUUAUCUUAAGAGAAGAAUGAAGAGCUUCUUGGUGAUGAAACUCCAUAUCUUAGUGCAAUCAUGAUACUAAAGCAUCUUGCUAACAAUACUCGACCAGAUAUCUGUUUGGCAGUAAAUUUACAGGCAAAACUCGGUUCCUUCCCAACAAAAGGACAUUGAAAUGGUGUAUGUAUGUACUUGAAUAUCUUUCCGAAGAAUUCAAGUCAAAGCUGAUUGGUUACGCAAAUGCAGAAUAUUUAUCUGAUCCGCAUAAAGCAUGAUCUCAAGCACUCUAUUUGUUUGCAUAUGGAGGCACAUUAAAAAAUAUCCUUGCGAUCAAUGAAGCAAAUGUUGCUAUGCAGAAAUAAAAUCCCUCCAUGAAGCAAGUCGAAAGUGCGUCUGGUUGAGAUAAAUGACACCAUAUUCAGGAAAUGUGUGGUUUUUCCUUGAAAAAGAAUAUAUCAACCACAAUGUACGAAGAUUGGAGACAUCAUCACAAGAAAUUAAGUGAUGUUUUAAUCAAGGAGAAUAUAAUACGCGUUGCACUGUUUUUUCCUUGACCGAGGUUUUGUCGCACUGAAUUUUACUGGCAAGGUUUUAAUGAGGCAACAAAUAAUGCAUAUCAAAAGAUAUGUGUACUCUUUUCCUUCAUUAGAAUUUUUUUUCCACUAGGUUUUUUUCUAGUAAGGUUUUAACGAGGCACAUUAUCUAUAGACAUCCAAGGGAGAGUGUUAUAAAUCUAUUGUUUUAUUUGGAUGAUACAUAAGAGUUAUCCAACAAUUAAUUGGAUCAUGUAUAAGUGUUUCCAAGGUGAUAAAAACCUUAAGAGAUAACUAUGUAUCUAUUAAUGUGGUGACCUUUGAGAGUGAUAUCUCAACACUAUAAGUAGAUAUAUCACUCACCAUUUGAUAAUAUACUUGAAUAAGAAGAAAAGUUCUCUCUUCCAUCUUACUUCUCCUAUCUUCUUCUCUUUCUAUUAUAUUAUGAGCUUGAUUUUAUAACAUUUUUGACAUUUCUCUUAAUCAUUUUUAUUUAUAUGAUACGAUAAAAAGCCUAUAAAAUGUUUCUUAAUUAUUAUAUCUUUUUUUCGAUAUACAAAGCUUAAAAGAUAUUUUACUAAUUAGUAAUUUAAUCAUAUUUAUUAUGCAAUAUAAUAAUAUAAUUCUAUACAGCUAAUAUAUAGCCUAGAGACAUUAGGACUAAUUUUGGCGAACAUUUUUCUUCUUCUGACUUUUUAAUCCUUACAUGUACCUUUCCCCUAUAUAAGUCAUUGACAGAUUAUUUUAAUUUUUUUUAAAAAAAAUUCAGUUAAUCAAUCGUUAUAUUUAAGACUCAUAAAUAGUGAUUUAAAUUUGCAGGUUCUCAUCCUAAUAAAGUUUUGGAGUGGGUAUAUGGUGUUUUGAUUCGAUUUUUAAAUUUCAAUUUGAAUUUUUUUUUCAUAGUGUGUAUCAAAUAUAAUAUCAAAUUAAUUUGAUUUGUUCGAUUUGAUUGAGUUCAAUUUUUGUAAUUCAGCCUAAGUGUCAAACAAUUAAUAUCAGUAACAACAUCAUAAAAGUUAAAUUGUACUUAAUAGAUUGUAUGAUAGAGCAUAUUUAAGAAAAAUGCAUGUAUAUUAGCAAAAAAGUUAAAGAAGUAAUUUGAUCUUAAAUCAUUAUGCAAUAAAAUAACAUAAAAUCUGUAUUAUCUAAAUAUAGCUUAAGACAUUAGGAGUUUAAGACGUCUCUUCGGCCAACAUUUGUUCCUUCAUCUGUUUUUUUCUUAAAAAAUAAAAUACAUUCAGUAUACUUAAGACUCAUAACUGAAGAUUUAGAUUUGCAGUUCUUUCAUCCUAAUGAAGUGAAUGUAGCCAUUUAUUUUAUACUCUGUAUUUCCAAUAAUAGUUAUUCAUUAUUGAUUUGACACAUAUUUUAAAAAUAUUUAAUAAAUAAUAUGACUAAGUUAUCCUUUAAAUACAUUAAAUUUAGUACUUUGAAAAAUAUAUUUAAUAUUAAAGUACAAUAUUUAAUAUAAAAAUAAUUAUCUCUUGAAUUUUUAAAUUUAUGAAUAAUUGAAGAAGAAAUGAUUAUGCAUUGUAGUACUUUUUAUAUGACGUACUAUGUUAUAUUGCUUAGAACGAAAGAUUGAAGAAGUUUACUUUUUAAUUAUAAAUUAUCCAUAUAUUAUUUAAUUAUUUUGACUUGUUAAUUAUUAUGCAUUGUAGUACUUUUUAUAUAGUUUACAAGUAUAUAUAAAUUUAAUUUUUAAAAAGAAUUAAAGAUUUCAUGCACAAAUUUUCAAUCAAAACGCAUAUUAGUUGACUCUCGAAAACAAAAUGUAUCACAUAAAUUUGAUACUCAAAAAAUAGUUUGUUUGUAAUGUUUAGUUUAAUAUGUUAUGAUUGAUCUUUCUCGUUGCUUUUUUUCAAUUGUAAAAUUCUAAAUUUUUAGUAAUAUAAUUUUUUAGAAGUGAGAGGAUUCAAUUUUUUUUUUUUUUAGAAGUGAGAGGAUUCAAUUUUUUCUUCUCUUUACGCAUCACAAUUCUUUUCCAAAGCAAUCAAAUUAGUCUAGAAAAAAUCUGUAAUGAAAAAUAGUAGCCAAAAUAAAUAAAAAUCAAAAGCACGUACGAGUUUAUUUUUUUUUACUAAAGUCAAGUACGAAAAGUUUUAAAUAUAUUUAAGAAAGAUAUUAUGUACAACUAAAAUUGUUGGAUUAAAAAAGUAUUUUAUGAAGUAAUAAUAAAAGUAAUUAAUUAUCUUAAUUAUAGUUAAAACUUAUCUUUAUUUUUUAAAUUUCAAUAAUUAAUUCAACUAUGACAUCUCUCUCAUCCAAAAUACUAAAUUGAAAAAACGAUAAUGCUAAAUGGGCAGUAUUUGGGCAGAAAAUUAAAAAUCUAUGAUAUUUUUUUUAAUUUUAAAAUAAAGGGAAAAGAAUCUGAUAUACCCCUCAAUUUUGUCAUUUGGAGUUGAUAUACCCCUCAUUAUAAAAGUGGCUCAUAUAUGCCCUUAUCGUUAUACAAACGGCUCACAUAUACCCCUGCCGUUACAAAAUGGCUCACAUAUACCCUUCAUUUAACGGAUGUUAAAAAAUUAGUUUUAAAUUUAUAUUUAUUACUUCUAAUUUUUUUUAAAAAAUUAUUUAGGGGUAUAUAUGGUUCUUCUAUCAAAGUUCAAGGUAUAUUUUUUUUUUUUCACACAUAAAUUAUUUUUUGACUUCUUUUAUUAUAAUUAUUUGAAUUUCUUAUUCUUAUUUUGUUUUUCUUUCAUUCCUUAGUUUAAAGAAUAAAAAAUUAAACUAUUUUUUUUGUAUGUAUUGUAUUUUAAUUUCGUAUUCGAAGAAAAAAUAUGGUCAUCUAUAAUAAGUUUUACAAGAAUAUUAGUAAAACAUAAAUAAUUUGAUUAUCAAAAUAAUAAUUACAAAUUAGUCAUUGAAAUAAAAAAAAGUCAAAAAAUAUGUUUGACAAGGAUUAAAUUUACUCAUAUGGGAUUAUAUAUUUUAGAAAAAAAUAAUAAAAAUUUAGAUUAAAUUUUUUUUUUUUCAUUUCCGUUAGAGGAAAAGGGUAUAUGUGAGUCAUUUGUUUACAAGUAGGGGUAUAUAUGAGUCAUUUUCAUAACAAGGGGUAUAUCAGCUCUAAAUGACAAAGUUGAGGGGUAUAUCAGACCCUUUUCCCUAAAAUAAAUUAAUCUUUUUUUUAUUUAUAGUUAAAAUAUAUUAAAAUUAAAAUGGUAAAAAUAUUUAAAAUGUAAAAUAAUAUAUGUAAAAUGCUACUUUAGCCAAAUUGUGGCCAUAUAUUCUUGCCAAAAAAGGAUUUUUCCUCGUACUAUUAUUGGAUUAUAACAUCAAAUUAUUAAAACAAUUAGUAAAUGGAGUGUAACCGGAAUAUUGAAUAAGCACCCCGGGCAAUUAUAAUUAAGUAAUAAAUCUUUUUAGGAUGAGUGACAACACAAUUUUUUUCAAAUAUACAAAUUAUUACAAUUAAUAAGUGAAGAAAAUUCUUACUACUAAAGUAUAUGAUAAUGUUUUAGACUUCUUGACACUUUCUUUAUGACCUUCAUAAAUAAGAAAUUUAUUUAUUUAAAAAAUUUCUUAAGUUGAUAAAUUUGAAGAAAAAUGUUGAGGGUAGAAAAUCUAACAAUUUUUUACCUCAUCUAAUAUAUGGAUUGUCGUAAUAAUUGAAAAAUGAAAUAGUAUUUAGUUAAUAUAGCAUCAUUUUUUAUGUGAUUAUUUAUUUUAUUGCUUCUUUUAUAUUUUAACAAUUAUCAUGAACCAACAUUAUUGUUCUUAUAUUUACAUUUUUUACUCUCCUUUCGACGUCUUUUUUUCUUCUCAUUACAAAAUAUUUGAAAUUUCUCAAACGAAUAAACCUUCUAUAUUGUGCAAAAUAUAUUGUAAAAAGAUCAAAUUUAGUUUUGACAUCUUCUUCACAUUUCAAGCAUUAAAACCAAUUAACACUGUUUUAUUAUUAUUAUUAUAUUAAUUUAAAUUUUCUGAGUUUAAUUUUAUUAUUCUAACAUUAUUUUAUAUACUUUUCAUUGAAAAAUUGCAUUGUUUAUAUUCUUACUUCAUAAUGUACGUAUAUAACAUUCUUUGCAGACUUCAUUUAUGAAAUUACACUAUAGAAUAAUAAUUUGAUUUAUAUGUACUUCCUUCCUUUCAAAUUGAUUAAAUUGUUAAGGUGUUUCACACAUUUAAAAUAAAUUAAGUCACAUAUUAAGCAUAACUUUAAAUUUUUACAAAAAUAAGAGCUCUCUAUAAAGUUUGACUUUAAGUCUCCAAAUUUGUUAAUACAGACCUGAAAGAGUGUAGGAGCUAACAAAACAAAUAGUUAUAAAAGUAAUUUAUUCAAUUUAUAGAAUUAAAGCUAUAUGUGCAUACACCAAAAUUUUACAUCCUUUAUCAUAGCAAAAUUUAUAGAAAAUAAAAAUAAAUUUAGUAACUAAUGUUUUUUUUUUCAAACACUGUAAAACACGAAAAAAAUUGCUAAUGUGUAAGAAAACAUGUGUAAUAUAAAACAAAUAUAAAAGAGUCCACGUGCAUCGCAUGAGUACCUAUAUUAAUUUUAGCUUGAAAAUAAAAAUUAAUAUUUUUUUAUUUCAAACACUACCAAUUAUUAUAAAACUAUUUAACUUAAUUGGAUGCACCAACUUUGACAGGUGUUAAUUCACUUCAAUAUUCAACCAAAAAAAAAAGAAGGUUAAAACGCAAAGCAACUUAAUUCAUUUGUUAUAAAUUGGAGGAGCCAAAGAUAGUGAGAUUCACAAAACUUUAUAUCUCUAAGAAUGGAAAUUCAAAAGGUAUCAUAGUUUCUAAUAUUUUUUUUAAUUAUAUAUGUCUAUCUUAAGUUUCAUUCAUAUACUCAUGAUUAAUUUAUUGAUCAUUUUAAACAAUGAAACAUAUCUUAGAUUUAAUUUUAUUUAUUUAUUUUUAUAACAUAGGAGUUUGAUUUAACGAUAGUUCCAACAGAAGGUGAAAUUGAUGCACCAUCAUCGCCAAGGAAGAAUUUAUGUCUCAGUGUGAUGGAAUCUGAUAUUAAAAAUGAAACGUCUUUUCAAGAACUCGACAUGAUUUUGACUCAAUAUUUAGAGACAUUGUCCGAGCGAAAAAAGUAUCAUAUAGGUAAGGAUAUACAUAUGUAUAGUCUUUCCAUACAAACAUAGUUACUUUUUACUCAACGAAAUUAUACAAGCAUUAGUGAUCGAGGUAAUUUAAUCUCAAUUUUAUUUAAAUAAAUACAUUUUCAUUUAUUUUUACGUGUGUAAUAAACAUAAAAGUAUUUAUAAGAAAAAUUAAUCAAAAGUUAUUCAUUAAUAAAUCAUCCCUAACUUUAUUUUACAUAUCUUUUAAGUAUUUUUGAUUUGGCCAAAUAAUAUUUUACGAUUUUAUUCAUAAUUAUAUCUUUGGUUAUUUAAUUUACAGGUUAUCCAAUUAACAUGUGUUACGAACAUCAUGCCACUUUAGCCCCACUUUUGCAAUUUCAUUUGAACAAUUGUGGAGAUCCCUUUACUCAGCACCCUACAGAUUUCCAUUCAAAAGAUUUUGAAGUGGCUGUUUUAGAUUGGUUUGCACAACUCUGGGAAAUAGAGAAAGAUGAAUAUUGGGGAUACAUUACUAGUGGUGGCACUGAGGGCAAUCUCCAUGGCCUUUUGGUUGGGCAGGUAUCAUUUUCAAGAAAGGGGGUGGGGGGGAGAGGUGGUAGUUUUUGAAUCAUAUGAAAAAUCAAAAAAUUAAAUGGCGUAAUCAGCCAUUGUCAUGGUCAAAAUCAUUACGAGCAAGACGUCUUACUUUACUUUUGUUGUACCAUAGGUACACAAUCAAUGACAAAUUUGUAUUGCCACACAAUAAUGACCACAAUCCUUCUAUGCAAGAGCUAUUUCUUUCUUUUUCCCUUUCGGUAGUUCACAAUAAACAUACCAUAGUGACGUAUAAACAUACAGUACGAUUAGCCAUUUUUGCCAAAUAAAAUUUAUUUUCUCUCAAACCUCCCGUAGAGGUGAGUUUUGACAUAUAUUAUUUUUUCUCAAACCUCCUAUAGAGGUGAGUUGUGACAUAUAUUCAAUCCAUAAUGAUUUUAUCAUAUCUUGACCCAUUCUCUUAUAGAAUGGUCGAGCAUUCAUAAUACUCAUCACAAGUCACAUUCUCUUCAAGGAAUUCAUAAAUUUGUAUUAUAAGUACAUUGUCAUGGUUCUAAAAUUCAUUAUAUUUCCAUGACACACCUCAACAUCACUUUGAAAGAUCAAGUGUACCAUCACUUUAUCUUCUUGUCUCAUGAUAGAGGAUUUAUAAAGUUGUCAAAUUGGGUCGACAACAUUCAGAAGUCCAAUGACCUUUCAUACCAUUUUAUAAUAAAAAUUCUCUUCACAUUUUGAAGGACUAUUUGGAGAACCCAUAGUGUUCUUCCUUUUAUAAUUAUCACAAUGAUGACUAUUAUAAUUUCGUCCCUUCACGCCCUUAUUCAUAUCAUUAAUUAUUUGUCAUCUUUCAGACGAAUUAUUUGUUGCUACUACAUUCAUAUAAUUGAAUGGAGCAAGUCAACAGAUGGAUUUCAAAGUUAUCACAUGUUGCUUCCAUAUUCUUUUCAAGGAAUGGAGCAAAUUUAAUAUGAUGAAUUUCAAUACUUUUCAUCAAAAAUAUAUUAUUUUGCCUCAGUCAUCAUCUUAUCAUCAAUUUGGUGCAUGGAGACUCAAACUCAAUGUCUUAUCCAUACAAGGCACAUUAGGCCAUAAUUCUAUGGGACUUGAACCCAAUACCUUAUCAUUAUGGUGCAUCAAAACUCGAAUUGAUGUCUUACCCUCUUGGUGCGAUAGAACUUGAAUCUACCGUCUUACCCUCAAAUAUUUUUCAUAAUGAAUGACAUAAAUGAGUCUUUUUUAAACAAAUUUGAUAACAUAUUUGAGUUUUUUUCUUAUGGUUAAAUGAUGCAAGUGCUUCAUCACUUUCAUAAAGCAUUUGAACAAUAUUAUAUAUUUGUGCAGAAGAGAGCUACUUCCUAAUGGAUAUUAUAUGCAUCAAAAGAUUCACAUUACUCGAUUUUCAAAGCAGCAAGAAUGUAUCGAAUGGAGCUACAAACUAUCAACACUUUAGUUAAUGGGGAAAUUGAUUAUGAAGAUUUACAAUCAAAGUUACUUGUCAACAAGAACAAACCAGCUAUCAUCAAUAUCAAUAUUGGUAAAAAUACAUACAUAUAUAUUCUUACAUCUUAUAACAUCACUUUUGGUAAAUUAGUAUAUAUGUGUUUAUAGGAACAACCUUCAAAGGAGCUAUUGAUGACCUCGAUUUCGUCAUACAAACACUUGAAAAUUGUGGUUAUUCAAAUGACAAUUAUUAUAUCCAUUGCGAUGCAGCAUUAUGUGGGCUAAUUCUCCCAUUUAUCAAACAUGUAAGCUUAUUUUUAUUCAAUUUUCCUUCAACGCUCGAUCGAAGUUACAAUGACAUAGUUUCUUUCUAUGGUAUUUGACAAUAGGCAAAAAAAAUUACCUUCAAGAAACCAAUUGGAAGUAUUUCAAUUUCAGGGCACAAAUUCUUGGGAUGUCCAAUGUCUUGUGGCGUUCAGAUAACAAGGAGAAGUUACGUUAGCACCCUCUCAAAAAUUGAGUAUAUUAAUUCCGCAGAUGCUACAAUUUCUGGUAGUCGAAAUGGAUUUACACCAAUAUUCUUAUGGUACUGUUUAAGCAAGAAAGGACAUGCUAGAUUGCAACAAGAUUCCAUAACAUGCAUUGAAAAUGCUCGGUAUUUGAAAGAUCGACUUCUUGAAGCAGGAAUUAGUGUUAUGCUGAAUGAUUUUAGUAUUACUGUUGUUUUUGAACGACCUUGUGACCAUAAAUUCAUUCGUCGUUGGAACUUGUGUUGCUUAAGAGGCAUGGCACAUGUUGUAAUUAUGCCAGGUAUUACAAGAGAAACUAUAGAUAGUUUCUUCAAAGAUCUAAUGCAAGAGAGGAACUAUAAGUGGUACCAAG